rnacentral:lncRNA from 1 species
UUUAUUUAUUCCUUUCUUUUCUUUCCCUAACUCUCCAUUCCUUUUUUCCCUCUAAAUUAUCCAACCCAUUUUUGGAUUUUUCUUUUUUGUCCUUUUUUUUCUGAAAAAAGAAAAAGAAAUCACUUUUGUUAUAACCAUUAAUUGGAAUUUAAAUUUAGAAACUAAUUUGUUAUUUUCAAUUCAGAGUGGGAGAAUCAAACUUAGAUAUUGUAGUUAAUAGUAGAACAUUAUUGCAAUAAAUUAUGGAAUUUAAUUUUGUGCAAAUGCAAUUAAGAAGAAGGUCAUGCUAAUUAUUAAUUACCGUUAUUAUAUAAUUACUUUUUUUAAAAAAAGUUCACUCAACUUCAAUUUUCUUUCUUUCUUAUUUAGAUUCUAUCAAUAAUUAAUUUAAUUGUGUAAUAUUUUGUUUUAAUUUAGAUGUCGAAUCUUCUCCAACAAUAAUAAUGAUAAUAAUAAUAGAUAUGUGUGUGUCCAAAUUCACACCUAAGCAAUUAAUUAAUUAAUUAAUCACAUACAAAUUUGCGUUGCGUGUCAACAAAAUGACUCCACGUAAUCACUUAAACUUUGUUAUUUCUUGAAAUGUCAAAAUUCCCUGCGAUUAUGCUGUCAUAUGGAUAAUUGGUUAUCUCAAACAUACAAAAUAACUAAUUCUCAUUUUCAAAUGAGAAUAUGGAUUAUUACACAAUUUUUUCUCUAAUAUUUUAUUAUAAAGUACUUUUUGCCUUCCAAUCAAUAUAUUCAAAUUUCAUAUUUAUAUAUAUAUAAUUUCAUUAAUAAAAAUUUAUGAGAAAUCUGAAAAGAGAGUAUUUCAGAUAUAGAAUGAGUUAAAUAUAUAACUAAUAUUUUCUAAAAGUUGUAAAUAUAGUAAAAUCUAUCCAAAUCAAUAAAGAGUAAGAGUAGAAUAAGAGUUAUUGGUCUAUAAUGAAUAAACUUUGCUAUAUUUAUAAUUUUUUUAGAAUAUUGCUAUAUACUUAAUUAGCAUUUCCAAAAUUGCUACUCAUUGUUAUAUUUCUUAAAAUUUACUAUAUUAUAAAUAUGUUCUAUUAAAAAAGUGACUUUUGAAAAAAAGCAAAAGAAAAAUCAUGAUAAUGGAACAUAUAUCACAAUAUUUUCUAAAUUUACAAAUAUAGCAAAUUUAAACAUGUGUCACCCAAUUUAACUCUGAUAGCCCUAUGAUUAUCAUCUCAUAAUCAUCUAAUAUCACUAAUUUUAUCAUAUUCACGACAUAAAAAAAAUCAAAGCCACGACUAUUGAAUUGGGCUUAGUUGAAAAUAUACAUAAUUUUUUGUGAUAUUAAAAUUACUGAAUUUGUUAACAUAGGGUAAUCUUGAAAGAUCUAAUUAAUUAAGAUAGGUUGUAUAAAUAUUAAAACAAAAGUUGUUAUUUAUACCAUGUGAGAUUGAAUUGCAAUCAAAGUAUAAUAUAUAUUUUUAUAAAGUAUUGAUAGCCUUAAUUGUAAAUAGAAUACAAGAUUUGUAUAUAAUUUAUGCUUUUUUUAAUGUGAUUUGGGGUAGCUGUGACAUAGCAUCCUUAGGUCCUUGUAAAGAAUAUUCUAAGAUUCUACACUAUUUAGUAUUCAAUUCAUCAACUAUUUCAACUUAUUUUAUUUGUUGUAAUCUUUAUAUCUAAUUGAAUUUAAAAAGAUAUUUUAGAUAAAAUAAAAUUUAAAAUAUUAUGACAGCAUCUAAAGGUCCCAAUAAUUAGUAAUUAAAACCAAUUUUAGUAUUUAAAGUUAAUCUAAGCAUAACUCAAUGCAUUAGACAAGUUCCACCGUUUAACUCUAAAAAGAGAAACAAACAAACAAAAAAAAAGCCGGUUAUCAAUUGUUAUGAAUUACAACUUAGCAUAGCAGAAGACUGAAGGACAACCUGUUUUUUUCUUAGGAAAAAAAAAAAACAAAAACAAAACUUCCCUCUCAAUGAAGAAAUUUGAAAAGAAAAACAGACUCAUGGAACUUAAAAUGGUUUCAAGUGAAAGGGUAAUAAGAACAAUACGCCUAGAAAAAGGCAAAAAGUUGGAGAUACAGGAAGAGAUGAGUUGUCUUAUGGGCCAUGUCUUGAUUGUAGCUUCAUUUGAAAACUUUGGCUAAGCCAAUUCACAUGGCUUUGACAACUCUGUUUCCUUUUAUAGAUGAUUAACAUGGGAUGAACAUGACAUGUAAUGUUGCACACAAAAUCAUGUAAAAAUGAAUUGAUCUAACCUGUAAUGAAGGUUUAAAUAGAGGUUUCUAAUGAUUCAUUUUUGUAACUGUUUCCAACUAAAUGAUGAACAAACACACCUGCUGCAACGCUGACGUUUAAGCUCUCAACAGCCAUAAAGGACCUAAACUCAUCCACCGAGCGCCCAUCUGUCGUUUCAAUGUCAUUUUCUGUAUCAAUUGUUACAUCCACUGGAAUAUUCCCAGGGAUUCUAACGAGUUGUGAGCAGGAUCUCUCCACCAAGGGCCUCAAACCAGUGCCUUCACUGCCCAAAACUAGAAUCGUUGGUGCACCGGGCAGUACCUCUUUCAAAUCAAUGGAUUUUGAAGAAACCGAUGCUCCAAGGACUCUCCAACCAUUUUCGGCCGAGGAUGUUAAGAACUGCAUCAUGUUCUUACAGUAUCUAAGCUCCAUUAACUCAAGUGAACCAGCACUUGCUUUACUAACCACACCACUUAAUGGAGCUGAAUUUUUUGCACACAAAACAACUCCCGAUGCGCCAAAGAAAUAAGCAGAUCUUAUUAUUGCCCCCAAGUUCUGUGGGUCAGUAACUUCGUCCAAAGCCAACCAAAGUGAGCCCUUGUCAUCUUCAAGUGAGACAGGAUCCAAUUCUUUUAUUUUUACCAUCUCCAAGGGAGAAGCAUCUAACACAAGACCUUGAUGAGGGCGGUUAUCAGAAAUCAUAUUGAGAUCGUGCUUCGAUAUUUCCUUGAUAGUUAAUGCAUUCUUUUCAGCCAACUUAAGAACUUUCUCAAACCCUUUCUUGUCCUUCUUCUUCUUAUUGUUAUUGUUCAAGUCAAUCCCUUCUUGCACAUACAAUGCAUAGAACUCUCUUCUUCCAGCUGACAAAGCAGCCAAAACUGGUCCAACACCAUAAACCCCUUCACCAAUCAUUUUAGGUAAAGUGGAUUCAGAAGCUUCCUUCCAUGUUUUUCUGCCCCAACUUUCUUGUUUAUUCCACCUCUGAAACUCAGGUCUCUCAGUUGCACCUCUUUCAUCCACCAUUCCUCUAAAUCUACUUUUAAUCUUAUCCCAUCUAGGGUCUGCAAUGGCUUCUGUUUCUUCAUCUUCCACUUCUUCAUAACUUCCCCUCCUUUCGAUAUCAUCAUCUUUUUGCUCUUCAUUGUCCAUUCUUGUCCUCCUACUUUCUCUUUUUUCAUCUGCUAACUCAAUACUUCGUCUAGCAAAUUUCUCAGCAGAGACCUCCCAAGUCGAUCGAUUAGCACUUCCAAUUGGUUCUUUGCCAUAUCUCUUUUCCGGUUCAUCCCGAGACGACCUAUUGCCGUUCUUUCCAAAUCUCUUUGACUUAAAAUCUGAUUCCUUCCAAGGCGAUCGGUCCCCUCUCUUCUUUGUAGUAGAUUUAUCCAACCAUUUUGCCUUCUCAACACUGCUAGCUGCAGCUAACCAAGGAAGCUUAUUCCCAGAUAACACUCCUUCGUCCUUAAGACGAUAGGAACUCGAAAAACAUCGAGAUUUAUUCAAGGACACAGAUCUCAAAGAACUCCCAACGCUCAAAGGCAGUGAGUUCAAUUGGGGGCUUACUAAAUCCCUAAUUUCUGGAAAACAAUGGCGACCACGAAUUGAAAGCUUCACAAAGUUAGCCAUAGAGAGAUUAAUGUGAAAGCUUGAAAAUGACCCAGAUGAGGAAAAUGUGCAAGUGAGCAAACUAGGGUUUAUUGGGGGUUUUGGAGAUGACCCUGUAUGUAAAAUUUGUGGAAGUUUGAGGAAGUAAAUGAUUUGUAGAAUCUAGACCCCGAAUAAACUCUCAUGGGUAUGAAGAAACGCGCGUCUCUGUUAAAGAAACAGCGACAUUGAAUGAAAACAACAAUUCUAGAAGUUUACCAUAGUUACGAGCUUAAUUUGAAAGCAUAAACCCAUGAUUUCUGUAGAAGAAAGACAAAUAUUGAAAUGCAAGAGUUGUAAAAUGAAAGGUGAAUACCUUAUCUCCGGUUAAAUGAUCGCCGAAUGUCCGCCGUCGCACAGUUUCGAGAUGAAAUUCAACCGUGGGUUGAUAGGGUUGAGGCAAGAGACUGAGAAAUGGAGAAGGAUGAUGAUAUACUCAACGACGCCGUUUCGAGUUUCAAAAUAUACUUUUCUUUUCGUUGUAGAUAUUGAUAUUUGUUGAUGUGUGAUUAACGCUGUAUGUUACCUAUUUUCAGAAAAAGAAUCCUCAACGAGAGUGUGGUGUUUGGCUUUAACAUAUUCCAAAACUUAAGUUAUUAUCAAAUAUGGUUGAUAGUCGAGUUAGAGAACGUUGUAUUCUUUCUUAUGAAAGCCUUAUUUGUUUCAGUGUUGCAUGUGUUAACUUGACUUACCAUUACUUUAAGGCAAAACAAAGAAACAUUUAUAGAUGAAUCUUUUAUUUUCUUAUUUUGUGAGAUAUGAAUUUUGGAGUAUGGAUGUCUAUUGAGUUUAAUAGGUGAGUUUAGAGAUGUAAACAAAAUUAAAGGGUAAAAUUUGGAAAUUUGUAUAAAUUAGGGACUAAAAUCAAAAUUAGAGUAAAAAUAACAAAUGCGCCGACGCCGACUAUAAUUAAUGUUAAAGUCGGGUCUAACCCGAAACCUUCUAUUAACCAAAGCGAAAGGAAACCUAUUUCCCAUUUUCGGCCGACUUUGUAAACCUCCGCCCACAGAAAGCGCAAAAACCUUCCGAUCAAACCUUCCAUGGGAACGCCUGAGACUUCUCGAGAGCCUUGUCCAGAUCGGAUCCUCGACGACAUUGGUGGCGCUUUCGGUAUGGGCGCUGUCGGUGGCUCCGCCUUCCAUUUUCUCAAAGGCAUCUACAGUUCUCCUAAAGGCUCUCGUCUUCUUGGUGGUUCUCAAGCCGUCCGAAUGAACGCUCCUCGUAUUGGCGGUAGCUUUGCCGUUUGGGGUGGCUUGUUCUCCACUUUUGAUUGCUCCAUGGUCUACCUCCGUCAGAAGGAAGAUCCAUGGAACUCGAUCAUAGCCGGUGCUGCUACUGGCGGCUUCCUCCAGAUGCGUCAGGGCGUCGGCGCUUCCGCCCGUUCGGCUUUGUUUGGCGGUGUUUUGCUGGCUUUGAUCGAGGGAGCCGGGAUCAUGCUUAAUAAGGUUCUUAGUCAACCGCAGAACGCUCCUAUUAUGAUCGACGAUGCCGGUGCUAUGGCAGGCGUCCCUGGUUAUCCUAUGGAUCAGAUUCCGGGACUAACGCCACCGGGAACUUCGUCGGGAAGUCCGGGAUCUUCAGAUGCAGGUUCAGGGUCAUGGUUCGGAGGAUUGUUUGGUGGGGGACAGAAAAAGGAUUCAGAGGCAAAUCGUGGGGACGGGGAAACGAAGAUUUUGGAGAGCUUUGAUUCACCGCCGGUGCCAAAUUUCGAGUUCAAGUAAAUAUUCUUUAUUCUAAGAUUUUGAUUUGUUUAGGGAAAGUGAAGUUAGAAUUGGAAUUUUAUGAUUCAUCCUGACUUAAAAUUGCAAUGGGCGAAGUGUUCUUUCAUUGUUUGUUGUUCUGAAAGAGUUAUCUGUAACAAUAAGAGAUUGUAGAACACAAUAUUCAAUCAAUUGAGAAACAUCAUUUUUAACAAUUUAACUGGGAAAACAACAAGAAACCUAGUUUUAGAAUUUCUUGAAACAUCUUUGAAUUCAAACACUCUCUAAUGUAGCUUAACGAAUUCAUUGAAUCCUCUAAUGGUAUUAGAAUGUGGGGGGGUUGAGUUGGAUAUAAGAUGGGAGUCCUAGAGUGUAUGUAAUUCCUACUGUUAAGGUGCGCACACACAGUUAUUUAACGAUGAACACUAACACUAGUUGAACACAUACUGUAUGUGAUCUAGCACAAUAGAACACUUGUUGCAUAGACCUAAAAAAAGACAACUUUUGAAUGUAUUAAAGCUUAGAAAUGCAUCAAAAUUUAUUAAAAAAAACAAAGAAAAAACAUUCUUUUUCUCUCUGGUAAAUACUGAGGAAAACCCAACCAUGGGCAGUGUUAGUAGGGCCAUCUGGGUGUACUUAGAGGGUUGGGUGUGGAGUACUACUAUGGAAUGUACCAAGUAUUGUUUUCACUCCCAUUUCUUACCGAUGGUGUUUUAGCUUGUUAGACUAUUUCACGUCUACUAAUAAUUAAUAUUAUGGAACAUGCUUGAGCUUUGGCAUUUGCCAUUUGCCAUUUGGUGUUUAAACUUCAAGCCCCUUUGAGGGCAAUCCACACUUAGUUUCUAAAAUCAAGUUCAAGUUUUGAAAACUAAACAAUCAUACAUACAUGCAUGUCAAUGGUCAUUUCUUAGAUCAUGAAGAAACUAUUAAUAUUUUUUUAUACUAAUUAGAAACUAACAUAUCAUAUCUUAGAUGAGACCAAAAGGAUGCUUGUGCGACUAUAAAUUAGCCGAAGCACAAGCUCAAAGGGGUAAGUGCAAGACCAAUAAAAGCUUAAAUUUAAUAAGUCAGUCCUUAGCUAAAUAGAAUCAAGUCAGAAUUCUAUAAAUAGACGAGCUCUUUUUCAUCUUGGAAUGGUAGAGAUUGGAUAACGAGAAAGAAGUGAUGAACAAUGAAUUGAAAGAAUUUCUAAACAUGUGAGGAUCAAAAACCCCCUUGAAGAACAAAAUGAUACAUUAAGAUUAGAGACCUUUCAAAUUGAGAAAAAAUAUUCUUCAAAAAAUCAUUUUUAUGAAAAGCUAUUUGUUAUGGUUGUCGAACAUAGUUUUUUUUUUUUCAAAUACUCACUCGAAGGCAUAUUUAUGCGAAUUAAAACGAACUAGAAUAUUUAUUAAACAUAAUAAAAUUUUAUAUUUUAUUAAUAAUAAAAGUUAUAUAGAAGACGGGGAGAAAGACUUUUCUUUUGGAGAAACUAAACGGAAUAGACUUCAAAAGAAAAAUUAUUUUAAAGUGAAGUGAAAGGGAAAGGUAAUAAAUUUCUUGGGUUUGCUUUUCAAUUUUGAGCAAGUUCUGUUGACUGAUUGCCAACCUUGACUUUUCAAACUAUCUUAUUAAAUAUUUUUGUUUGCUACCGGUACAACUUUAGUAAGUCUGAAGCUUAAGUUUAAGGCAUGAUACCAUAAUUAUUAAUACUAAAAAUUGCUUUUCCUUAUAAUUAUUUCGAUUGAAUUUGUUUUACUCAUUAGUUUAAGUUUUAUUUUUUGCAAUCAAUUUUAACCUUGUCAAAUUUUCAUCAGACGAUGUGAUUGAUUUUAAUAUAUGUCUACAUCAACAAUUGAAGCCAUGUUACGUAUUUUGCUAUCAAUGUUAGUCUAGCUUAAUUGUUCAAUCGUGACAAUGUGAUGUUAAUAUAUGUGGAUAUCAAUAUUUCAGUAUAACACGAUUGAAACAGUGUAACAUGUCCAUCAGUAGGGAAAAAACAGACCAUAAAACAAAAGUUUAGAAAUCAAGAGGUGGGGAAGUAGAUUUCUCUUUCUCUAGAAGGAUAGAAAGUAGAGGUUGGGAUAAUGAAUCCAACACAAGUUUUGUAGAGUACUUUUCUCCCUUUUCACAUGAAGAAGAAUUAGUCAAAUUAGUAAUAACAACUCAAAAUAUAGUAAAUGCUUUCUUGCACCGCCAUAGCCAAAUACCUUCUUCAUCCUCUCCACAUGAUGACGUCUCUUUCUUUUCUCUUUUUUCUGAAACCCAUUUCCUUCUUCUUCUUCCUCCUCUGUUUCCACCAUGUCAAUUCCCAGCUCUACCAACAAGAACACUCUGUUUUACUCCGAUUGAACCACUUCUGGCAAAACCAAGCUCCCAUCAGCCAUUGGCUCACCUCCAACGCUUCUCAUUGUUCAUGGACGGAGGUUCAAUGCACCAACAACUCCGUCACUGGUCUGAUUUUCUCUUCCUACAAUUUGAACGGAACUAUCCCCUCUUUCAUUUGCGACCUCAAAAAUCUCACCCACCUUAAUCUUCACUUCAAUUUCAUCACCGGUACCUUCCCCACCACUCUUUACCAUUGUUCCAACCUCAAUCACCUCGACCUCUCGCACAAUUUACUCGCCGGGUCAAUUCCAGACGACAUCGACCGCUUGUCUCGCCUCGAGCAUCUCAAUCUCGGUGCAAACAGGUUCUCCGGCGAAAUUCCGGUAUCGAUUUCUCGGUUGUCGGAACUUAAACAACUCCAUCUUUAUGUUAAUAAAUUUAAUGGGACAUACCCAUCUGAAAUCCGAAAGUUGUUGAAUCUGGAAGAAUUGUUAAUAGCUUACAAUUCAAAUCUCCAACCGGCUGAAUUGCCUUCCGGUUUAUCGAAGUUGAAGAAGCUGAGGUAUUUAUGGAUGACAGAUUCCAAUUUAAUCGGUGAAAUUCCUGAAUGGAUCGGUAAACUGAGGGAUCUUGUGAUAUUGGAUUUGUCGAGGAACAACUUGACUGGGAAAGUCCCCCACAGUUUGUCUAAGUUGAAGAAACUCAGAAUUGUGUAUCUGUUCAAGAACAAUCUCACCGGAGAAAUUCCUGAAUGGAUUGAAUCCGAAAACAUCACCGAAUACGACCUGUCGGAAAAUAAUUUGACCGGUGGAAUUCCAGUAAGCAUGAGCCGUAUUCCGGCAUUAUCAAACGUUAGAUUGUUUAGUUAUAUGAUCCUUCAAGGUUUUCAAUUUACUGCCAAUAAAACCACCGGAAAUAUGUGCUCCGGCGGUAAAUUGAUACAACCCGAAGUUCGAAUUACAGAAUGAUAUUUGUACCGAAAAAAUAAUGUAUCAUGCGAAGAAAUUAUGUAAAGGUAAAGAAAGAAAAGUUUGACAAUAAGAAAUUAUAUUUGUUUUUGUGCUUAUUCUGAUCUUCUUGGCUACUACCAAAGUGAUUGCAAACAUGAGCUUGCUUGCUGCCCCUAAUGGCUUUGGUUGGUAACUCUUUCUUUAUUAGUUGUAUCAUACAAAAAUAGUCAUUAAAUUUUGAGAUCAUAGGUUACAAUAAUCAAAAUCUGGAGACAAACAAAGUUUAACUAAAUUUUAAAGGUAUUUGUAUAAGUUAAGGGGUUGCUUGACCCAUUAAGUAGAGUCGAUAAAUUUGAAGAAGUCAAUAUGUUGGAGUCAACUAUUAUAUGAAUAAAAUUAGAAAAUAUUAGGCUUAGUGAAUUAGUGUUUGCAACUAAGACACAACUCUCUUUACUUUUAGCACAUAAAUUGAUAACAAAUAUCAUCUUUUUAUGUAUAUGGAAAUGAAAAUAUGUAUAUCAAUAUCAUUGAUGAAGGUAGAACUAAGAAGUGUUCCAUUAAUUAGUAAUGGUUAUGAGAAUAUAGUUUACCAAACAUGUAACAAUAUUGUAACAAUUGUUAUAAUUAGAAAUGAAAGUAGUAAAUAUAUUAUGAGGGAUAGAGCUAUCAAAAUGUAAUAGAUACUCUAUAUAUAUAUUGAAAUUGAAUCGUAGAUAACUAAUAGUCUCCAAAACUUUAAAGAUUAUCAAAUUUACAAAUUAUUCAUUUGUGGGAUAUAGUUAUAGAUAAUAACAAAUAAUCUUGCAAUCAUUAUAGGGAUGUGUGGAGAUGAAAACCAAUCCGUUGUUUGAAAUUGAAUGAAAAAUGAUCUUAUAUUUGUGUCUAACAUCUUUUGAAACAUCUAGGAGCUUUCAUGUUUUAUGCUCUAUACUUUACAUUCUAUACUUGUUAUGCCAUAUACUAUAUGGAUCCCUACUACUUGACGCUCAAAGAACGAUAAAAGCAAUCAAAGAAGCAAAGAAAAAAACAGGAAAACGAAGCAUUUAGGGGUAUGGUGGUAAUUUUACAUAUGAUAUAUAGUAACAUAAAUAAAUAAAUAAGUGAAAGAGACCAAAAAGUCCCUGCGAGUGAUGACCCAAAAAAGUCAUCCUUUUGUUUUUCUUUCUCUCUUUUUGGAAAUUAAAGAAGAAAAAAUCCACCUUUGCAAUUAUUAUGAAGUGUGAACCCUAAAUUCUAACAAUAUAAAAACCCUUCUUUAGGUCCAAAAUUCCAAUUCAAGAGUAGACUGGUUUACUUUUCAAUAAUGCUUCAACAUUAUGAUAAAAUAGUUUGAGGUUAUGGUUUGUUCGACCUCAUACUUUAUGCUUUUUAAUAAAUAAACAACAAUCCAAAACCAAGAGCGUAAGGGCAACGUACACAAAAGGUUGUCAAAAAUGACAUCACACCUAAGUGUCAAAUUUUAAGAAACAAGUGUGUGUGCGCGUGGGUGUGUCGAGGUCGGUUGGGAUCGGUUUUAAAAAGUUUUAAAUUGAGAAUUAGAUACAACCGAUCCUUACUCAUUGAUGUUGAGGUCGAUUCGACAUUUUACUGAACUGACUAUGAUUGGUUUAAAGUCAGUUUUGUAAAAAAAAUCGACUUCGAUCGAUCGAUGAUCACCCCUAGUUUUACUAUCGAGAACAUACUCUAUUUGGUGGCUUACAUUGUUUUUGUUUUUGCUUUAUAGGUUGAAAAACAUUUUUGGUUCUCAAAGUUUUAUAAAACUAAUAUUUAAGUCUUCGAAUGGUAGCUAUUAAUGAUUUACUCCAUGUAAUUUUAAAUUUAUAACACAUUAGACUCAAAAUUUUGAUUGAUUUUUAUGAACACUUUUUUUUAUUAAAACCUACAAAAUUUUCACGAUAGACACAAUCAAUUACAAAUUUAAAACUGCAAAGACUAAAUUGUCACUUAUUAAAGGUUAGAAACUAAACUGUUACAGAUUUGAAAGUGAGCAUAAACUAAAUCAGAUAUAGAUUUGGUACCUAAUGACUUUGACAUUCUCUGCAACCAGGCAACGUCAUCUUUGAGCGUAUUAAAAUAACACAAGUGCUCAACCAACAUUAGUCCUUACUGCAUAAUUUGUACUCACCUAUAUGCUUUCUAUAAAAUUUGUUAAAAAAACACCAUGCAACAAGACAAAUUUUCUUUCAAACUAUGCACAUCAAUCAAUUGAAAUCAGUUUUUUGACCAAACCGACACAGUUUGUCUAUAAUUGAUUCUUUAAAUGUUCAAAUGAAUUGAGGGUUGAAUGAAUAAAAGUGAAUAGAAAUUAAAAUGGUUGGUGUAUUGCAGUGGAAGACAAAGUAGAAACAUUGUAUUGAAGUGUGGAAAGGGAAUUGAACAAAGAUUUUAAUAAUAAUAAUAAUGUGGAAAAGAAAAGAAAAGCGAAGGAUUGAAUGAUAAUAUUAAAAGAGAAUGCGGUCAAAUACCGUGUGCUGCCCGGUUGCCCCAAAUUUCCUACCAACUUUUUCCAUUCCUUUUCUUUUCUAAUACUUUUCCACUUUCCUUUCACAUUUACAAUCAACCAAUUGGUAUUCUAUCUUUUAAAAUUGUAUUCUAUCUAAUAAAAUUGUUAUUGAUGACUUAUUAGUGAAAAUUGAAUACUAUAAUCUUGGAUUCAAUAAACUAAGGUUUUGAAACUGUCUAGUGUAGACUUCAACUUUUUAUAGAGACAUAAAAAUGGAUCAAGUUCGAGUAUUUAGUCCAAAUUAAUGGUUUCUAAAUUUUAGAAAAUGUUAUUUGAGUCGUGAUUUAAUUGGUUUCAAAAUUUUAUAAUUUUACUAUUAAGUUUCAAUUUUAUUUUUAAAUUUUAGGAUUUAAACUUUAUUGAAAUUUUACUAAAUACUCACUUUAAAUCUUUGUUUAUGAAUUAAUUUGGAAGAUUUUUUAAAACUUAUAGUUAAUUGAGUUUCACUAUUUUUCCACACUAUUAAAAUUGCUUUAAAAAAAUACUACUUGAUAGUUUUUCUAAAAAAAAAUUAAUUAACAAACAAUAAAGCUAAAGUCUUACCCGGGUGUUUGGAGAAAAAUCAAGGUUAAAAACGUAAAUUUUGAAAUUCAAUGAACAGGUUGAAACAAUAAUCAAAUCUGAAGAGUAAAAUUGUAGCAUUCUGAAAUUUAAGAACUUAUUUGAAAUAAAACUCAAAAUUCAAGAAUUAUAUGCACGACAUUUUACCUAAAUAAAAUGGUCUAGUGAGCCAACUAUUUAAGAGUUUAUGAUUGAUUUUGAGAAUGCUAAAAGUAAUUAAGUAAAAAUACUUUUUUAGUACAUCAAUUAGGUAUUUGAAAAUUCAAACAUGGCACGUCAAUUAUCAUUGAGUUAAACUCAUGCCAACAAUUAAGUUCAAAUAAUUACAAUUAAGAAUGUUUUUCUAUACGGACAUUUUUAAAAAUAGCAAAUUAAAUUAAAAUAUUUACAAAUUAUAACCAAAUUUUGUAUUCAACCAAUAUUAGUAUAGUCACUGAUAUAGACAUUGAUACGCUUAUAUUCUCAUUAUCAAAUAUCAAAUUUGUUACUUUUAACCAUUUCCAUUUUAUAUAUAUAUAUUUUGAAAAGAGUGUGGUAGAAAUAAUUGUGAAAUGGGAAUGAAAUCACUUUAUUAAAGACAUUGGUUUGCUCACCUUUUGAAAUAGAAUUAAUCCUAUACCAACUUUGAACAUAGAUUUUUGUAGAAUCAACAAGUAUUGAUUUCAUAAGUUUUGAUAUCUUUGCUAUGUUGUCGUUACUGGGUGACUCUUAGUAGUAGAGACAAAGGUAAUAAUACUAACAUUAUAUUUGAUAAAAUUUAUAACCGUAAGUAAAUAUGAUUACAAGGAAUCCAAUUACACUUGUCACGAAAGCUUAUUAUGAUCGAUCUAUUAAUAAAAUUUUAUUAAGAUCACAAUAAUCUUUAUUCUAGUUCGAUAAACAUCACGCAAAUGGUUAGACGUUGGAAUUUAUUGUAUUUUGUUGAGUAAUUUUUAAAAUAUUGAUUUAAGUUUUCAAAAUAUCAAAUUAAUUAUAAUUGUGAAAAGAAAAACUAUAUGGAUAACUUUUGAAGAUUUUCUUUCUUUGAGAAAAAGAAAAAUGGAUAUUUUAAUCAAUAAUAAAUUAGUAAUAGUGCACACGUGUGGGGCUUGGAGAUGAAAAAGGAAAAUUCUUGAAAAUAAUAUAAUAACAAAUAAAAUAAUUAUUAAAAAAGAAAAUAAUAAUAAUAAUAGUAACGGAUGAUCUCCAAAAUUAAAUCGACCGUAAAUGUGUAUUAUCGAAAAAAGUUGUGAAAUAUUUUGCAAGACGAAAGAAAAUUGAAUAUUGAUGGUGUCAUGCCAUGCACCAAGUCAGCUUUGAGUUUGCACGAGUUACUUUACCGUAAGAAAUAAUAUACGAUUUCAAGCAUACUUAUGAUCAGUAGCUUUGAUUGUCUAUGCUUGGACUCAUGAACCGCACCUCUUAAAUUUUUUAAUCCAUUGAGGUGUUACACAUCGAGUGGUUGUACUAUCACCACUCGAGAUAUAACUGAUACUUAAGUGCAUUGUCGGCACAACUCAACUUCUCAAGGGUCGUUCCUCUAUGAAUAUUGUUUAAAUUCAUUGAAAAUAUGCAUAAUUUCAAACUUCCAAUCACUCCGAGCUCCUUCAUGUGCCCUCCAAACUUGUUCGUGUGAAUGCUAUAUUUUUUGUGGGUCAUGUACAUAUCCUCCUAGACAUUUUCCUUAACUUUUUUCUACCUUUCAAAAUUUUUUAUUGUAAUUGUAUAUAACUUUUUUUUAUAUAAGAUUUAUAAGUCAAGACCAUGCGUAAAAUUGUAGGGUUCCGUAUUAUAAUCUAGUUCAAGAUUAAGUAUACACAUUUCUUUAACCGGUUUUAUCGAGACCGAACAUCCAUAGUUAGGAUUUUUCUUAUAUAUAUGUUUUUUUAUUGUUAUUAUAAAGAUAAAAAAAAUUCGUAACCAUCUUAUAUAUCUAAAUAUUUUAAUUAUGGAAAACGAAUAAACCCUAGUAACAAUAAUAGGGAAGUCAAUUGCAAUCUAGAAGCUUUGUAGAAGAGGUAAAGCUAAGUAGAGGAAAUAUUGUAUUAGAUAUUAGGAAGUGGAAGACUAAAAGGGAAUGGUAUUUUUUUUAUUUUAGAAGUGAAGUGAAAGGGAAGAAGAUGAGUAAUAACAAUUGGAAACUUCCUAUUUAUUUAUUUAUGUUUUUCUAAAAAGGAUUUAUUGGGGUUUGCUUUUGAAUCAUUGACCAAUUCCAACUUGGACUUUUCAAACCUUUUAUUUAACUAUUCUUUGUGUUCAUCUUCCACUUCUCUCCCUCUUCCUUUCUAUUCAAUACAAUACAACAUGGUAGACUCCUUAAAUUCAAUUCACACUCUCUAUGGAACAUCAAUGGAUCUAUGCUCCACUUUUAAAAAGAUUGAGAGACUUUUCUAUUUAUAAACAUGUCAUUUUUUCUUUAAAUGAUUGCUUUCAAUAAGAUUUAUGGAUUAGAAUGAUAUCACAUAGUGGAACAAAUUAAAUACACAUGGGUAAUGUUUUAAUUUCCUUUUUUUUUUUUUUGGUAUUUUGCGAUCAAUUUUAGUCUUGCUCAAUUUUUACGUUCAAACGAUGUGGAUUUGAUAUAUGUCCACAUCAUGUUAGCUAUAUAAAGUUGAAACUAUAUUACGUAUUUUGCUGACAAUGUUAGCCUUGCUCAAUUUCCACGAUCUAGACAAUUUUGAUGUUAAUAUAUGUCUACAUCAGUGUGUUAGUAUAUACAGUUGAAACAAUGUAUCUAUUCAACACUAAAAUAUUUCUAUUUCCCUAAAAAGUUAUAAAGUAGAUGUUGGAACAAUAUAUCUAACAAAAGUAUACUAAAUAUUAUUUUUUCCUUUCACAUGACCAACACGUAGUUUUAAAGAUCAAAGAAAACCAAUAUGAAAAAAUAUAUAUGUUGGUUUUUCAUCCAAACCAGAAAAUGGGUUUAGUGGAAGUAGAAGUUUUCUGGGAAGAAUACUAAUUAAUUGCACAUAAUAAUAAGCUAAGAUAAAAUAAAAUUAGGAAUAUAACUAAACUGACAUAUAAAGAAAAAUUUUGUUUGAUUUAAAUUGAUAGAUAUAUUCUCAAAUCAUUAUUAGAUAAAUAUAAAAAAUUGCAAAUGGAAGUGGGAAAUAAAAAUAAAAUAAUAAAUAAAAAAUGUUGGAAUCAUUUUAUAUGAAUUUAAGAGGCGAAGUUUAGAAGCAAAACUCAAACUUCGGCUACGAAGCUUCGUUUUACAUUCACACUUGACCUGCAAAAUUUCUACCACAUCAAAAACUAAUAACAACAAAUCCGCCAUAGACGAAAACCUUUGAAUCAUCUUCUCCACAUGACGACAUCUCUUUCUUCUCUAUCUCUUUUCUUUUUUCUGAAACCCAUUUCCUUCUUCUUCCUCUUCCUCUGUUUCCACCAUGUCAAUUCCCAGCUUUACCAACAAGAACACUCUGUUUUGCUCCGACUGAAUCAGUUCUGGAAAAACCAAGCUCCCAUUACCCAUUGGCUUUCCUCAAAUGUCUCUCAUUGUUCAUGGCCGGAGGUUCAAUGCACCAACAACUCCGUCACUGCUCUGUUUUUCCCUUCUUACAAUUUGAAUGGAACCAUCCCUUCUUUCAUUUCCGAUCUCAAAAAUCUCACCUACCUUAAUUUUCAAGUCAACUACUUCACCGGUGGCUUUCCCACCACUCUUUACAGUUGUUUGAAUCUUAAUUACCUCGACCUCUCGCAGAAUUUACUCACCGGGCCGAUUCCUGAUGAUGUCGACCGCUUGUCUCGCCUCCAGUUUCUUAGUCUCGGUGGAAACAACUUCUCCGGCGAAAUUCCGGUAUCGAUUUCUCGCUUGUCCGAACUUCGGUUCCUUCAUCUCUAUGUUAAUCAAUUUAAUGGGACGUACCCAUCUGAGAUUGGUAACUUGUUGAAUUUGGAAGAAUUGUUAUUGGCUUACAAUUCGAAACUGGAACCGGCUGAAUUGCCUUCCAGUUUUGCGCAAUUGAGCAAAUUGACGUAUUUAUGGAUGUCAGGGUCGAACGUAAUCGGUGAAAUUCCUGAAUGGAUUGGAAAUUUGACGGCUCUCGUGCAAUUGGAUUUGUCGAGGAACAAUUUGAUUGGGAAAAUCCCCAAUAGUUUGUUUACGUUGAAGAAUCUCAGUUUUGUUUAUCUGUUCAAGAACAAACUCUCAGGAGAAAUUCCUCAACGGAUUGAUUCUAAAGCCAUCACCGAAUACGACUUGUCGGAAAAUAAUUUGACCGGAAGAAUUCCGGCGGCUAUCGGGGAUUUACAGAACCUGACGGCUCUGCUUCUGUUUACAAAUCGUUUACAUGGAGAAAUCCCAGAAAGCAUCGGCCGUCUUCCAUUAUUAACGGACGUAAGAUUGUUCGACAACAAUUUAAACGGUACGAUACCGCCAGAUUUCGGCCGGAAUUUGAUCCUCAGAGGUUUUCAAGUGAAUUCCAAUAAACUCACCGGAAGCUUACCGGAGCACUUGUGCUCCGGUGGUCAACUGCUAGGAUUGAUUGCUUAUCAGAAUAAUCUUAGUGGGGAGUUGCCAAAGUCUCUUGGGAAUUGCGAUAGCUUGGUUAUUGUCGAUGUUCACGAGAACAAUAUUUCAGGGGAAAUUCCGGCGGGUUUAUGGACGGCUCUGAAUUUGACUUAUGCAGUGAUGAGCAACAAUUCUUUCACCGGUGAUUUUCCUCAGACGGUUUCGAAGAAUCUUGCGAGAUUGGAAAUCAGUAAUAACAAAAUUUCAGGGGAAAUUCCGUCGGAGUUAUCUUCGUUUUGGAAUUUGACGGAGUUUGAAGCCAGUAAUAAUCUGUUGACAGGAAAUAUUCCUGAAGAAUUAACCGCUCUUUCAAAGCUGAACAAUCUUUUGCUUGAUGAAAAUCAAAUAAAUGGGGAGCUUCCAAAGAAAAUCACUUCAUGGAAAUCAUUGCAGCGUCUUAAACUGAAUCGAAAUCGUUUAUCCGGUGAGAUACCGGACGAAUUUGGCUAUUUACCGAACCUUAAUGAUCUUGAUCUCUCGGAGAAUCAACUUUCCGGGUCAAUUCCGCUUUCGUUGGGGAAGUUGUCGCUGAAUUUUCUUGACCUGUCUUCAAAUUUUCUGUCCGGGGUUAUCCCAUCUGCAUUUGAAAAUUCAAUCUUUGCAAGAAGCUUUUUGAACAAUCCGAAUCUUUGCUCGAACAAUGCAGUUCUAAAUCUCGAUGGUUGUAGUUUGAGAACUCAGAAUUCGAGAAAGAUUUCGUCGCAGCAUCUUGCGCUGAUCGUAAGCUUGGGCGUAAUCGUAGUGAUACUCUUUGUAGUUUCAGCUUUGUUUAUAAUCAAAAUCUAUAGGAGAAAUGGAUACAGAGCAGAUGUUGAAUGGAAGCUGACCUCAUUUCAGAGGUUGAAUUUCUCGGAGGCAAAUCUUUUAUCUGGGCUAUCGGAGAACAACGUUAUUGGGAGCGGUGGUUCCGGUAAAGUUUAUCGGAUCCCAGUGAAUAGUUUGGGCGAAACAAUGGCCGUGAAGAAAAUAUGGAACAACAGAAAGUCAGACCAUAAGCUCGAGAAACAAUUCAUGGCGGAAGUGAAAAUCCUCAGUUCAAUUCGACACAACAACAUAAUCAAACUCCUCUGCUGCGUUUCUUGUGAUACUUCAAAGCUCCUAGUUUAUGAGUACAUGGAGAAGCAAAGCCUCGAUAAGUGGCUACAUAAGAAGAACUCCCCGCCGAGAAUUACAGGGUCAGAACCUAUUAGUGGUGUCGCUCUCAAUUGGCCGACAAGAUUUCAAAUUGCAGUAGGGGCAGCGCAAGGCCUCUGUUAUAUGCACCAUGAUUGCUCCCCACCGGUAAUUCAUAGAGAUUUAAAGUCUAGCAAUAUCUUACUAGAUUCAGAUUUCAAUGCCAAAAUAGCAGAUUUUGGCUUAGCCAAGUUGCUCAUAAAGCAAGGGGAACCGGCUUCAGUUUCCGCGGUUGCCGGCUCUUUUGGAUACAUAGCUCCAGGUAAGAGACAUCCCAAUUCAAACCUAUCAAAGAAUUUGAUAUGAGACAUUAAUGGGCAAAACUAAAAGCUUGUUCCCUUUCUAACUGCAGAGUAUGCUCAGACACCAAGAAUUAACGAGAAGAUCGAUGUGUUUAGCUUCGGAGUCAUUCUUCUGGAGUUGGCAACUGGAAAGGAAGCUCUCGACGGUGAUGCAGACUCAUCUCUGGCAGAGUGGGCUUGGGAAUAUAUUAAAAAAGGCAAACCAAUAGUCGAUGCGUUGGAUGAGGAUGUGAAGGAGCCACAAUAUCUUGAUGAAAUGUGCAGUGUUUUCAAACUGGGUGUGAUCUGCACUUCUGGUUUGCCAACGCACCGGCCGAACAUGAAUCAAGCACUGCAAAUCUUGAUCGGCAGCCGGACCUCAGCUCCCCAAAACCAUGGAGACAAAAAACAGGGAGAGUGAAAGUAUGCUGAGAAAACGAUGACCAUUACUUGAGAGAUGCAACAGUCUAACGUUGUCUUCAAUGGCCUCUUUUUUUACUAUCAAGAUUCACCAUCACAUGUUUUUGAACCUUGGUCGUUAAAUAUAAGGUGGAGACUGAAGGGGACCCUGCGCUCCAGCCACUGCUCCAAGGAGAAAUGGCCAAGGAGUUGAUGGGUCGCAUCAGUUUCUUUGUAAAUUUUGAAUAACAAUUCCUCUUAAGUGUAUUUUAACGAGAACCUCAAUAAUAAUAAAUGAGAACUCAUUCAGCUCAAGCAAAGCCAAACGUUUUUUACUCUUCAUCGUUUUAAAUAAGCACUUUUCAGUUGCUCAUUUUGAAAGCUUGUGAAAGGACCGGACUUCCAAGUAUCUGAGUAUUAAACACUGCUAUUGACAAGAUCAAAAUGGCAACCAGAAAGAACCAAUGAAAAAUGAAAUUCUUUAUUUGUAUACUUGAUAACAGUUCUUGCUAUCAUCCAUUGAUGGAUUGAUCUAAUUCAAAAGGAGAAAUUUGACAGCCUGCAGACAAGCCAUGUGGUUCUAAUUUAUUUGGCAAAGGAACUGGAGAAGGAUGAUUUCAUCGGAGACUGGCAAGAAGGGAAAUCUCUCGUCCUCAUUUAUUAACCAUGUCAGAGCCGAAGGGAGGACUUGUGCCCCAAUGCCAUCAACAUUGGCUCCCACAUCAUAACAAUAGAGGAAGCCACUUCAAAAUCUUGGGACUUUUCGCAAGCAAAUCUACCACAUAAUGAUCUCUGAGCCAUAAAAUUAACGACUUAAGAGUCAUUGAAACAAGUCUAAAUAAUCUCAAGUCUGUAAGAAAAAGAAUACAAGUACUAUUACAACAAAAAAAAUUGGAACUAUUUCAUUCUUUUGAGCUACCUUGGCUGGCAUUGGACUCCUUUUUUCAGGACUCCUCUACCCCAAGAUACUGGGAAUGAGAUGCAGCGAGAAGUGCUGCUCCAAUCCCGGAGCCAUCAUUUGAGUGCUCGAUCACGAAGUUGUCCGCAACUUGGUCUCCCAGUAAUUCCUUGAGUGAACUCUCCAAGGAAUUUCUAAAUUUUGUGUAGUGCUCAAAUAACCCACCAUCAACAGCUAUGACAGAUUUCUGGUUAUCCCCAUCUUUUGGGGUGUCUCUUCCUAAUUUCUUGAUGAUCCCAUAAAUCCCAGCAGCUGAUAGGCGUGCACCACGAGUGGCAACAAUGUCACAUAGCAUAAAGACAAUUUUUCUCAAAGGUAGGGGGCUGUUCGAUACCUGACACAGAAGAGCAAGUUUACAUGUCAGCAACAACAUGAGCUUUGGUGACUGAAAAAAAGACUAGGCUAUGUUUUCCUUUCAUGAAGUGACAAAAACUCAAAUAAACCAAGAGAAGAGUGAUCAAUUAGUUCCUCAAGGUGCAUAACUAAUGGAACGAACAAGAAAGGGAACUGUUAUUCAACCUCCAAAAUGUUAUUUAGCUUGCUUCCAACAACUUUCAGAUCUGGAGAUGUAUCAUGAUGCAUGGCAGACAUGUCCGGAGUCCUGCAUAAAUACAAAUAAUCCAACUUUGUAGUUGAAACAUAGAUAAAACCAUCUACGUAUUUGUUUUACAAAGAGGUCAAAGAGGUCGGUCAAAAAGCACGUCCCACUACAAGUAAGCAAGAGCAAUACCUAAGAAUGAAAGGUUUCUUCAGUUUAGGCGGAACAACAUCACCGAAAAGGGCAGCUUCUUCAGCCAUCCUACACAGAACUCUGCGUACAAUUUCUCCUAGAUACAUACCAGAUAUCAUCUUCUCAAAAAUCUGCAAGAUGGAUAGCCACAAGAUAUGUAUUAUAUAUAGGACAGGCAAUUUGAAAUGAAAAAAACUAUAAGACGAAUAGCUCAAAGAAAAGAGGACCUUUACCUGUUCCCCCGGGUUUAAACUUUCCAAAUCUAGAGCUUGAUCAUACUCGGUGAAGGGAAGAUGAGAAGACCGGAAGUUACCCCAUUCCAUGUUAAUAACCUGUCAGUUUGAAAGAACGUUAAACAUGGGAAUUGCAUGUGCCGCUCCACAUAUGCAGCAUUUGUUCUUACUAACCAUCUCUCCUGAUUGAGGUAGAAGGCCUUGCCAUUUAGGAAUUGCAUGUGCCCGUUCCACAUAUGCAGCAUUUGUUCCAGUUCCUAGAAUCACAGCAGCAAUAACAUUAUCGUUGUGGUAUCUGCCCCCAGCUAGUGUGCCUAUUGUAUCAUUUACCUGAACCAGAUAGACUAGUUAGAAUGUCCAACAUAAUGAGGAGCAAAAUUCAUGGGGAAAAUUCACUUCACAGAGUUGUAACAAAUGCUUGUUAAAGAUGUUGGAGAUAGUGAAUAAAGGGCAAUACCAAAGCCGCCACACGCAUAUCCAAUCCAAUCUUUUCCAUGGCCUUUGUUAAUUCACCUACCACAUCUUGUCCAACCUACAUAAAAAACAUCAAGAAAAGAUGCAACAGCUAAGAAAUGUACUAAUACUCAAAUCAUAAACUAGAUAGAUUGUAAAAGUGAUAACAAUUACAGAGAGCAUGUGGUCUAGAAAAUUUAUAGUGCAUUACAUUAGCAAAAAGCAAUAUUCCUAUAUUAGGAAAGAAGACUACUGCUUCAAUAAGAUUGUAAUCCGAAUGAAUCCUCAUGCAAUUUAUCUAUCCUCCCAACUUGUAAAUCAGAUAACAGUUAAAAACUUCUCAGCUUCAUUUCAAUUUCCAAUAAAGAAAUUCUGUAGUUACCCAAGCUUGCAAAGAAUUUCAGUUCUUUCACAGAUCAGGUAAUUUGAUUCUUUGUUUUAUUUUUUUCCCAUCAAUCCACCGGUUAUCUACCAACACUACAAUUGGUUUGGAUACCUUUCACACGCACUUUAAACUCCUAAUGGUAAGAACAAAACACAAUCACAGUCACUCACCUUAUUAGUUUAUUUCAUUGUGAUCAUCAAAGCUAAGGUGGAUUUCCAUUACAAGAUUGCUACUACAUAAAGAGAACGAUCCAUGAAAAGAACAUAAGUUCUCUAAAAGUCAUAAAGUAUAGCUUCCAGGUUCAAUGUUCUUAACAUAUACUUUAAUUUCCAUUUUUUGAUAUCUAUAUAUACAUACCAUAGUGAAAACAUUUUUAAAGAAAAUAGAAAGAGAUAGAUGUACAAAAUACCACAAUGAAAAUAGAUAUCAAGGUAACGAAUACUGACCGUGUCCUCAAUAUUGAAUCCCUUUGUCCACUUUAUAAGUGUCCCUGAGGCAAUAGAUGUUUGUCUAACUGGGAAAGAAAAUGUAAAACCCAGCUCUCUUUGUCUACCAGAUACCGGGUGGUAGCCAUCACCUUCCUCUUCAACAAAUUUUGCAAGUGCUUCAGCUAUAAAACCAAAUAAGUCCUGAAAAAACAUUCUUCAGUCAAUUCUGAGAACUUAAAACUUGGAAUCUUAUCCUAAACAACUUGCUAACGGAAAUACUAACCUCUGAAGAUCCCGUCAUUAGAUGCGGAGGAAUCGAAACUUCAACAAAUUCUUGCCUAGCAACACGAUCAUCCUUUCCUCCUAAUUGUACACGCAGCACACGGAAGUUUGUGCCUCCAAGAUCCAAUGCAUAGAACAACCCUUUCUCAUCCCUAAUAGUAUUGACAAGAAAAUUAAGAAAUGGGAAGAAAAAAAAAUCCUCUUCAGUUUUUCUAGCAAUCGGAAAGAUGGAGAUUACAUCAAACAACAAGUAAUGAGAUGACAAACUAUACUUAAUCACUGUAUCUUUUUACAUUAUUAAGUAAAUGAAGCACUACAUUUAAAAAAAAUACAUAAAUUUUCACUUUUUUUAAGUUGGAAUUGCCGGUUCACUUGGAAGAGUUCAGGUUCAUCCUCAAUGUACGGUUCACCAUUCAAUUUCACAAAAUUCGAGUUCAUAUUAAAGUUCACUAUAAAAAAAAAAAUGAAGCUUCUACCAAUUUCAAACUAUACUUGAUCACUCCAACUAGUACAUUAUUGACAAAAUGAACCGCGAGAACUUCAAGCAUGCCAUUUGGUACUACAUUGAAAUUAAAAAGACAAAUAACGAUUGAACUAAAGGGAAAAUUUAACUUUUUUCAGUUGAAUUGCUAGUUUUCCUGAAAGGGUUUAGAUUCAUCUUCAUUGGAAAGUUCACCAUUCAAUUUCACAAAACCCAAGUUCAUAUCAAAGUUCACUAUGAAAAAACAAAAUAUCAUCCACUUUUUCAAAGUUUCUACCAAUUUAAUCAGAACCCAAAAAGAAGAAACAAAAAACAGGAUAAGAGAAAGAAGAUAAAAUUACCCAGUGGGAAGAUUAUCCACAUAACUAAUGAGCAUCUUAAGCUUACUUCCACCUUCAGAUGCAAGACCAGCAUGCAUCUCAACAGCCAUAGCUUCCGCCAAUUGUUUCAUCUUCUCCGUCGAAGUUCUACACUUAUCCUCAAACUCCUUCAAUAUACCCAUCGCUUUACUCCACUUCCCACAGUUCUUCAUCCGAUGACGCACUACCAAUACCGCCGCCGUACAAACAGCAGCAGCACAAACCAAAGCGGUUCCAACAACAACCUUCUUCAUAAUUGGAAAAGAACAAAAAACAAAAAAAACAAAACAAGUGUAAAGAUUAGAUUAAAGGGGGUGAAAAUCGGAAGCGAUUAACCGGAGGGGCAAAAGAAAAAAAAAACAGAGAUUUUUUUUUGUUUUUUGUUUUUUUUUUUUUCUUUUUCCGAUGGGGGAAGUGAUCAGAGAUUCAUUGUGGAGAGGAAAGAGCGUGGGAAUGAAGCGAUUUAAGAAUGGAAUGGGGAAAAGGGAAAAAGGGUAUCGGAGAUGGAGGAUUGAAGAUUGGAAUUGAGAGUUCAAAUUGGAAAUGGAAUGAAUCUGUAGUUCGCACAUGAGGGAGGAAAAAGGAAUUGAAUUUGAAGAAGGAAUGGGAAAUUGGACAAAGUUUUGAGAUGAAAUUACGUUUGUGACCUGCCGUUUCACCGAUUACCAUUUCCCUUUCUUUCUUUCUUUCUUUCCCACCUCUUUUCUUUCGUCUUUAUCCUUUUCUUUUUCAUCUCUUCAAAUAUUAUUAAAGUAAUUAUUUUUUAAAAAAUAAAUCAUUAGAUGAUAUUUUUAAAGUGUUUUCAUCUCUUCAUAUAAUUAAUUUUUAUAAAUUUGUUAACUUACAAUAUAUAUCAAUAAAAUUAUCCUUGAAUUUCUCUUUUCAAUAUUUUAGGAAAAUUCCAGGAAGUCAUAAAUUUGGGUCAAAAUGUCAAAAGGAUAAUUAUUUAUUUGAUUGUUUUGAUUUUAGUGAAGAACCAAUGGGUUUAAUUAAGGCUGUAUUAUGGAAUUAAUAAUUCAAAUUAAGUACCCACAGGUUGAAAAAAGAGCCCAUAAUAUUUAUUUUAUCUUAUAAAAUAUAGAAACUAAACAUGAUUAAUGAUCAAAAUUGUAUAUAUUUUAAUUGUUUUAUGAACAAUAAAUUAUGCUUUUUUUAGAAGAAAAUUAUUUGGUUGAACAAAAUGUAUUACUGCUUUGACCAUUUUUUUUUUAAUGAAAAGGAAAAUCAAAACACAGCACAUGAGAGAGCACCAAAAACAAAAUAUCACCUUUUUCCUUUUUCUUUUCUUUUCCUUUUCAUCUUUUACAAAUUCAACGGUAGAAAUUAAAAACUCAAUGCCAACAUGAGCUUAGUUCAACUGACACUUAUAUCUUAUUGUUUUUCAUUUAUAUUAUUUAAAAAAUGACCAUCUUUUAUAUUAGACACGCGAUCUUAAAUAACUAAAUAACAUAAGGAAGAAGUGAAAAGGACAAUGAAAAUAAAAGACCAAAUAACAACAAUUUAGAACGAUGAUAAGAUUGAGUAAACGUUAAAAAGAAAUUAUUUUUAAUAGAAAUUGUAAACAAUAAAACAUUUGAAAAAAUAUUUUCAAAUAAAGUUUAAUGAAUUUUGUUUUUAGUGGUUUUGGAAAAAAAUCACUGAUACAGUCGAGUCGAGACCAGUUUUUAAAAAGUACUUUUUUAGUUUUCAGAUUUUAUAAUAAUAGAUCUAUUUGGUUUUCAAAAUAUACCUUUUCAGUCUCUGAAUUUUUAAAAGUAGAUUUAGAAGGCCGUAAAAAUAUUUUUUGUUUGAUUUUUUAAAAAAUAAUUAUAUAAUACUUAAAAUUAGAAGAAGAAAAAUAGGAAACUUUGAAAGACCUUCUAAACCUAUUUUAAAAAUUCAUGGAUUAAAAAGAUACAUUUUAAAAAAUCAUAAACUAAAUUAGUCUAUUCUUAUAAAUUCGAAAAUUAAAAAGAUACAUUUUAAAAAUUCAAGAACUAAACACACAUAUCUUUCAAAACUUAGAGACUAAAAGUGUAAUUUUCUCAUAUAUCUAAAAGGAACAACCCGAUCAAGGGACUCAAUGUAUGGUGUGUUGAGUCCAAAGGCUCACCUUGGUAUUGGCACCUUCGAGGCCAUUCCCUUCAAGUUGAUGUCAAAAUUGAAUUGUAGGAAAUAAAUCUCAAUCUCCAGAAAGAAAAGAAAAAUAAGAAAAAAGGCUCAUAGUUAUAAAUAGUUCCUUCCCAGAACUACUUGCCCCAUUUUAUGGACGGCACUGAUUUAAGCAUCACAUUGUAAUCACCACACUCGUGUGUUAUCUUUUCUUUUUGGGAGCAUGUGAAAGUAAGGUGAGUUUGCUUAUAUAUAUGAAGUACCAAUUUUUCAUUUUAACACUAUAUUUUUUUAUUAAUUGAGCUAUGUUUAUUUGGAGAGAAAAGAGGGUUACUUAAUAAAUAAUAUUUAAAAAAGAAAAUAGAAUUUUUAUUUAAAAGAAGGGUUAUAUGUAAAUAGGUAUGAAGAAAUAUAGAAAAUGUUGAAAAGAAAGGAAUAUUAUAGGAAUGUAUUGAAGAAAAGAAAUAAAAGGAAGGAAGAAUUAUAGAUAUUUAGAGAAAUGGUUUUGAGCGUUGAAAGGAAAUCGCCUAAAAAUGAAGAGAUGAUAGGGAUUGGAGUGGUUUUCAAUGGUUUUUGUGGGUAUGGCCACUGCUUUCCUUUUCAUUUCCUUAUGUUUUCUCCUCCCUUUUUCUUUUUAUUAUAGAUAUAUUCUAAUUUAAAAAGAUUCCAAUAUUAUUAUUAAUAAAGAUUCCAAUGUGGUCCUCAUAAUAUCCAUAAAUAUCAACUCCAAUAAUAACGACACAUUUUCUUUCCUCAAAACAAUUUGUAAUGUGUCGGAGAGGUGAAGAUUGAACUGAUAUCGCAUCUGAAUGAAACAAAGAUCUUAUGAUAUGAAAGUAACGUUAAAAAUUACUUAAAAUAAUUAAAAGUUACUACCUUAUACCAACAAUGUGUAUUUGUUUUUUUUGUGGUUCAAUCAUAUUAACUCCAAAGUAUGAUUGCCUCAUGAAAUAAUUUCUAACAUGUUGAAAAGAUCCAUGUUGGUUUAUGGGGACAACUUUCACUCUUUUGAACCAUUCAAGAUAAAUAAGAAUGACGUAGCCAGAAUGCAAGGAAUGCAGGAAAAUGUUGGAGUCAUUCGUUGCCAAAUCCAGAUACCAAAUCUUCCGUUUGGAGCAUUACACAACUAAAAAAAGUAAUGAACACAAAUAUUGAAGUUCAAGGUUCAAAAUUUGUAAUCUAACUUGAAUUUUAAGUUUAAAAUCUUUGAAUUAAAAAUGUAAUUUACCUUUAUUUUAAUCAGUAUUAGUAGGUCUAGCACAAUGCAAAUGAUUGGAAAUAUUUAUAUUCAAUUCUCAAAGCCUAUCAGUAAUAUACUGAUAGAUUUGGCCAUUUUGUUAACCAUAUCGCUAAAUAAAUAUCUAUCAUUGGUAUACAUUUGUAAUUAUUUAAAAAUGUUGUUAUACACUUUAAUUAUUAUUCUUAAACGUGUUACUCAGUGCAAUUACCCUUACUCGAGACAAUGUUAUGAAAAAAUCUACUAGCUCUAAAGGUCAAUAAUAAUCGACUUACAUACAUCUAGGCCCUUGGUUGAUUUGAGGACUCGUAACAAAUAAUUAAGGUCAACGCAUGGGAUCUUAACUCGAGGUUACAACAAACUAUUUGUACAAAUCUUAACACUAAUGUCGAGAUCCCAUAGUGUUUGACACUAAAUUGGUUAUUAUAGGAAGUGAUUAAUUAAUAUAACAAACAAGGUAUAGUAGUGUAUCUUUAGGGUGUAAACUAGUUCAAUUUUGGAAGAAAAUAGUACACACAAAACUAAAAUGGGAAAGAAAGUAUACGUAGGUAGGAAAGAGUAAACAAUGUAACGAAUAAGAAAUGUAAAGUAAUAAAAUUAUAGUAAUUUAAUGUGUUACAAUAUCUAGCUAGGUAGAAGCACCAUUUAUAUAAUAUAAUCAUCAUUUGCAGUAAUUGAGAGCCAAAGAGUACCCGAUAUAGAUAGAUAGAUACAAGAACUAGUUUACCCAUCUUUUGCAUGCAACCUAAUUUUAUAUUGUCCAAGGAACUAUACUACAUGAUAUACGUACCAUUAGAUAUAAACAUUAGAGUGUGUGUUUGACACAACACCAUAUAAUUGAUAAUGCAUGUGAGAUGUAAAACCCUUGGUUCAUACUUUUGAGAUACCUUAGAUUAAAUCAAACAUACAAAUGCCUUUUAUUUUCUCCUAAUCUUAUCAUGCAUGUCCAACAACUACAGUGUAGAGACCAUGGAAUAAUAAACUUAAGUAUUAAAUUGAGUGUUUGAGAUAUAUGUUACUGAAUUUAGAUAGCUUAUAUCAAAUCAAACCCUAUGAAAGGAAAAUUCUAAGAGAACAUCAUGUAAUUAUAUAAAACCCAAUUAUUCCAAGCUUUUGUUUUGGAAUUCCAUCUUCUACCCAAGUGGAUAAGUUCCAUUUUUCAUUUAAAAAGAAAAAGAAAGAAAGAAAAAAAGAAUAUUUAGGAAAUUGGAGCUAGUGGGUUGUCUAUUGAUUAUCAUGAGGUAAAAGACAAGAAAUAAAAGAUUAGGGGAGUUACAAAAAAACUAAGAAAAUUAUAUAUAUAUUCUCAUAUUGAAUAAUUCUUCCAAAGAAAUAACAAAAAAAAAAAAAAAGGAUUUUCGAAUUUGAAGUACAAAGAAUAAAUUCUUACUUGCCAGCUAAAAAGUACAUAUAUGUUAAUAUGUUAUAUAUAUUUUUUGUCUCUUCUUUUCUUUUAAUUAAAUAAAAUAAAAUAUAAUUAUUUGAUAAAUAUCCUUAUUUAUGCUACUAUAUAUAUAAUUGAUUAAUAUUCCCUAUUCAUUAGAUUCAUGAACUCAAAUUCCUAGUUUGAAUUUGAAUUUGAAAUUUGAUUGCACAUUCUUGGAUGAGUACAUAUAAUUUGUUUAAUCUUUUUUCAAUCUCAUGCAUAUAGGAAGGUUACUAUUUUGAAUUUUCUACUUUUUUUAGUUUUAAAAUUUUAAAAUAUAUAUAUUUAUACGACAAUAAUAGGUUAUUGUUGUUGUAUGUGUGUGUAUAUAUAUAUGUAUGUGUCAAAAGUGAUCAUAACAUAGUAGUGAUAUUUUUUUCUCUUGAAGUGGUGAAGAAGUUAUAGUAAAAUAAAGGUUUAUUCAAACUCCAUAAUAAGGGAAGGAUGCAACUCUAUAUUUGUUUGAUGGAUAUAAACGUAAAUGGGCCCAAGCCCAAUAACUCCUCCCAAUUUCAAUAGUUUUCCAUAAAGAAAAUGUUUUUCUUUUCUUUUCUUUCUUUCUUUUGUUUUUUUCAUUUGAAGGAGUAUGUAUUACUUUGUAUUACUUUCAAUUAUAUAAGAAGGUAAGGGUAAUUAAUGAUCAUUUUACGAAUAAUAAUUAAGAUUAUCACAUUAAUUUAAAAAAUUGUAAAUAUAGCAACAUUAUCACUGAUAGUCUUAUGUCGCUGAUAGACUCGUAUUAUCUAUUAGUGAUAGACCGAUUUUGCUAUAUUUGUAAAUUUUUUAAGAUGUUGCUAUAUACUUAAUUAUUUUGAACCUAAUUGCUAAAUUUGCCACUAUCUCUGUAUAAAAUCGCUUAAAAAUAAAGUCUCCAAUCAUUCAAAAUCAAUUUAUUAUUUGGUUCUUAAACACAAUUUUUAUAUAAUAAAAGUAAUUAGCAAAAUAUCUUUUCGGUUUAAUUUACAUUUUAAUUUUUUAUUAUUAUUAAAUACCCACUUUCGACCAUUGAUGUUAACAUCUAUUAAUUAAUUUUAAAUAAUGAUGAACUGAAGUUUUAAAUUUAAUUUUUAUAGUAGAGGUGUUAAAAAAAAUUGAUAAUCCCAUGCAUCAACUCGAAUUACCCAACCUAAACCAUAAGGGUCGGAUUGAGUUAGGUUAGAAAAUUGAAGAAAAGUCGGAUUGUGCAAGUAAGGGAUCGUAUUGACCCAACCCAAUCUGAUUGUGUAUAUAAUAUUUAUAUAUAAACCUAAAACCUAAAAGUAAACCUCCCUUGAAUAGAAAUUGUAUACUUGCAUUAUGAACAUAUAUAGAGAGAGGAUGUUUAAAAACAAUAUUAAAAAUUAUCUAAAUUAUGGAGAGAUGAAAAACAAAAAAAAAUCAACCCGCCAACCCAACCUAGUCCAACAUGAAUCUUUUGGGUUGGGUUGGGUUGACUAUGAACCGAUAGGGUUUAUUUUUUCUUUUUGUCAAUCCACAUAGUUUGGGUUGGUCCAUAUAAUUUUCCUCCAACGAGGCCCAACCCGACUUAUAUACACCCAUAAUAGCAAUGAAUUUUAAUGAGACUUAAUUAAUGAUCGUUUUUCUAAAUUAAUUAAUUAAUAAACAUUAACACUUAAAAACAAACCUGAUUAUUAUGUGAAAAAUCGAGACUAAAACGGUAAGUAUAUAGUGAAACCUAAGAAUUUAAUUGAAACAAAAACUCAAAACUAAGCUAUAUUGAAAACAAACUCAAACCGCAAGAACUAAAAUUUGUAACGUUUAGAAACGUAGAGAUGAAAAAUACAAACCAAACCCAAAACCAAACAACUAAAAAAUACUUUUUUUCCCUUCAUGAAAUUAAUAAAUAAAUUAAAAAAACAUGUUCAUAAACAAUAACCAUUACAAAAUCACCCAAAAUAUAUCAAUAAUUAAUAAUGAAAAUGAAAAAAAUCAUGGGAAGCACACUUUAGUAAAAAAUUGACAAAUUUGGCUUGAGUCUUAUUAAACAAAAAAAGAAAAAAGCAAACUUUUCCAUAUAUCAAUAUUAAGAAGUAAGCAUUAUUCAUGCACACAUUCCAUCACAUAAUUUCAACCUUAAUGCUUAUCCAUUUCUAUGAUAAACAUAUUUCUCAAUUCAUUCAUACAACUAUUAAACACAGAUAAAGAUGAUAGUAUAUAAUAAAAUAAAAGAAACAAAAACGAAACUUUUAGCUUCCAAUCUUGACUAAAAAGCAUGAAAUGUAAUGCAAGAAAAAGAAGAAAGAAAUAUUUGACAUAAUGAUUCUUCCCACACUUAGCCUUAUCAUCCUUUUAAUCUUCUUGUUAUUUGUUUUUGUUACUUAUUCUUGUUUUAAAAAAUGUGUAUCUUAAGAAGCAUGCCUAACUCAGCUGCAUUCCCCAUGUUAUUUUCAACUUAUACACAUUAUGUUUUUCAAAACACAAGAUAUAUUACCCACAGUUUUUGUUUAUCUUCCCCUUUUCUUACCCAUCCCAAUUUUAAAUUCAUGUUUUAUAUUCUUUUUACCCUUUGGUUACAUGAUGAUUACAGAUUUAGCAGUUGAACUUAGUAACGAUUUUGGAUUUUUUAUGUUUGAAAAUUCUUUAUUCUUUUCACAUAUAUAUUUAAAGAUCAAAUGGUCUAUUAAAUGACAGUAGUUGUACUGCUAUGGCAUUUAUGUUGUGGUUCUCAUGUUCUCAUUCUCUACAUCCUUUUAUUUACAUUUGUGGUUGAGUGUCAACUUAACGAAAAUCUUAAAGUGAGACAAACGUAUCUAACCCCAUACAUAUAUUCUUAAUUCAAUAACCAAAAUAAAAUUGUAAUAGAGGUGUUCUAAUAAUCCGAUAACCUAAACAACUCAAACUAUCCAAUCCCAAAUUGUAAAAGUUGGAUUGAAGAUAAUUCGGAUUGGUUUGAAAAAAUCUACCUAACUCAAUCCAAUCCAUUUACACCCUUAAGUCGUAACAAAGUAGAGAUUAAUUUGUCGUAAGAAAGUAGAGAUUAAUUUUUUCUUCAACUUUGCAUGCAUAACUUCUAAUUAUGAUAUAUAAUUAACAAAUAAAUUAUUUGAUAUAUUUCAAAAUUAAAAUCAAAACAAUGUCUAGUAAACGAAUUUUAAUUUUUUGUCGAAAAAAAAAAACUUAAAAUUUAGCUUAUGGAACUUUUAUAAAUUAGGUAUCUAACAAUAAUUAACGAUGAAUGAAAAUGUAAACCUUUUAAAAUCUAAACUUCCAAUUUUAACCAAAUAACUUCUAGGUUACAAAUUAAUAAUAAUUAUGUUGAGUUUUUGACAAAAGAGUAAACUGGGUAGUUAUCGAAUAUAUCAAAAACGUCUAUACGUUUUUCACUUUCAAAUUGUUUCAAUUCAAAAUAUUAUAAAGUUAAAGCAUAAUAACUCAAUCGUUUCACGUUUUCUUUUAUUUAUUUUUUUGUCUAUUCAUAUACCGUAGUAAUAGAAGGUUUUCUCUAACAAAUAGGUCAACGAAAAAUAACAACUUGUAAGAGAUAGGAUGUGAUGUUUAUUUAUUACCACACCACACACUAGAACCCUUAAUUUCUUUGCCCCUAUUUAAUAUGGUAAUAAUGUAGAUUAGCUUAAUUUAUAAACCAAAGAUAAUGUUUUAUAAUACAAAGUUCGGCGAUUAAUUAUUAAAAGAGAUAUCAUUAUUUAUUUUUCUCAAUUUUAUUUUGGGGGAAUUUUAUAAUAUUUGACCAUAUAACAAAACGUAUUGAUCUCUCCAUUGGAUUAUAUUGAGUAUACUAUAUUUGUGUGGAGUUUGAAUACCAACAAAAUUUAUUUAUUCUUUUUUGCUUCCAUGAACAAGCUAACCACAAACCCUAAUUUUUCUUUCUUUUUUUUUUGACUCAAACAUUUAGGUCCACCAAUUCAAAUGAAGAAAAUCCAAAGGAGAGAGAAAAAGAUUAUAUAGAUGUAAAAAAAAGAAAAGAAAAGAAAAAAAGAUGACAUAACUCAAGAGGGUUUAUCCAAAAGUAUUAUGUUUUUAUGUGAUUUUGUCCUUUGUAUGCAUACACGUGUGUAUUGGCUUUUCUCGACCAAAUAAUAAUAUUGCAUCUUGCAAUACACACAAUAUAUGUAUAGAUAUAUACACACAAACUAUAUAUAAUUUGUAAAAUCUUUGUAAAUAUUGAAAUUUUGUUUUGAAUAAAAAUUAUUGUUUUUAUAAUUUGAUGUGUUAAACUCUAUACUCGACCAGUUAUUCGACGUUAAAAAAGUUUGAGUAUUGUUUCUUUUUUCAAAUGGUCUCCAUUAGAAAUAUUUAAGUUUUGGUGCAUUAUAAAAGAGCUUUCUUGUAAUGAUUGGAUGAGAAAUUUUGUUGUAAUUGUUAUAGUUUACCAUUGACUUCAUUUCUUUAGUAAAUUAGUGUGAUUUUUAGUUUGGUCGUUUCUUUUAAUUUCUCCAUUAUUUUUUGGUUGUUUUAAAUCAUAGUAGUAAGAAGGGUCUUUUUUUUCUUUCACAGAUUCAUAUAUAUUCUUUAAAUUAUGGUCAUCUCAAAGAAACAAUAAAUAAACUUCUAGAUAUAAAUUAUAAAAACUAAUACAACUAAGUGUAAAAACUAUUUUGUUUAGUUUUGAAAAUCUUGCUCGAUUAACUCUAAGACAAAAUUUAGUGAAUAAGUUUAUAUCGUAUUAACCGUUAUAUAUAGAACCUACCUAAGAUUUAAUAUAUCUUAUUAACUUUUUUUUCCAGUUAAAUAUUGCAGAUUCAGAAGGUCGAAUUAGUACUAUAAGUACGUUGAAAACAAGAAAGAAAUUGUUUAUAAGAUUAAUUUGAUUGUCUAAAGUUCAAUGAAUACACUUUUUCUUUUUUUUCUUUUUGAAAUGUUGAUGUGUUUAAAAUUAAUAUAUGGUUUAAGGAAAAAUAUGUGAAAUUAAGUAAGGGGUAAGGGGUAAGGGGAAAUGAACAUGGGAAUUAUUUAGCAAUGCAUGUGUUGCUGUCGUGGACCUUACUCUUUCCUCAAUUAUAUAUAAAUUAUUAACAUUAUACAAUGGAAAAACUUUGGCAUAUAACAAAACAAGUUUCAUACACUAAAGGUUUAACAUUAAUUCACGUUAUUAACUACAAUAUAUAUAUUUGCACUAUAAUAUAUAACGUAUAUAUAUAUGUCCAUUGAUUCCCCAAAGCAGAGAAAAAACCACACCAAAUUAAAAAGCUAGGUAUCUUUCCAUAUUUUCCUUUUUGCUUCCUCCAUUGGUACACCUAUUUUGAGUUUAUCAACUCUCCCUCUAUGUAGGAGAUGACAAUCGAUGAGCUUGCAGUGCGAACGAGGCAAGUAUUUGAAUAUUUGUUAAAAACUAUGUUGUUAUUGCAUAGUGAUAUCAUUCGUCAUAUACUAUAUUGUAUCUAACAGUUAGAUAUACGCUAUGAUUUACAUUGUCAUGUAUCUAACCACUAUAGAAGUGAUACAAUGUAUUCAUUGGAUCUAUGGUGACGAAUAGUUAGAGUUUAAUUACUUUGUUACACCCUUAUUUUUUUAUCACUUACUUUAAUUUAAUUUCUUUCCGUUUGAGCAAUAAAAGAGCAUAAUACAUAAAACCUCCCAUUAUCUCUAGCUUUGUCAUGAAAUUUACAAACAAAGAUAAACAAAAAAAAACAAUUACAUAAACAAAAGUUUAUUUUGAGAGAAAAUGUUAGAUUUGAAAAUAUAAAUGCAUGUUUAGGGUUAGUUUAUAUAGUGCAUAUUUUUCUCCAAACCCUAACGAUAAAAACGUAAAUAAUGUAAACAAGUAUAGUUACAAAUGCAAUUUAGCAAAACCCUGGUGUUUGGUCAUUUAAAAGUACUAGAUUAUGGAUUCAAAUCAUUCAAAACAUCUAUGACUUUCCUUCCUUCCUAUUAUUUUAUUUUAUAUAAAGGAUUGAAUGGAUGUUAAUGAAAAACACAACUAACCCUAAUUAGUAUACCAUACAUAGAAAACCACAAAAUUAAUCUAACUAAUUAAUUAUGAUCAAGUGUGUCAUAGGAAUAAAAUAGAAAGAGAUAAAGUAAAGUUGUUCCUAGGAUUAGGUAAAAGGGAGCAACUACGAACAUGAUAAUGUCCCUAUUAACGAAUGAAAAAGGCUAAUCCCAAAAAAGGGAAUUUAAAUUAAUUUAACAUGGGAUAAUAAUUAAAUUUAAAACAAUAUUAUUAUUAACACAAUAACAAUACUUUUGGAUAUGUACCAAAAACUCAAACUCAAACUCAAACUCAAAACGUGGUCUUAUCAAAGCCUUUGUCUGUGGAAAUGUGUGAGUAUUGAGUGUACAUUAUGAAUCUUAAUUAAUUAAUUAAUAUGUGACAAAUCUAGGGUUGAGAAUUAUAUAUUAUUAUUACACAAAAAUAUUAAUUUAGAGAAGAAAAAAAAUCAGCUUUUUUGGGAAAGGAGAGCAUAUGUUAAGGUUAUAUUGUUUGGCCUUACAAUAAACCUAAGAGACACCAAAAAGUGAUAUCAUUAUAUUUUUUCCUAGAUAUCAUUUUUAGGGUUUUAAUUUAGUUAGUCUUGUACACGUGCAUUUCCUCUAUAUUUAUUCAAUUAAUUAACCUUAAUUAAGUUUAAAUAAAUGUCGGUGAUGUGACUAUGAAAAGUUUUAAUAUGAAAAAAAAAAAAAGGAAUAAUAUAUGAGAAUCUAUAGUUAGAAUAUUGAUUAAAUAAUGUAUGUGAAAUGUUGUUAGAUAAUUUUGUUUAAAUUUGACUUGAUUAAUCAUAAAUGUGUUGGAUCCUCUCCUAUUCUAAUUUGAGUUAUUUAGUGUUGGAUAAGUAUCCAAAGAAACAGCAAGUGAUAUCUUUGUAUAUUGAGUGGUCAAGGAAUUUUAGGACAAAUAAUCUAAAGCAUAAUGCUAAAGUUUGAUGUUCUUUUGUUAUUAAGCGUUGGCAUUCGAAUCUUACAUGUUCGUCGUCAUUGUUGUGGGUCUUUCAUAGAUUUUGACCUUUGACCUACUCCUAAUUUGGUAUUGCUUGUCGAACUAAUCUGCAUAUGUCAGAGAACCUUACAUAUUGGUAUAAUACCAAGUCUACUAUAUUUUGAUGUAUAAGUUAAUGUAUAUGAAAUAUAUAAUUUAACUAAACAAACAAAAACUAUAAUGUCAAAAACUCUAUUUGGAGAUUACUUACUUUUCUUCUUAGGGGUUAUCAGUUGAAUUAUAUAUAAUGUACAUGUUUCCAAUAUCGAUACAACUCACAUGUGCUUAUUACACGCAUAUAACUCUACAAAUCACAUAGUUGUUUUCAUUGCUCAAAAGGUUGUAGUAAGACGUUAGACUAAGUGCACCCAAGCCUCGAAGAUCUAACUUCUUUGCGAGCUCCUCUAUGUCUCUUCUCAUUUUCUUUUGAAAUUUGGCUCACGUAUCGUCUAUGAGUCUUGUGUUUUUUAACUAGGUUAAUCUAAAGUUAAUUUAUUCUUGGUAGACAAUAUUUUUGAUAAGGAAAAUGAAAACUAUUGUUUAUGAUUUUUGUGUUAGUUUACGUUGGAGCUUGAAUACAUGAAACACAUAGAAUAAAACAAAUAAUUAAAUACUGCUAAAUCUUAAAUAACAUAUAAUAAUUUGAAAACAAAUAUAAUACAUCCAAACAAUCACAUUUCUGCUUCAAGUUGAUGGGGCAUAGGCAAUGUCACUUCACAUCUUUCUCCAUUUUCCAUUAUUGGGGAAAAUAUCUCUAUUAACUCCCAACAAAUACUAUUAUUCUUUUAUCCCAUAAACCCUAUGUAAUAUAAUUAAUUUUAACACACAAAAAAAGGAAUUUAAUUAAUUUUCCCCCCCCCCUUCAUUUAAUUAGAAUAUUAUAAAUUAUAACAAUGUCUUCUCUGCAUUCCCAAAAUAUAUUCAGUACACUCGUCUAUCUCAAAAAUUAAUUCACAAUCAUGUAUAUAAAUUAAGCCAAUAAUAAUGAAGGGAAUAAAACAAAAAUGCAAAAAGAAAAGAGAAAUAUUGGAAAACAAAAUACAGCUGUGAGAGGCUAAAAAAGAAAGAUUCUUGGUGAUGUGUAAGUGAAGAAAAGACAACUUAGAGAUUAGGACACAUUCAAAAUUACUAAAAUUCAUUAAUUAUAACUUAUAAUAAUACAAAAAUCAUACCUUAAAUCUAUUUUCACUUACUACAUUAAAAUUAAAAUUAAUACUAUAUGAAACCCUUUUAUACAAAUAUUGUAAUUAUACCAUAAUCUAUAUAUAAUUCAACAGACAUUUAUUAUUAAUUACAUUUAACAAAUAUUCUUUUUUUUGGUAGGUUGAAUCUUUGACUCUGAUAUCAAUUUUUAUUUAUUUAAAAUGAAAAUGAAAAUGGAGAAUAUAUGAUUGCAAAUAUUUGUUUAAUUUUUUUUUCUCUUGUACAACUUUUAUGUCACUUAUAUUCUUAUCCUUUAACGUUUAAAUAGUUUUAGAAAGUAUUUUUUUUGUUAUUAUAUUAGUAUUUUUUCCGUUAUAAUAUUAUCGAGAAAGUAACUAAUUGAAGUUUCAUACUAGUUAGAUAAUGUGUGAUGAUGAUGAUCAUCGAAUAUAAAUUAUCUUCAAUUGUAUGAGACCAUUUAUAUAUAGAGAGAGAAGGGAUAAUUGACUUAACAAAUGGUAUCAGAGUCUAAUUAUCGUUAACUUAGAUCAGAUGUGAUAUCCUUGGUAAAUGAGUAUUUUGAAGGGAGGCUAAAUGAUUGUAUAUACUCGAGAGGGUAGACAAGUAGAUGGUUGUAAAUAUAUAAAUGAAAACAAUUACGAUUAGUAUGGUAUAAACUGCUUAUACUAUUGUCGUUGUCGUAGUAGUAGUUUCACUACUAUUCAAAAAGUUUCAAAAUUUGCAACUUUUAGUCAAAUAAAAUAUAUUUAAAAGAUUUGUGGAGUAUUGAGGGAACUUAUAAUAAUAAUAAUAAUUAUUAUUAAUGUUGAUGUUGAAAUUGAAAGAUUAGAAAAAGAAUUAAAGUAAUAUAUAUCUCUCUCCCUUGACUUUUCAUUGUCACUAUUUUAUGUAUCUUCUUGGUAGCAAACCCUUUUUCUCACAAACACUAUUGGUUAGGUUGCUUUGAUGAUGGAAUUGGAUCGACAUGAGAGAGACCCCAACUCAUAUUAUAACAUAACCUUUCGACAUUUUUUAAUUUUCUUUCAAUUUUAAAGCUAGUGAAGAAUCUCAAUCAAAAAGAGAGAAUAAAAUUCUCAACUUACACAAGAAAUUGUUUAAGGUGUUUUCGACAUUAUAACCUGUCGGCAUAAUAGUAUAUUAAAGAGUAGCCCUCGUGACUAACGAGUUUGAAAAAGGUUGAUGAGAAUAUUAAAAUUGAACACGCUAAGCUAUCUAAAUUCUUUAUUAAUAAUAUACACUGUUCUGUCGACAUAAUUAAAUUAAUGCGAAAAAAGAGAAAAAGAGAAAAAAAAGUUAAAGAAAAAAUGAAUAUUAUUAUGAACGGAGGGAAGAGGCCUCCGUUAUAGAAACAUAUAUGAGGCGGAAAAGAAGAGAAGUGGCUAAGGAAGGAUUGGGGCCAUAUGAAACGGUGACGUUUUUAAGCAAACGAGUGGGUGUCCUUCCCCGUUUUAUCUUCGUGUGAGUUCCCGUUUUUUGGUUUGUAGAGAUUUUUCCAAAAGGACAAUAAAGGAGAAAUGGUCCAGUCAGCAUUUUUCAGAGCCAGCCACACACAGCCACAUCAUCGAUUGCGACACGUCGGAUUAAUAUAUAUCUACAAGGACAUGUCCCCUCUUCUUCCCUCUAUUUUCACACUACGCCGUCAUCCUUUCCUUCAUUUUACCGACAUCAUAUCUCUCACUCUUAUUUUAACUCUCUCUCUCUCUCACGCACACAAACACAAAAUUGUAUUUUUCUUUCUUAUAUAUAUAUACACACACACAUGCAUAAAAAGAUUUGAAAUCCAUCUCUAUUUUAGUUGAAUUUGGUUUAUAAGUUUUAAUUUUAGUAUUUUGGGUUAAUGUUCAUCGAUUAAUAUUUAAAACGAUAAUGAUUAGGUAAGAUUUUAAAUUUAGUUUAAAACUUAAGUAAUUAGAUUUGAAAGACAAAAGGUGAGUGUUAAGUGAAAAAUCAAACAUACAUGCUAUAUAUUGAAAGGUAAGGUUUGUGUUGAAACAUAAAAUUCAAAUUUCAAUAUGAGAAUUAUAACAUUUUUCGAAACCUACUGACAUAGAACCAAACUCUAAAGCACUAAAAGAUUGACAUUUUGAAAACUAUACCAAAAAUUAGGGACGAUGAAUAAAGUAAUGUUUACACUAUUUUUAGUUUACUUUAGAGAAAAUAUAGAUUUACCACCUAAAAUUUAAAGGAUAUGAGUUGUUUAAUUGUGGAAUUUAAAGUGUAAAAUGAAGAGAGAAUUUAAUUUUUCAUUAGUCAAAAUGGAAGCUAAAGUUUUAUCAAUGAAUUGAAUCUAUUUAAUUUUAAACUUUUAUAAGUGUGUAAACUUACCACUCAAACAACAUAAUCUAAGUUUUAAGAAGUAGAUGGUUUGUAAAAAUAUUAAUAAAAAAAUGACAUUUUCCUUUUUUGUUAAUAUAAUAUAGUUUAUUUAAUGAAGUUUGUAAUCAAAAUUGUAUGUUUUUUCUUAAAGGGAAUAUACGUAAGUAAUCACGGGUAAGUGGUUUGAUUCUCUGUAUUUAAUGAAUAAUGAGCUAAGUCCUAAGUCCUAAUGAGUUGAAUUGUAUUUAAAGCAAAGUAAUAUUUUGUUUAUUUAAUUUAAUUAUUAGUUUUAAUUAAUAAAUGAUAUAUGAUAUUAUUAUUAAAAAGUCAAAAGGUUGAUGAAUAAAAAUUGGCAUGCAUUUUCCCAAACCCUAAUCUUUGCAUUGGAUUAUAUAUUCUAAUUCUUCUUUCUUUAUAUAAGGUUGGAGAUUCAUACAAAAGUAAACUCGUUUUUAAUUAUGCUUCAUGCCUACCCAUAUCAUAUUUCUUUUCAACUUUUUUUAAAUUAGAUGAGUUAAUUCCCUUGCUUGGUUUCUUAAAUUGAAAAUCAAUUCAAAUCUUUGUUUUGGUUUAUAGAAAUACAAAUUUUCAAAAACUACCAAAAACUAAUUAAUUUUGUAUUUAUUAUUUAAGUAUAAUUAAAAUUUAAAUAGUUCUUUACAACCUUUUUCACUAUAGGUGUAAAAAUAAAUAGAAUAACUAAAGUAUUACAUACGUAUCACUUCAUAAGUAGUCAUUUUUUAUACUUGGAAGUUUCAAAUUGCUAUAGAAGAAGUAUACUUUUUCUUUUUUUUACUUUUAAUGUGAAGAGAGAAUUUUGAGACCUUGAGAAAGGUUAAGAUUGUUGACUCGGUUAAAUGUUACUUCAAAUUUGUUAGCUUCCUUUAAAAACACCUUUAUUCUUUUAAAACUUACAAUAUUGUUUUGAAGUUUCUUAGAUUUUUCGGAGUUACCUUUAUUUUAAAGUCGUUUUUUAUUCUACUUAUCUGUCACACUAUUUCAUGUCUCAAUAUCCAUUUAAAAUUCUAAAAAAAAAAAAGUAUACUUUAAAAUGUUAGAAUGUCUUGAAUCAGUUAUUUGAUACUUCAAAUUACCAAAUGUGAAUCUUAGUGAUUCAAAAUUUAUUAUUUUGUACUUGUGCUACUUACGUUAUUUACAAUUUUGACUCUAGAACUUAGAGAAGUAGACCAUACAAGCUUUGUAACUUUACUAGUAAGCUUUUGGUUUUGUAGGGAGUGUUUAUUUAUCAAAUUGAGAAGAGCAAUGACUUUUUUUAAUGAUAAAGUUGAAGGAUAUUUAUAUAUAUAUAUAUAUAUAUAUAUAUAAAAAGUUAAAUGGGGGAAGAUAUGAGAUAAGUAGAUGAGAGGCAAAGGGCAUUAUAAAAUUUGGGGGCAUUGUUUGGCUAUAAAUAAGGAUGAUGUCCAUUGCACUUACGCCCACACACACAGAUUGGUAGACAUAGACAAUUCCACAUUAAACAUACCAUUUCCUUCUCCGACAUCUUCCCUUUUUUCUUUUAUUUUUAUUUUUUGUGUUGAUUCCACAGAAUUUGACAAAUUGAGCUUUUUGGCUUCUGUCUGUACUCUCAAUUGUACCUCCAUAACAAACACAAUCAUCAUCCUCAACAACAACAACAACAUCAAAACAACAUUUCUUCUUCCCCUCCCUUCAUCAUCAUGUAUCAACCCGAUUCUCAUUCUGGCUUCCUUCAUCUCUCUUCUUCUUCCUCCUCCUCCUCCUCCUCCUCCUCCUCCACUCCUCCUCAUAUUAACCUCUUUCUAGAACUCUUGUCAUUUUUUGAAGACCCAGUCCGUCAUAAAAACUCCCCACUUCUCCUUCGUUCAUCCGUCAUUGAAAUCUUCAACGAAGCUAAAUCUCUGUUUUCACUUGCUUUCCCCAUUGUUCUUACGGCUCUCAUUCUCUACUCUCGUUCCAUUCUUUCCAUGCUUUUCUUAGGUCAUUUGGGUGAUUUGGAACUAGCGGCUGGCUCUUUAGCCAUCGCUUUUGCUAACAUCACGGGUUACUCUGUUUUAUCAGGUCUUGCUUUGGGGAUGGAGCCACUCUGUUCUCAAGCCUUUGGUGCCCACCGUCCUAAACUCCUCUGUUUAACUCUUCACCGUUCUGUCAUUUUCCUUCUUGUUUCUUCAUUACCCAUUUCAAUUCUUUGGCUUAACAUCUCCAAAAUCCUUCUCUUCCUUCACCAAGAUCCCACCAUCACUAAAUUAGCUCAUACUUACUUAAUCUUCUCCCUCCCUGAUUUGCUCUGUAACUCCUUCAUUCACCCCAUAAGGAUUUACCUUCGAGCUCAAGGAAUUACUCAUCCUCUAACCUUGGCUUCUCUCGCCGGUACUAUUUUCCAUUUACCAAUUAAUCUCCUCCUCGUUUCCCACUUCCGAUUUGGCAUCGCCGGCGUUGCUGCUGCCUCCGCCGCCACGAAUUUUGUUGUUCUGCUUUUCUUGAUCCUUUACAUCGUGGCCUCUGGCAUCUUCGUCCCCACAUGGAGCCCACCCACACGCGAGUGCCUGACUGGAUGGACCCCACUUCUGAAACUCGCCGCUCCGAGCUGCGUUUCGGUUUGUUUGGAGUGGUGGUGGUAUGAGAUCAUGAUCAUUCUCUGUGGACUUUUAGCGAACCCCAAAGCCACCGUUGCUUCAAUGGGUGUGUUGAUUCAAACCACCUCCUUGAUUUACAUCUUCCCUUCUUCUCUCGGCUUCGCCGUUUCCACUCGAGUCGGUAACGAACUCGGAGCCAAUCGUCCCGGAAAAGCAAAACUAUCCGCCGUGGUGGCCGUUUUUCUCGCCGGAAUCAUGGGGGUAUCCGCCACUACUUUCGCCGUCUCAAUGCGAAACAUCUGGGCACGGAUUUUCACGAACGAUCUCGAAAUCUUACGUCUUACAUCCACAGCGUUACCAAUUUUGGGUCUCUGCGAGAUCGGAAACUGUCCCCAGACGGUUGGUUGCGGCGUUUUGAGAGGCAGUGCUCGUCCGUCAACGGCGGCGCGUAUAAAUUUAAGUGCGUUUUAUUUAGUGGGGAUGCCGGUGGCGGUUGGGCUUGGGCUUCUUUUAGGAGUCGGGUUUUCGGGUUUAUGGUUGGGCCUAUUGUCGGCUCAAGUGAGUUGUGCCGGCCUUAUGUUGUAUGUAAUUGGAAGUACCGAUUGGGAUUUACAAGCAGAGAGGUCGAAGGAGUUGACAUCCGACGUCGUUUUCGGUAACGUAGACGACGACGACGUCGGGGAAACCAUUCCUCUCAAUUCUGUAGUCGUUGUCGUCGUCACGGAAAACACUAAACCCUAAAUUCAAAUUUUUGAAGGAAAAAAAAAAGGAUUAUUUCUUACUCUUUCUUCUUCUCGAGUUUGGUUUUGUGAUAUUAAUCAAUCCUACUCUUGUAUUUUCGUACCCCACUCAAAAAAAUUGUAUGUAUACAAAAAAAAAAAAAGGAAGGAAUGGCAUGAUUUUUUUCUGUGUUGUGUAUAUGUAUUUGUUAGGAAGUUAAAAUGUGGAGAAAUGAACAUAGUAUAUAAAAUAUUAGAAGUGAUUCUUAGGAUUUAUGGAAUACUAAAAGAUGUUUGGGAUAUUGAGACAGAAAUGUUCUUAGAGGGAAAGAAAAGAGAAUAGGAGAAAGAAUUGGGAUUAAAGUGCAUAAAGAAAGAAGACGACAUUUCUGAAUGAGUAAACACUGCCCUCUAAGCUGCAACCCAUCACAUCACAAUCACUUUAUUUAUUUAUUUAUAUAUAUAUAUAUACAUAAUUGUGUUUGAAAGAGAAAGGAAAUUAAAUAUUUAGAAAAUGGAUGGUUGUCUUCUUCUUCUCAUAUGUGUGUGUGAGUGUGUGCCCUAUUUUUUGUUUCUUUUUUAUGGUAUCCGUAGAUAAGAGUUGAUUGGAUGGAUAAUUAGAAUGGACAACUUAACCUUCAAUAACAACUUAACCUUCACAGUUCACAUAGAUAAUGGACAAAUCCAAAUUAUAAAAAAAACCCAUACAACACAACCUUAACUAACUGAACAAACAUACACUAUAAAAAAAAAAAACUAGUAAUAUCCAUGCAAAUAGUAUAUAUAUCGAUCAAGAGGUCCACGUUAUUGUAUUACACUUAAAGUAAACGUAUGAUUAUGAAUGUAAUGUAACGAGGGAUUGACAUGAUGAUGAGUGAACGUACAUUAUCAUAACUCUAGCAUUGUUUUCUUGCAUUGUUUUCUUGUGGACAAAAUAUUGGUGAUAAUUGUUGGGGUAUCUAUGCCUGUUUUUCAAGAAACAAAGGCUCAAUUAUCAUACAAACACACAGUAUAAUAUAUAUAUAUAUAUAUUUGUAGCAGAGAAUGCACGACGAGAGAGCAACACUUAGCAAAAAAUAAUACUCAUAUCAGCUUUUUUCAUUUCUCUUUGUCAUCUUCUGCUCUCAUUUUUCCUUUGUCUUCUGAUCUUUUCUUUUCUUUUUUCACUUACUUAUCAAUCUCUCAAAUGGGUCCAUUUCAAAGUUUUGAACAAAAACACACAAAUCAUUCUAUCUUACAAUGAAUAUAGACUUAUGUAUAAAAGAGUUGAAAUAGAGCUGAGUGUGUGAUUAAUGAGAGGAAGUGGUUUGUUAGAAGUUGGAAGCUUAAAAAAUGAGAAUUUUAGAGUACUAAUUAAUGAGAAGACUAAUUCCAAUUUCAACCUAUCAAAUCCAAACCCAAAUUCUAAACAAUAAUUGUCUUGAAUUUUGACCUUUCUUCAUUAUUUCAAAUCGAUCAUUUCAAUUUUUCAUAUCUUUUUUUUACUUGUAUUGAAAAAUUAGAAAUUAAUAUUUGUUACCAAUAAUGGUAAAAAAACGACAAAUGAAAUAAAACCCAAAACCUUGAUUUUAAUAAAGUUUGUCGUCAACGAUAAUGAUAUUGAAAAGAAAAGAAAAAAAAAAGUCACAAUUCAUAAAUAUUAAAUCAUUCAAAUCAAUCAACUCAAUCUCUUUACUGUCUUCUUCCACCCCAAAUCAAAACAAAUUCUUUACUAUCUUACAUUUAACUUCACAACUUCCAAUUAUAGAGAUUUAGUUUCUAAUCCCACAGAUUUAAAAUUUAAAUAUGACCUAACAACCUCUCGUUGUCAACAUCGAGUUUAACUUUAAAAUUUCUAUAAUUAAGUCAUUGAAUAAAAAUAUGCACAUUUCUAACUCGUAUGGAUAGUAAUUAUCAAUUGUUUAAAAGUAUCUACUAACUAUAUCUUUAUGUUUUUAAAAUUCUUUUCAUUCGAAAGUGAUAUCCGCUUUAUGUAAAUGUCUAAAGUUUCAAUUUUCUAUAUGGUAAAUCCACGAAUUUUAACUUUCCAUUAAGUUUGAGACUAAAUUUAUACUUUAAAAAAUCCAAUAAUCAAAUAAACACAAACUUUAAAGUUUUAAAAUGAAAUGUAUAGUUUAAUAAGUUUUCAUUUAUUCUCUAAAUUAGAAUUAAUUGUCUUGAAGUUAUAUAUAAGAUAAAGUCGGAUAAGUAUAUAUACGUGAGCAAUUUGAUUUCGACACUUCGUGUGUGUAUAUAUAUAUAUGAAUUUGAUUGUAUUUGACUUUUAUUUAAAUUGAUUUGUUUCUUAAAAAAUCAACCAAUGAAUUUACAAAUAAAUGGUGUUUGUGUUUAUUGACUUUAACACACAUUGUCAACUAUUAUCUUAUUUUCUUCCAUACUUAAUAUCUAAUCUAUUGAUUGAAAAUGUCUAACUCCAAAUACAAAUUUGAUACUUUAAUUUGCAUGACAUUGUUUGUGCUAGAUAAUGAGUGACCAAAUUAGCAAACCCAAUUUUAAUUAACAUUUUUAAAUCACUAAUAUAUAUAUAUCUAAAUAAAUAUAACAUAAAACUAAAUUUUAUUUUAAAUAAAAACUUUUGACUUUUUUUUCAUUUGUCAACCUCUAUUAAUUUUAUGAUUCAAUAGAAAAUUAAAGUUGUGCUACGGAAGACACUUACGCAAAAUACGUAAUAUGUUUGAUGAGCAAAUUAAACAAAUUUAAUUUUUGUUAUUCAUUUUCUUUAAACUACUUUUUUUUUUUAUUAUUGUUAUGAUUCCUAUUAUUUUAAAAUAUUAGGGCAUGAGGUUUGACCUUCUAGAACGUGUUAUAUGGUUCUAUAGAAAUGGAGAAAAGUUUGCACUAGACCUUUGAUAAGAAAUUAGCAUUAUCGUAUCUCACUCCACGAAAAAAUAAUUGUGACAUGGUUAACAUUAAUACAAUAUAGUAAUUAACAUCACAAAAACUACAAAUUUUGUCUUUCAUGGAUUAGUAACAUAAAGAUAUAUUCAUUUCUUUUCUUUAAAUACAAAUGAAAAAGAAGAAAUAAAGCGAAAUGAUAUUGAAUUUAAAAAGAAAAAGGCAUGUUCUUGACCCAUCAUCACCAUAAAUUAUCAUCUAAGCACGAUGUACGGAAAUAGAAUUAUUUUAUUAAAAAAGAAUUUUAGUAUCUUUCUAAAUCUCAAAUAAGAUCUACAUUAAAUAAUAUAUUAUUGACUAAUAAUAAUAAUAAUAUUAAUCCAAGAGGUGUGUUUAAUUGUAUUAAUGUCAACUCACAAGAAAAGAGAUUAAGAAAUAGAAAAUAGAGUAUUGUUGUGUGUCAUGUUACAAGAUACUAUUAGUUAAUAAUGUCAACUUUAAUUAUUUUUAAGAGAACAUAUUAAUUAAUUAAGGAUAGAAUUAGGGGUCCAAUUAAGAAAGGCCAACAUGAACAUGAGGAGUCAUUUUUAAAUAAACCCUAAUAUUAUAUUUCGGGAUUUAUGUGGCGAAUUAACAGCUUUAUUUUUUUUAUUAUUAUUAUUAUUAUUAUUGCUUAAAUUACUCCUAGUAAUUGUUAAAAUUCAAUAUAUACAUUAGUUUGCUUUUCUGGAACUCUCCUUUUGGUAUUAUUAUUAUUAUUAUUAUUGUAAUUGUUCUUUUGGUAUUUGUGUGUUUAAUAGUUAUUUAUUUUGGAACCUUAUCUUCAAAAGAUUUGACUUCAAUAUUAAUUUACAUUCCAAGGAGUUAUAAAUUGAAAAAAUAUGGAAAAUAUCGCUAAAUUUAGGGCUACUUAGUUUUCCAAUUCUAUUAGUUAUUGAAUUUUAAUUUUGGUUUUAAUUUAAUUCUUAUUAAUUUUAAAUCUUGAAAUCUUAAGAACUAAAGUAAAACAAAUGGCAAAUUUAAAAGUUAAGGAUUAGGGUUGAGUUGUUUUGUUUAGAAAUAAAACAAUAAGAAUUUUUUAUGGAUAGUAAAAAAAAAUAAAACUAUUAAUUAGAUAUAGUACAUAAAGAAUAUUAAUUAGAUAUAACAAGAAUUUUGAUAGAAUUUACUAUACUUUGUCAUUAGUUUUUUAUAUAUAUUUGAAAAUUCUCGAAUAAUAUUAUUAAUAUUAGUUGAUUAUGUAUAACUUUUAUUUUUUUAAAAAAAAAUUAUUAAACUAUAUGUACAACUCUUAAACACCAUCAUUUCAUGGAAGCAUAGUUUAUUUGAUAGAUAUUUAAUACUUAUUCUUAAUAUUAACAAUUUGGUGAAACAUGACAAUAAGGGUAAAACAAGAAUAACAAUAGUCAUUGAAGGUCAAAAUAGGGUAGGUAACAAACCGAAGGAAGAGGUCGAGGAAGGGAGGAAAUUGGGUCGAUUAAAACCUAAUUUGCUCACUUCAAGCCUAGAGGUUGAGGUAAGCAACUCGGUAUGCUCACCUCAACUUUGAGAACAAUCAAAUGUGCCCAUCUCGUCCUUAGAGGUCUAGAUCGAGGCUAAUUUAGAUAAAGUGGUUCAACACGAAUAUUUGUUGUGAGGGUUUUAGCCCCACUUCGACAUGAAUUGAUAUCUCUAAGUUUCUUUGGGAUUUGGAACGUUAGAGUUCCUCCAUUUAUAAAACAAAUGACGAUCUCCAUAAAAUAAAAUUGUUCUUAGAAUUUUAAAAUUAUUUUCACCUCUCUCUUGGUGUUGCUGAUGAUUUUUGUUAUUACAAAUUAUAAUUUUAUGAUUGAGGUCACAUGAACGUCCAUUUUCUUCUUUUUAACCAUGAAUUAAGGAAGAAUAAUUUUGAAAAUAUUUACAUAGGAGAAAGAUUUAAUAUUGAAACUUUCAAUAAUGGCACCGAAGGAAAUAUGAAAUCUUUAUAGAUCAAUUUUAGAGAUGGACUGCCUGGUCCAGUACCAGCAUCGUUUGGGCUUUCCUUGAUAUCAGAUGCUGAAGUUCAAAAGCCCAACUUCAUUUAAUAAUGGGCUGUGGACCGAAGCCCACGACUAAAUCUUCAUUGAGCGAGAGCUGGUUACAGUCAGCCGCUUGGCCCAAUGCCCUACUGCCAUGUUUCAAUCCCAUUUCUUAAAUUAUUCAUAGAAUUUUAUACAUUUUGCUAUAUUUGAAUUUUUUAAAAAUAAUGUUAUAUACUUUAUUAUUUUGAAUUUAAUUAUUAUAUUUGCAAUUAUCCUUUUAUUAAAAAAUAAUAGACAUGGUUAGUUGCAUAAAUGGUAAAAAAAAAGUCUAAAAUAAUAACAUGUAUAGCACAAGGAUAAAAUAAUUGCAUAUAUAGCACAAAAAGUAGUAAAACACUAAACUACCUACGUUCCAACUACAAUUUUGAGUGUUUCUUGCCAAAUUUCUCGAAUUUAAAACAAUUACUAAUAGCAUUUAUCAAUGAUAAGAGCUAUCACUGAAAGCAUAUAUCACCAUCACUUAUAGUUUCAAUUUGAGAAAUGAUUAUUUCAUGCAUUUCUUCUCGAUUUUUUCAUGUUGAAAGCUAUCACUAAUAGCUACAAUUAGUGAAUAUCACUGAUAUUUGUUAUUAAUUGUUAUCACUGAUGAAUACUAACAAUGACAACUUGUCAUCAUUAAAAGUAUUUUUUUUUUCAGUUUUCUUAAAUUGAAAAUUAUCAUUGAUAGCAAUUGAUAGUCGUUAUGUGUUGCUACCACUAAUAGAUGCUAUCAAAGAUAAGUUUUAAUUUGAGAAAUAUGUUAUAAGUUGAUAUAAUUGAUACCGGCUAUCAGCAAAUGCUUUUAUCAAUGACAAUUACUAAAGGGUAAUUGAAGAAAAAUCUUUUCAUCAUUUAAUAAAUAUAAUGUAAUAUUAUUUUAUUCAUCACCAUACCACAUUUCAUAGACGAGACACGUGUGAAGAAGAGAUCAUCAAGUUCACACUUUGUCUAUCUCCUUACCCUCUCCCUACAACUUGGAUACCCUUUAAAGUCCAAUUUUAUUACUCUAAGAUGGAUAGGUUUACAAAUGCUUAACAUUAGCAAUGUGGAAUUCUCUAAAUGGAAUGAAAAAUUCAAAUACAAAUUUUCAUGAACAAUCAUGUUUUAGACAAUGGUCAAUGCAUAAUACCUAAAAAGUCACCUAGAGAGGAGACUAGGUAACCAAGAUAAUAUCAAGAAUCCAAAUAUUAUGCUACCAUCUAAUGCGACAAAUAUUAACACAAUACACUAGACACACUUCACUUCUUGUCAAUUUUAUUUUAUGUAAAAUAAUUUCUAAUUGUCAAGUUUUUUAGUUAAACACUUGUCGAGAUGUGUAGAGAUCUUAUAAUCCAUGUUUUAAAUAAUAAUUGAUCGUAUCAUAAUUAACCAAAAUAUGAACGAAGAUUCAUAAGUCAAAAGAAUAUAUUUGAAAUAUCUAAAUGAAAUUUGACGACGACAAAAAAAAAAAAAAAAAAAAGUAAGUAUGACACAUAUAGUACAUAUUACAUAGAGUGAAAUUAUGAUGCAACAAUUCAAAUGAUUUCUUGUACUUGGCUUCUUUUCUACCCAAUCCUCUUCUCUGCAUUGUAUUCUUUCUUCUUCUUUGCAAUUUUAUCAUCAUCACUUUCUCUUUCGAUAAAAUCAAAAUUUUCAUCUCUAAAUUCAUAACCAAAGCUACAAGCAACAUCAAAACUUGCGUCAAAAUCAACCGUGUGACAGUUUUAUUUGUGGUGAAUGAAGAUGUAUACUUAACAACAUUCUUUACUCAAACAUGCGAGAUAGAAUGGAUCUUUAUGAGUGUGGUGUAGCUAGUUCGAGAUGAUAAAAGUGUUAUAUUCCUUAAAUUAGAUUAGUCUAUACAAAGAAUCAUUUUGAGAACAAGGAAAAAGUUGAACUAAAGAAGAGCAUUCUUAAGCAACACGAAUUAUUGAAUUGAAUGUUUUACCAUUUGAACCAUAAAGAAAAGUCAGCAAGAUGGAAAGAAGGCCCUAGCUAGGACAAUCUUAUGGGGAAACCUACUCAUCAAUUGGAAUGGGGCAUUGCCUUUCUCUUUACUCCAUAGGAAAUAUAAAUAUAUAUCUUGGCCUUUGAAUUAUUUUUGGUUUAGGGUUUCUAUUUUUAGCCAAAAUGUUGAAUUUUUUUUUUUUUUGAAGAAGCCAAAAGGGAUGAAAUUCAGACAGCAACUUGCUUUUGUUCUUUUGAUUUGUAAUACAAAGAGAUAGAGAAAAAGCAAAUAGAUCAAAAAAAGGAGAGGCUAUAGCAUAUGGUGAUGAUAUGUGACCUUUUUUUUAACUUUUGGGUGAGAAGCAAAAUUUGAAGUAUACAUUGCUGAAAUUAGAAGCUAUGAGGGUUCCCAAAAUUUCCAAAGGACAGCCUGGAGAAUAAUAAUUUCCCAUAGUUUCUAUUUGGAAAUAUGUCAUAACUUUUUCUCUUUAACAUUAUUGCAAAAAGAAUAUCUUUGAGGGAAAGGAAGAGUAUAUGUUAAGAGGCUAACUUUUGAAUUGUUUGAAUUACUCCUCAUUUACAUCACAAAUAAUUAGCAAAAACAAACGGAUACAUGAGCAAACUGAAAAUUUAAACUACAUCAUGCAUCGAAAACUACUUAAAGUAGGAAAAAGUAAGACAAGAAGACUUGUGCUCCUCUUAAGCUUUAGACGCAAGAGAGUAUGCACUGGACCAUUAUGAUAUAGAUGAACAAAAGAGAGAGAUAUAUCUUUGUGAUGUACGAUGAAGAAAUAGAUAUAUAAGUGAUAUCAAUCUAGGUUGUUAAUUACCUCUAAGCUAGCAAUCAUAUGACUAAGGUAUUUAAAUGAAUUAAGCAUUUGUGUUAAACUAUUCAAACCGAGACUUACUUGAGGUUACGCAGAGUGCCGACAAUAUCAAAAUAGGUGUUACCUUAAAGCAUGUAGAGUACUAGCUAGCAACGAGAUCGACUCGAUCAUUUCUCUUUGGUGAAACUCCACGGUCUCAAUUAGUACUUGACCUUAAACUUGAGAAUUAUGGACUUUUCGACCAUAUUUCCUUUGAGCUUAGGCUCGCCCGUGAACUUUACGUCUUUGUCGAAGGCAAUCAACAACAAUAUAAUUUACCACAAGCAAUGUCCAUCAUCUUUAUUUUUUUUGCUUUUGAUUUUUCUCCAUUAAAUUUUGUCCUCACGUGUUGAUUUAUUACAAAAAUAGAUUAAAUUUAGGGUUGACGGAAAAGCUUCAAUGCAAAGAAAUGGAAGUGAAUGUGACCCUUCUUACGUCCUUUAUUUAUGUAAUUUUUCAAUCAUUCAUCCUAAAAAAAAAACUCAAGUUUGCAAUUACACUUUAGUAAAGUAGUGUGAAAAUGAUCAAAUAUUAUUGUAGUCAAUAGAUUCUUAAACAAUUGUCCUUCAUUAUUCUAAAGGGUAAAUAAACAUUUGUCCUUUAAAUUACAAAGUUGGUGACCAAACAAGGUUGACAAGGGGAAAGAAAAUAGAAGUUGUGUUUAUAUAGUUUUAGUCCUUUUGAUCUCUUUAAUUUUGAACUUUUUGUUUAACAAAUCUUUGUAUUUAAAAUUUAAAAUUUUAUGUUUAAAAAGAUUUACAGUCACAAUAAAUUUAUUAAUUUAAAAUAAUAUCAAUUCAAACGAGAAUCUUGUAUGUAAGCCUUGAGCUCUCCUUUAACUAACCGAUUGUUUCAUUUAGACUUGUCGUUGAGAGUUGACAUGGUGUGAAAUUUACUUACAUUAGUGUGUUAUGUCGAGUAAUUAAGCACACAUUUAUACUUAAGUUAGUAUCUGAGUGUUAUAUAUGUUCAACUAAGUAGUGAGAGAACUACUUAUAAUUCUUUGACUUGAGGUUGUUGAUGCACGAGGCUAGUUAUAAGAUCCUUCUUCCUUGAACACUCAGUUGGGGUUACGUGAAACAUUAACACCGUUAGAAAAAAAUGUGACCCUUUGAGAUUACAAGUUGCCAAAGACAUGUUUGAAUAAGUCAUAUAUCAUCUCUAUAUCUCUAGUGAAACUUGACAAGCUCUAGUCAACUUAAAACUUAAAAGUUUGAUUUUUUUCGUUCGAGAUGCACAAACAUUCAUACAAACUCUUGUUUUAUUAAGUUUUAGUCUACAUAAUCUUUGAUCUAAUUGCUUAACACAAUCCUCCACAAUCUAUUGUUAGAUAAAAAGUUGAAAAUGUUAAGAAAGUAAUACAUACAAAAACGAAAAUUAUAUACCAUCCUUGAAAAUGACCCAAACUUCUAAUUUAACUUGGAAAAAAAAAAAGUAAAAAACUUGGUGAAGGCCAUUGUUAUUCAAAAGAUAUAUAUUGUGUGUGUUGGAACAUGUGGAAUGUUUAUAAACCCUAAUGAAAAAAUUGAACUAUAUUUUUUUUAUAUGAAAAAGAAUGUGAUUUUGAUGCAAAUAUAUACACAUACAUAUAUGUUUAAAGAGAAAGGUGGUAUUAUGAAACUAACAUGGUGGUGUGUGAAAACAUUGACCAAUAAUGGGUACGGUUAAAGAGGAAGAAAAUUACAUCAUCAAUAUCAUCACAAAAAUACAAAUAAUAUUAAUAAUAUAUGGUUUUUUUUUUAUAAACAAAAUAAAAAAUAAUAAUACUCGGAAAACGAGGCUAUCAAUUCAAAAGGCAACAUAUUAUUCUUUAUAUUAUUAUUAUUAUUAUUAUGAAGAAACAAAUAAAUAAGUAAAUAUGAUUGGUAAUUUAGAGGGAAUAAAAAGAAUAAGAAAAAAUGGGGUUUAGGGUUUUGUUUGAAAAGGAUGUAAUUGAAAAGACAAGGCUCUGCCUAAAGUACAUUCUUAUUAAUAUUAUCAAAAACUUUAUUAUCAUCUUUUAACCUCUCUCUCUCUCUCUCUCUCUCUCUCUCUCUUUCACACUUUCCAUUCAAAAAAAGGGAAUAACCAAACAAACCCUCCUUUUCUCUCCAUUUUUACUCUCUCUUUCUUUAAUUACCAAAACGGAUUACUCGUAAAAGAGGCCAGUAAGUAAGUAAGUCUCUUGAGGUGAAUCUCAAGUUCCACUUUAGAGAGCUCACAUGAGGAGAAUUCAGGUGAGAGAGUUUAGCCGUCUAAUGAGAAUUUAGAGGAGUACACUAAGUCUUUAGUUUAAAGGAUGUCUAAAGUGCGAAACUACGAUAACUAUAAAGAAAAUGUUGAGAGCAUGCACUCGUACAUUUGUUAUAAUGAUAGUGUAAUUGUCAAUUAUUGUGAUGAACCCAGGAUAAUUAUGGGUUCGAACAUAGGUGAAUGACCCAAAUGAUUGGUCAAAGAGAGAUCCAAAAACACAAAACUAAAUUGAGCGUUGGAGUGUGAAUGGAACCCGUUGUUUUGCGUAAACAAAUUUAAAGUAGGAGAAGGAGUGAAUUUAGAUUUGGUAUUGUAUUUGUAUGGCUGGAAAUUAAAAUAAUAAUAAUAAUAAUAGAAAAAAUUGAGUAAAAAAAAAAAAGAGGGAAAUUGAGAAGACGACAAUAUUCCCUGAGGGAUUGCUAUUUGUAUUUUUCCAUUGCAACGGCACGUCGCUCCAUAAAGUACACUUCACACAUUUCUUUUCUUUUUUUUCAUUUUUCACUCUUAUUAUCUUUUCUUUUUUUCCUUUUAAAAUACCUAAAUAGUUAUUUUAAAAAAACAGUACAAAAUUUUAAAAAAUAAAAUUCCCUCUCCAUCCUUUUUCAUACAAAACAAAUCCCAAAAUUUAAAACACAAGAAAAAUUUUAAAAACAACCAUCAAUCAACUGUCAACAUAACCUAAAUUAAUUUGAUUAAGAUGUUAGAAGUGAUUAUCGAUUGAUCGAAGUUGGUUUGGUUGAAUCAAUCAUAGUCAUUUUAGUAAAUGUUCAGACUAGACUUGACAUCAAUGAAUAUAGAUCGAUCGAUCGAUUGGUUCAACAUUUACAGAUAAAACUUUUUGAAAUCGACAUUUUUCAGUCAGUUGACUCGAUUUUUCAGUCUGUUUUGCUCACUUCUACUCUAAGUCUUUAAAUUUUAAUCUCCUAUUAUUUUUAUAGAAAAAUUUCUGUAAAUUAUAAAACUAGUAAAAAUUAUUUACAAAAUAUAGGAUAGUAAGCUUCCACCCAAUGGCAUUUAUGGUGGGUAAGAAUUAAUUUAACUCUUACAUUUUAAACUAAAUUUCUCAAUCUAAUCUACCUAUGUAGGCUAUAUUUUUUUAUUAUCUGAUUCCAUUCAUGUGUUUCUCUUUUGUUUACUAAAUAAUUAUUAAUAAAUCUAUAUUAACAUAGUUUGGAAUUUUCUACGUCAUCUUCUUAAGACUUGUGUUUCAUUGACAUUAUAUUAUUAUCAUUUAUUCAAAACACAAGAAGUUGAAAUUCUCUUACCCGUUACCAUCAUUUUUCAAAUUUCAACAUUUACAAAUAUUCCCUUUAGAGAUUCCCAACAUUUAAAUUAUUAUUAAAUUCAUAAUUUGAAAUCUAAAAUAUAAAACUCUUUUUUUCCUUUUUUUUUUUUUUCUUUUUUUCCAAAAAUGUAAAACCUUUUGAAUCUGCCAUUGAUAAGGAUAUCCUAUCUUACAACAUUUUUUUUUUAUAAAAAAAUCUGAACAUUUUCACAUUUCCUAUAUAUAUUUUUUUAUCAUCUAUUUUUUUUAAAAAAAAAUUAUUAAAUAUUAAAUAUUUAUAUCUUCCUCUAUUUUUUUAAAACUUCAUCUUCUUCUUCUUCUUCUUCUUCAUCUUCUUAUCUUCCUCCGUCACCCAAUCUUUCAACCAAAAUGGGGAAAGCAACGAGAUGGUUCAAGAACUUAUUUGGGAUUAAAAGAGACAAAGAACCCACAAAAGAAAUUCCCAAAUCAAAACCACCCACCACCGCUGUAGACGUCCAACUCUGUAACAAUCCGGCCACAAUACCGCCCAAUUUAUCAGCGGCGGAGGCCGCUUGGUUGAAAUCCUUCUACUCCGAAACAGAGAAGGAACAGAGCAAACAUGCCAUAGCUGUAGCUGCAGCCACUGCCGCUGCAGCCGAUGCGGCUGUGGCUGCAGCACAAGCCGCCGUCGCAGUUGUCCGGUUAACCAGCCACGGUAGAGGCACGAUGUUCGGCAGCGGACGGGAAAGAUGGGCUUCCGUUAAGAUUCAAACUUGCUUCAGAGCAUAUCUGGUGAGUGAAUGAGCGAAUUAAUUUUCCAUGUUUUUUUAAUUUCUUUUGUGUUCUAUUUUAACAAAUUGGUGAAAUUAGGCGAGGAAAGCACUUAGAGCUUUGAAAGGAUUAGUGAAAUUACAAGCACUUGUUAGAGGAUAUUUAGUUCGUAAACAAGCAACAGCAACUCUUUAUAGUAUGCAAGCUUUAAUCAGAGCUCAAGCUACCGUUCGGUCUCAGAGAACUCGUAGAUUCAUAAACGACGCCAGAAAAUCAACGGUGAGAAAUUGUAAUUUGUUGUUGAUGUUUAUGUUUAAUGAAUUGAAAAUUAAAAUCCACAAAUGAAAUUUCAAUGUAGGAGAGAUUUGAGGACACAAAAAGCGAACACACAGUUUCCGUUCACAGUAGAAGACUUUCUGCUUCAUUAGACAACACAACUUUUAUGGAAGAAAGCCCCAAAAUCGUUGAAAUCGACACCGGCCGGCCAAAAUCGUGGUCACGACGGACGAACACGUCGGCGUCGGAAUUAAGCGAUGACCCAUUUAACCAUACGCUUUCUUCUCCACUCCCUUGUCGGACACCUUCCCGUUUGCAAAUUCCCGAUUGCCGGCAUUUCCACGAAAACUCUGAUUUUUGCGGCGGCGAUGACUGGCGUUUGAUCUCGACGGCACAGAGCACUCCACGAUUUAUGGGAUCUGGGGGUGGAUCGAACGGUCCACCGACGCCGGCGAAGAGUAUGUGUGGGGAGAAUUUUUUCAGAGGGUAUUUGAAUUUUCCAAAUUACAUGGCGAAUACUCAAUCGUUUAAGGCGAAAUUGAGGUCUCAGAGUGCGCCGAAACAGAGGCCGGAGAUUGGAUCGAAGAAAAGGGUUUCGUUGAAUGAAUUGAUGGAAUCGAGGAACAGUCUUAGUGGGGUUAAAAUGCAGAGGUCUUGUUCUCAAGUUCAAGAAGCCAUUAAUUUCAAGAAUGCAGUGAUGAGUAAACUCGAUCGGCCAUCAGAAUUCAACAAUUUGCAGAGAAAAUUAUGAACAAUUUUUUUUCUUUUUUAUUUUUUGAAGUUAUUUCUCAUUAAUUCCCUUACCAGUUUCUUUAGAAUUUGUAAUUUAUAUGAUUGAAUCAAACUGUGAAUGUAACUGGUGUAGUGUAGAUUAGAUUUGUAAUGGAUCUUCAAGUUUCUUCAAGUUCUACACAUUUCUCUAUCUCCCCUGUUUUAAACUAUAACUUAACCCAACUUACCUCUCUAAUUUGUGUUUAAUACAUAUUAACAUUGAAGUGUUUAGUUUGUUUUUUUACAAUAAAAUAUUUUCUUGUCAAAGUAUUAUUUUUAUUACAUAAAGUUUAAAUUUAGUUUGAGAGGUAUUUUUAAUUCAAAUUUAAGUUUUUUUUUUUUAAAUUUAACUUUUGUAUUUUAUUUAUUUAAAAAUUAAACUUAAAUAUUCUCAUUUUAUUCUCUACUACAUUCCCAUCUUUCUUAAGUAAAAUAUUAGAAUUUUGAGUAAAAAUGUAUUUAAAAAGUUAAUAAAAUCUAUUAAUACUAGCUCUUAAAACAUAAUGUAGUUUUUAUAAACAUUAAAAAUUGAAAAAUAAAAAGAAUAAAAAUGAAAUAAAAUAGUGAUGAAAACAAACCCUAAACAUUAAUAAUUGAACCUUAUAUUGAGGGAGUUCUGCAAAGUUGAGGAAUAAGGCAAAAGGGAACAGUCAAAUCAAAUCAAAUCAAAUUACUCUUUUUUUCUUAUUAUGUAUACACACACACAUAUUAAACAAUGAUUAGGGUUUAGAUUGAGAAAGAGCAAUGGAAACAAAAGCAUCACUAAUUCCAAACACAAGCCCAAAUUUUUUUUCCUUUAACAAUAGAAAAAGGUCGUGGGACAAGACAACACAAACCAUAGGGAAUUAAAGAUUUGAUUGUAUUAGUAAUCUUACUUUCAACAGAUAUAUACGAUUCAAUUUGAUUCCAUGCAUGUUUGAUGGUUAAAAGAGGAUUUUUGUUUUCCAGCUUUGAUGAAUUAUUUGACCUUAUACACUAUUUUACAGCAUGUUUGUAUAUAAAGUUUAAAUAAUGCUUUUAGAGCUCGUUAAAACUAAAUUUUCUACCAUCACUAAAAAGAAGUUAUAUUUCAAUUAGGAUAAACAAUAUUUCAGUAGGCAUCACGAAUUUCCAAGAAUUCUAGAGAUAAAAGAAAGGUUGUAACAAUACAUACUAGAGAACGAAUAACAAGAUUACAAGAACAGUUACAAUGACCAAAAGAAACCUCGUUCCAAACAUUUGACAACGCAACAAUGGUAUCCAUACGAACUUUUGUACAAAUCUUAAAUCUUUAUACACUUGAAUGAUAUAUCAAAAUAAUUUUAACAUAAAACUUAUUAACCAUAGUCUAAGUUUGUAACAAAAUAUAUUUUUAAAAAAUGGGAAGAGAGGGGGUAAAGAAAAGAGUGAAAAGAUAGAAGAGGCAGUGAAAGAGACCAAAUGAGAAAUGGGCAGAGAGUCCCAAAUAAAACAAAAUUUCUGUAGAGGAAGAGCUGGAUUUCCCUUCUAUCUUUCCAACUUUUACCCCCACCUUUCUUUUCUUUUCUUUUCAUAAAAUUUAUGUUAAAAUUAUUACAAAAUAUAGCAAAAUAAACAUCGAUAGAUUUCUAUAAUGACUGUAUUAUUUGACAGCAUGUUGUAGUGUUUUGGAUUGAACAUGUAAAAUGUGAGACAAUAUACAAAAUUCAAUAUCCAUCUUAAAAUGAAUGUAUUAUUUGACAACAAAACAUACUUUUUCGUUUUUUGGAUUAUGAAAUUUGAAUAUAUUCUAAGACUUAUUUUAAAAGAUAAAUGACCAAAAGAAUAAGCCUAGCUAUAUACCAACUUUGUGAAUACACAAUAAGAUAGCUCAUUAUUAGUUACAAUUCACCAAUACUAAAAAUUGUAUCAUCAACUUGUAAUAGUUGGAGUUGGUUGUUUUUAUGAAAGUAGAAGGAGAAUGAAUAUGAAUUUUUUGGUUUGGAUCUACGUACAUUAGUGUUGUUCUUUCUUCUUCAUCUUGUUAACCCUAAAAUGAUAGGUCCAAUGGGCAGUGGGCCUCUCUGCUUUUUACUUCACAUUCUAAACAGAGACCCAAUGAAGAAAGAAAAAGAGGAAUAGGGAUUUCCUUUCAUCUUUGACCAAUUGCCCAAACCUUAUUUUUCUAGUUUUAUGCUCUACUUUUGUCCCAAAGUUUUUUUUCUUUUCAUCACACAAUUCCUUAGAUUUAUUUAUAGCUCACAUUAUGGACAAAAUUAAGGGUUGGUUUGAUAGGUAUAUUGGGAAGAGAGAAAUAUGAAAACAAAUUAUUCAUUUUGAAAAUGAGGAUAUAAUUGAUGGUUUUAAAUAUGUGUUUGAUAGAAGAUUUAGAAAUUAAAUUUCAAUUAAAGCAAUGGUUUUCUUUUAGAACAAAUGACAAUACAACAACAACCAAAAAACUAUACAAAUGUAUGGUGCCGCCUAGAGACUUUAGAAAAAAUUAGCAACAUCAUUAAGUAAAUUGAUCACCUCCAAGCAACCAUAUCCUACCAAUAUAUUUAAUACACAUGUGGAAGACAAAGUCCCAAGCCUAAAACAAAUCACCAUAGCUUUAAGAAGCUUCAUUAUUUGGCACUUAGAGACAAACUUUAGUCUUGCUAAGUUCAUACAGCCUAAAGGGUCUCGAAACACAUAAACUAACCCACCACAGUUGUUAUUAGGGCUCCAAGUUGCGUCGAUAUUUAACUUUUGAAAAGAUGGGUAGAAGGGUGCCAACUAAUUUGAGCUAGGAUGUGAGUUGGAUGGAUCGAGUCAUUUCUUUUUCUAUUGACUUGCUCACUAUAAAACCAAGAGUCUGACCUAUGCAUGGCAAUCAUAUCACAAAAUAACUCUACACCGGUUAUCGAUUGUCUCAAAACACUACUUGAUCACUUCAAGCUUCGUAAAUCUGCCACACCAUGAUCACAAUCUUAUCAAUGUCAACAAAUGUUGAAUGCUAAAUAAUCGAAUGCCAUUGACAACUCCAUUGAGCUUUAUCAUUCAAAAUGUGUUAGGAUGAUAUAUUUAUAAACCAUAAAACUAAUUCUAAUUACUUAUAUUAUAUAUUAAGCUUGAUAUAAACUAUUGAGGGUUGCCCAAGGUAAGACUCAAAGUCGUCCACAAGUCAUCUUAAGUCCAUAAGGUACUAGAAGGAGUCAUAGAGAAAUAUAUGUCCAAGAUAGAAAAAAAGUCAACAACUUGAGGUUUGGGUAGACCAAUUAAACUAGUAAAUAUAUACCAAUCGAGAAAUCAAACAGUUAUGCUCAAUUUGACACCUUACAACCUCCAGAAAAACUCCAACAUUUGGGUGCUUCAUAUAAUUUGAGGCCGUGUUAAAGGAAAAUGGUUAUAAAUUAGCCUCUCCUUCGACAAUCUUAAAAGGAAAAAAUUGUUAAUCUCCAAAUGAGAGGAUUAUCCUACUUCUUAUAUGCUUAGUUAAAAUGCAAUCCAUAUAUUAAUAUAGGCAUUAAAAUGUGAUAGAGUCAACACUGCACUAAUUGACGAUGUUAUACAUAGGUCAGCUCAAAACAACUUUAUACUAGAUUUAAGAAAAGGGGUUCAAAGGCUCAUCCAACUCGGACCCGAUUCAAGCACUAACCUAAGUUAUUAUUAAUGAUAGGUUAUAAAGAUUAAAAAUACUAAUUAUUGCAAAUUAAAAUUAGUUGUUGACAUUUCUAAAAGAUCUAAGACUCUGCCAAAGUUCUCCUCUUCUCCCUCUCUGCAACAACAAACCUUCACAUGCUACCAACAAUGUCAGUCACACCCAUUUCUUUAUGUUUUCUUAAUAUUUUAUUUUAUUGGGGAAAUCAAAUGACAAAUGUUCCAUUUCUUUUCAUUUUUCUACUUAAAUUAUUCAACAACUUAGUAGAUCAAUCAUAAUGUUAUGGACAACUAACUUCUAUUUUUCAUUACUCGACAAUUUUAUCUUCCUCGACAUGAUUUUGAUACAAUUUGUCAAAGACGAGACGAUGGAUUUCCAUCGUAGUAUUAUAUUGUAAACUUCAUGAAUCUAUUGAGUAAUUAAUUAAAAUUGAUUUUGUAAUAUUAACAAAACAUUACUAGACAAAUGCAUUUCACAAUAUUUAAAAUAUUCUCAAAAUAAUCAUAAAAAUGGAAGAAGAUUCUUCAAUUAUUAUUUAAAAGAAAAAAAAAACAGUUUCAUUUAUUAAUCAAACCAGCCCCAUGAAAAGUAAAUUUAAAAAAAAAAUAAAAUGGUUGCAGGAAAGGACAAAAAUGUCACAUUACAACUUAAAUAAAUAUAAGACAAAGAUAUAUUAGAUACAUUAUUAUAUAAGUUUGUGAACACAAUUUUAUAGAUUUAUAAAUAAAAUGAAAAAAAGAUUAAAUACAAAGAGAAUUACUAACCUAAUAAACUCAUAUUGUAUUUGAAUUAUUGUUUAAUCAGUAAUUAAAAUGUGUAUAAUAAUAACAAUAAUGAAAAAAAAAAAAAAAAGAAGUUUAUAUUUUGAUCCAUUCUGAGCCAUCAAUGAAGGUAAGAGAAAUAAAAGGUUUGGCCUCUUCAUCUGUAAGUUCUCUUGACCAUGAAACUCGACCAGCAAAGCUCGCUCCAUCUCCCGUACACUUGUAUUGUCCAUAAAAGACCGUCCUACGAUUAUAAAUAUAUCAAUUAGAUUCAAAAUAUUAACAUAUAAAAUAAUAAGAAAUCUGGAAUAAAACGACAAAAAUGUCCUUGCAUGCGUAUGGUUGGUGACAAAUGAUAGAGAGCCAAAUGGAAAAUGCCACCGCCCUAAACCACCAUUCUGAGAGGUUAGGUGGCGGCGCUGGCGGCGGAGACAGUGGUGGUGGGGCGGUGGUCUAUCAGCUACUUAGCUACUUAUUUUUUUAAAGAAAAAAGUUUGCUUUUUUAGUUUUGGUGCAUUCCACGUAGGAUGAGCAAAACGACAGCGUUUCCUCACUCUGUUUUGAAAUUUGAAAUUUAUAACCAAAAAAUGAAAGGGUAAGCAAAGAAAGAACGAAAGAAAGAAAGAAAGAAAGGGGAAUUAAGAGAGAAAAGAUGAGAUACAUUUCACGGUUAGGAUCGCCCCAAUUAUACCAUCCUUUAGGAAUAAUAAUAUUGUCCAUAUAUGUAUAAGCAAACACCACUCUUGAGAAUGGCCCCCAUGCUCUUCCCAAAUACAAAGCUCCUGAACCCGUGACUUUACAUUUCACAAACGAAAAUCCUGUAUCUUCCAACAAGCUACUCCUUCCUUGUGCUGUCAAAGCUCCCGUAUAUUGUGCUAUUGCAUGAACAUGACAUCCCUAACAAUAACCCAUGAUAAACCUCUUUUCAAUAUCAAUUUCAAUUUGAAACUUUUGUAAUUUUGUAAUUUUGUAAAUUUGUAAAUUUGAAUUGCUGACCUCGAACAGAGAUAACCCGUUUCCGAAUAUGAAGUCUACUGAUCCUUCUAUGUAACAAUCUUUGUAAUAAUGUCGUCCUAAAUGAUCGUAUAGUGUGUCUUGUGCUCCUAAGAAUCUGCAUCCGAAGAAUGCUGCUGUGUCUGCUGAUAUUCUGAAUGCUACUGCUUGUUUUCCGAUUGCUCCUGGUGCUGGAACGGGGGUUGUGUUCUGUUUUUUUUUUUUUUUUUUUUUUUGGUGAAGAGAAUGAGAGUUGAAUGAAGAAGAAAAAAAAAAGUAAGAGAAAGGGGGUUUUGAGGUUUGUUUGUUUUUACCUUGAAUGUGAUGUUUUUGGCUAUGAAAUAUGGGGAAUUUACGGCGAAUGUGGCGGAGUUGUAUGUGCCCAUUGGUUGGCCAUUUGAGCCUGGUGUUUGAGCUGUGUCUCCCCAUUGAAUUAUUGUUUUCUCUGCUCCUGCUCCUUCGAUCGUUAUGAAGGAUUUUAAUGGUGGUAUGUUUACUUUUUCUCUGUUCAAUUUAACGUCGCAUUUUACUGAUCAUGUUGAUUCUUAAUAGAAGAAAGAAAACGAAGAAAAACAGAGCAUUCUAUGGCCGGUUUUGUUUGGUAACAAUGUCGUUUUUUGUUUUGUUUUUUUAAAAAACUAAGUUUAUUUCUUCUCUUAUUGUUACAAUGACAUGCACAUAAGAAUUGAAAUCUAUGUCAAAUUCCAAAAACAAAAAAAAACAAAAAAGUUUUCAAAUUUUUUGAAUUUGUUUUUAAAAAACAAUCCUAGAAUGUAACCAACAAAACUAGAAAACUAAAGUGGGAUUUGUAGGCUUAAUUUUCAAAAACAAAAACUUUGCCAAAUGAGGCCAACAAUGUGGAUUCUUGAUAGAAGAAAAAACAGAGUAUUGUAAUUUAGUAGGAUUUACUCACGUAUAUACACCUGCAUGAACUUUGAUGACGACUCUGACUAAAUUAAUGAAAGGUAAGGAAUCAAUAGCGUCUUGGAUGGACGUGAAGUCGCCGGAGGCGGGAUUUUUAGCUACAUGGAGUGUGAAAGAAGGAAAAAGCUUGUUCUUGGCUGUUUUGAAAACAGAGUGUCUGAGACUACCGACGAAUUUCACCCAUUUCAGGAAUUGUUGUUCUGAGAAUUGGGUUUUGGUUGAAUUGUUGGGAAGGAAGUUUUUGGAUGAUUUCUUGGGUUUUAGGCCUUUAGUAUGGCAGUGUGUUUGAGUGAAACUCAAGCUAAGAAGAAGAAAAAGAAGAAGAAGAAGAAGAAGGAGAAGAGAAGGAUGAGGGUGAAGUUUUGACAUGAUUUUGAAGGGAGGAAUUGGGAAUGGAAAUGAUAUUAAAAAAUGGGGGUUUGGGUUUUUAUAAAGAGAGAAAAGAAAAGGAAUGGGAUUAGGUGGAAAUGAGAAAGGUAAUGAAAUGAGAAUGAAAGAGUUAAGAAAGAGUGUUCACGGGUGGUUUCACUGACAGAAGAGAACAGAGAGAGAGAGAGGGAGAAAAGAUUGAAUAUAAACCACAAACAGAUGACAGGUUGCACUUUUGGGAUAUAAAAAUGUGGGUUACAACUUACAAACACAAAGAAAUUUAACACUUUUUUUUUUGUAGUUUCUUUGGAGUUAGCCCGUGAAUCUUUUCGAUUUCCUUCUCUCUCUCUCUCUCUCUCUCUCUCGUCCUUCUUAACAUUUUCUCACUCAUACAGUCAACUUCGAUAGGCCAAUGUCGGUUUUGAACAAAAACUCAUCAGAAGCACGUCGGUUUUCGAUUGCCUUAUUCAUAUGCUUCAGAAGAACAACGUAUUAUCGUGAUACUAUCAAAAUGACCAAGAGACUAGCUAAGAGUCUAUGCAUCCCAAAAAAGAAGUCAAGUUCGUGGAGUUCAACCAAAGAGGAAAUAACUAAGCCAAGCUCAGUAUCCUCCAAUCUUAACGAAGAGUAUUAUGAAUAGAUUCAUAUUUACACCAAGGAUGCAAGUAACUCUAGAAAGAAGAAACUUUUAAUUCUUUUAGUGCUUAAUUGAGCUUAAAUACUUCAUGAACUAACUUAGUCAUCAAUCAAAGGAGCAACUAAUACUUAUGUGCAAGUUUCUCGCACAAACAAUUAGAUAUGUUUGUUUGAAGCUAUUUCCAAUUUGAGUUAAACCUUAAGACAUAAGUUUUUUCAAUUUCUCGACAAUGAAAUAAAGCAAAGCUUAUUAGCUUAUUAUUAUCGAGCUUGAAAUUUGUCUUUUAAUUUAAGAUAUCAUUUGUAACGUUGACCUAUUUUCCUAUUGACUUCUAGUGAAAAUUUUAAAUUACUUGAAAUUGUGAUGUUAAUGAUAAGUUUAAAUCUAGCAAGAUAGCUUGUUUUGUGUAGUUUCAUAUACUAUUUUUUCUUUUGGCAAAUGAUAGGUAACCUAUGAGUUAUGGGCUGUUGUGAAUUUGAUCCAAAAGUGUGGUUUUAUUAAUGGAUUAGACUCUUGAUUUAGAACAACUUUUCAAAUGUUUAAACUAAUUAAUUCUAAUAGGGGUUGCCUAAUAUGUGAUUAAAAAAAUGGUUAAAGAAUGGUUGUACUUUGUGCUUUAUCUGGCUGCAACAAAUGAAACCUAACAUUUAAACUUUUAGGUGAAGUAAUCACAUGGCAGUGAUGACAUAAUUAUUCCUUUUUCAUUUUGUAGUUUUCAUACAUAAGAAUCACUAAUCAUUCCCAAAAAAAUUCAUGUUCACUUGUGAGUAUAAUUAAUGUCAUUUUUCAUUCAAACCAUUUUGGUUUGUUUGUUCCACCAUCCUUUUUCAUUUGCCUUUCUUUUACUUUUGAAUUCUCUUUAAUGAUUUCAACACCAAAUGAAAAACUAUUUAAACUACUAUAUGCCUAUACUCUUAGUUGGAGUUACCUUUUAACCUAAAAGUACCACUGUCCUCAUGAUGAAGAUUCCAAUUCCCACAAGGGUAAACAAAGAGUCUUCCGUAUAUGCACAAAAAAGUAAUCACCAAUUCAAAACAUAUGACUCGAUUUCGAAUAGUGGUUCAAGCUCAUUCUCGAUGUACUACUGUAUAUGCCUUCCAAAGACACUUGCAAUCCCCUAGGAUCACUCGACUUCGGUGAUCCUGAACAAUCCACCCAAGACCAUCGAAUAAUCCCUCAUCCUCGACCAAGCCAUUGAUUACAAUUUGCUUUCACCAACUUGACUUAGGUGGAGGCUAGUGUGAAGGAUAUAGGAAACAUGAGACAAGAGGGGACAUGGCUUGAUAGGAGGGGCCUCAUCUCUUGAAUGUUUGCUAACACUUGCAAAGAUCGAGCAAAUGGACAUCAAUCGAGCACUUGAUGGAGGUAGCUAGAAUCAAGCACACAUUUUCUAGAGAAAAUGUUAUUUAUGUUGUAACAUUCAUCAAUACUUCUAGUUUUUGUCACAUCCCUAGAGAAGAGAACAAAUUUUUCCAUAUUUAAGCAACGUAAUUUUAACAUCAUUUCGAGUUUGUUCUUUGAUAUAGAAAGAUGUUUGUCAAAUAGUAUUCUCUCCUUCAUUGGUAACGAAAAGAUUAAGGAAGUAGUUGAUUGACGUGGUCACUGUGGUAUUUGUAGUAUUUGGAGGUCUAAAAAAAGAUUCCAAUCGCCAAUACUUAACCAAAAAGAGAAUGGAAAAACAUACCAUUAGCUAGAAUCUACACUAAUAUAGUCCAAUUCUUCAUUUUUUUUCUACUUUUUCUUUUGUUGAUGUUAUUGUAAUAACAACAAUUUUAGAAAUUUUAUUUUCAUUCUAUAAACUUUUCAUUUCUACCCUUUUUGUUUUUUUAUCAUAGAAGUAAACGUGUAUCAUUUUAGACAUUGCAUUAGAAGGACUACAAUUGAGUUAGGAAGAGAACGAUGAGAUUCUAUACUUCACAUCCAAAACAAAUAAAUGAAAUCAAAACUCCUAAAUAUAUAUAAUAUAACAACAAGGUACUUUCAAUUUUGAAAGAAAAAUUAUUUACUCCCAUUCAUGUCUAUAAGUACUAGUAGAAGCACACAACAAUAAUAAUAAAUUACUUAUCAAACACACAAAGUUUCAACCUCAUGUGACUUGGAAGAUACUAUAGAAAAUUGGGUUUCUUUUUGUUUAUGGAGAAACUAAAACAAGUAGAUUUAUUUGUCCAAAUUUUUUGUGCAUCUGCUUGGUUUUCCCAACUAGGGUUACCAAAACCACAUUAUGUAUUGGAACAUAAACAUUAAGAAACCAACACAAGAAAGUUAGGGAAUGAUACCAUGUAAUCUUCUAGACCCACGAUUUCGAUUAAGAGUUUGAAUUUGGAUUUGACAUAUACAACUUUGGUAUUUUCGUGCAUCAUCUGCGACCUAAUUAAUCACGCCACCUUACUUAUCUCGAGAAUGAAGACUAUUCUCAUAGACCAAUACAGAUUAUUCAAGCAUGUUUUGUUUUUACUCGCAUACUUCUGUAGAAAACUUUAGGAGGUUGUCUAUUACAUAUAUAUUGAUUCAGUUUAAGCUAAACAUGUUUAGUUUAAAGUUAUUUUUAACAAGUAACUGAAAAGAAACAUAAAUCUUGUCGGUAUAGGUAAUAACUAUUAAUUCUUUAGAACCUCUGGGCAAAUAUCAAUUCAUAUUCCUAAGGUGUGUGUCGGUUUUAUCAAUUAAAAUUCUAGACUGAUAAUUGUAUCAAUUGAAUUUUCGUAACUACAUCUAUCAAUACCCUCUUUCAUAGUUUGUUUUGACAAAAUAUCUUGUAAAACUUAUUUGAGUUAAUAAACUCCAAAAUUUGUAGAAGCCAAAACAAUUUAAACUCAUCAUUAUGACUACCUUUGAAAAUCAUUCAUGCAUCAAUUCUCAAACAGUACGUGUAAACUUUUUCAAAUAUCGAUUUUACAAAAUGGACUACUAGAGUAAAUUCAUGGACGAUUCUUAAAAAAAAUUAUGAUUAAAAGUGUAAAUCGAUACAACUCCUAUAAUGUAAAAAACAAAUCAAUAAUUUUUUAUGAACCCAUCUAUUAGCUACACCUUGCAUAUUUCAAAGAUGAAUCUCAUUCAAAAGUGGUAUCGAUUUAUUGAUGUAUCUUUCUUAUGCUCUAAGCGUCACAUGUCAAUGAAAUGAAAAACCAAACAAUAUGGUCCAAUGGAAGUCCCAUGAGUAAAGAGAAAGACAUGGGAAUGGGACAGAAAGCACUUCAUAAAGGAAGCAAUAUAUGUUGUAAAAGAAAAACCUCAAAACAGAUAUCAUAAGUGGUGGAAUGGGACAAAGCAUUCUUGCCAAAAUGGGGAUUAUAUUGGAACUCAAAAGUUAUGUUAGGAAUUAAAAAAAGUUGAAGAUAAGAGAUUGCCAUUUGGGUGUUGAAAGAAUAUCAUUUAUUUGGAAUUUUCUUCUUCUUUUUUUCUUAUUCAUUGUUUAGUUACCAAAUUGGUUGAUUAUAAUAAAAGUAUCCUUUUUUAGAAAAACAAAAUACCUACUUCCAUAAAUAUAAUGCCUCUCUGAAAAAAGCAUCAGAAGAGACCACUUUCCUUCUACACUUUUGUUCUAAUGGAGAAGCAUUAUUAUCUUCUUCUUCUUCAUCUAAAGAAUUACAGAGCACAAACUUCUCACUUGAUUAUGUGUCAGAUUUUCCAACUGACCCAUCUCUAAACCUGAAGCUCUAUGAACAAACAACAUAGAGAGGUUCUGUUUAGUAAUGAUUUAGGGUCUUUUAUUUGUAGUUUUCUGUUUUUGAUAUCUAUGCCAUGUUUUCUCAAGUUUUUCUAUUAUGGGAUUCGUUUUUUUCUUAAAACACAACACUUAAAAGCUUUUGAAUUUUUGCUUGGUUUUAGUAAGGGAAAUUUUUAAAAAUGGUGAAAUAGGUCUAAAAUUUACGAGGUGGAAUAGCAAAGGUUUAAGUACAAAACAAACAUUUAUCGGUCACACCUCAAGGAAUAUGGAAGGGCACGAGGUAGUUGUACAUUAAUAAGGCCUAUGACGACAAUCGUGGAUGACAUUGAUGAAUAUGGUUGCUUGAGAUUUAUUUAUAUAUUUACGACAAAAUAGAAGAAAGAAAUCUAAGACUGUUUAGUAGGAAAUGUAAAAAAAUAUAUAAAAACAAAUAUUUUAAUGAAAAAAGAUAUUUAACAUUCGUAUUUUACUUUACCUCGAUAGAGAGUUUGAUUUUAGUUUUACUCAUUUAAUAACCAUUUUUUUCUUUAAAUUAAGUCUAUAAACACACAUUUUACCUCCGACUAUCUUUUUUGGGUUAUAAAUAUAUUACCAAGGCAAGAAAUAAAUCAUGUAGCUAAGUAUUAAUCAAAUGGACAAAUGGAUAUUUUAAAAUAUAGUAAAAUAAAUUAAAAUAUUUACAAACUAUAAAAAAAUUUUAGAUUCUAUCAAUGAUAAAAACCGAUAUGAUUCUAUCACUGUCUAUCAAUGCUACUGAUAGAAGUAUACAAGUGUCUAUCAAUAUCUAUUAUUGAUAGAAUCUGAAAAUUUAACUAUAGUUUGUAAAUAUUUUUGUCAAAUUUUGUUAUUUUUUACGAUUCUCAAUCUAUAAACAUCCUCGAGCAAUAACCAAAUAAACAGGAAAACAAAUUUCCAAAACUACUUAAAAUGGUAACAACACUCACUGCACAAAAUAUAAAUCUAAAGAAUUGAUAUUGCUUUUUUUUCUAUAUUCUUCGCUGCAGAUGCUGUACAAAGAAGAGAAACUAAUAAUACAACACAUAUACCUUACUACCAACUAAUCAUUUUAGCCUAUGAACAUGUGCAAGUAUAAUUAAUUAGCAUUCAUCCUAAGUAUAUAUACAGAAAAUCAAGCAGUUUUACUUGUAUUCUUUACUUCCAAACCUUAAUAGCUCCAUCCCUACUACCUGAUAAUAGAAGUCUUUGGUUCAACUUCACUGAGGCCAAUGACAAAAUCGAGUCCCGAUGGCAACCAGCUGAAUCAGUUGCAGCAGCAGCCAGAAUGGCCUUUGUGGUCAAUUUUGUUGAUAGAGGUCGUCUCCUAGUUUCCUGUUUGGACAGAAAACAAAAAAUGAUUGACCAUAAAAGCACUUUUGUUUUCAUAUAAAAGCAAGUAGUUAGAGUCUUUAGAUGGUGUUUAGAAUGUUGAGUUGUUUAUUAUAGUUGGUAGUCGUAACUAACAAAGAGGAAUUUCAAAUAGUAUUAACUAUCGUAGUUAAUAGUGGGUUAUAGAAAUGGGAAACACCAACUAUUAUAAUCAUAGAGCGAGCUGAAAGGACUAUAAUGGCCCACCCCACCUAAUUGGAGUUGUGGGCUCAAACUGUGCCUUCUUAGAGAUUCAGACAACAUCUAAAAGCAUGAGACAACGGCCGUUUGUGGGAGCACCAAGCUACUAUUAUAAAUCAAGAUGAUGUCUAGAAAAUUUAUGUACGUUGUCUUUGCCUUCUUGCUUUCCACCCCUUUUGGACUUCCUUAUUCCUUCUCUUCCCCUGUUUUCCCUCUCCAGGUGAGAACCUCAUAAGGGUCUCCUGAUUCUCCUAUUCCUCUCCCAGUAAUCAAAGUCACGUUUUUCUUUUAAAUGUGUGAAUCAUUUGUUACAUGUAUAACCAGAUAAACAUUAAACGGAAUGUAUAAAAAAGGUUGAAUAAGAGAUAUCUGAUACUGCAUAAUCUAAGAUUGAUAACCUAUGACCACAUUCACAAAUUUUUAGAUAAAACUCAAGGAAAGAAAAAACACCUGCACAACUUGCACACCGAAACUAGAUCUAGUUUCAUAGAAAUCUUCAUUUCCAAUUCCCUUCACAUUUGGUCCACAGACACAGUAAGUUCUGUCCGGACUGCAGCGACAAAAAAUUGAGUGAAUAAACUUCUCCCCAUAACCAAGUAGAAAAGAAAGAAAGUAAAACAAAAACCUGUAAUGGUUCCAUCGACGUAUUCUCAAGUCAGUGCCCCCAGUCAGCAAAUCACCCCCAGGUAAGGGAAGCAAUGAGCGAAUGCCAGGAAGUCGAGGGGGAGGUUCAUUCAACUCAUCAACUUUGUACUUUGGAUUCACAUUACGUCUUAGAUCUUGUAUAGGAUUUCCCUUAGUCGAUGGUCUAGUCAGAGCCCAAGGUAGGUCAGACAUUUCGGUUUCAUUGUCAUAACUUGCCACCCGCAAUAUCUAACAGAAAGGUUGAAAACUUUAGAGAAAAGAUAUAGUGUUCAAUGUAACAAUAUUGAACUUGUACCAUCAAAUUAUUGAAGAUUUAGAAAAUUCAGCAUCAAACACCAAUUUCUCAUCAAACCUUUAAAAUUGUAAUAAAGAUAUGCCCAAUUAUCUGCUCCAUAGAAUGUUAAGUAGAAAUUAUCACGCAUAUGACUGAUAAUAGAAAAUUUUAACCAAGAAAAUAUAAUGCUAAACAAUUAAUUAAAAAGGUGAUAGGUAACAUUUCUUGUUUGGGCAGGAUAUUUGAAGACAAGAAAUAGCAAAGUUUGAUUGCUCAUAAUAUAUGUAAACUGAUCUGCUACAUUAAAGAAUCGCUGAAGAGCAGGCAAAAAAUUGAAUCCACGUCGAAUACAAGAAUUAGAAAUUAAUUUUUAAUUUGUUUUACAUCCUAUGUGUAGUAUAAAGGCCCCGCCUACAAUAGAAACUCAGAUUAAAACGCCAUGUUUAAUGUUCCAACCAUUUCCAAACAACAAAACAAUUUUUCUGAUCCUCAUUUUGCCGUCUCUUUUAAGUUGGGGAUAACAAUUUAAGAAAACGCCAAUAAGAAGAAUUCUUUAGUCACAAUAACACUGCAUCAAAGAUGUAAUGAAUAAAAGAGAGAACCAUGCACCUGAUGACAGCUCCAAUUCUCCGCAUUCCAGAGGGAAACUUCAUUACAGCCAGCAGAAACAUAAAUUAGGGGCCUCGCAGCAGUUGCAACAGAAGUGUUUGGAGGAUGCACAAAGAGGCACAUCCUUUCAAUGGGGCACAAAACUGAAUAUUUCCACGAGUUCACAGGUACGAGGAACCUGAGAUCCCAAAGUGUCAGCACACCCCUCGAAGACCCAGACACAAACCAGUUUCCACAAGGGCCCGCCAAAAGAGAUGACACAUAACCUUCCUCGGGAGUUGAUUUCAAUGUAAAAACAUUGACAUUUGUUCUAGUGUCCCAUAAAUGUAUUCCACAAUUCUGCGUACUAUACAUAACCAUCUGACUUGAAUCAGUAGAGUAGUUCAGCAUGGUAAUAAUUGCACCUUCGUUGAUGUCCUUCUUUUUAAUAUCAGCUAGGCCUGAAUACUUCUCAGCGGCGUUGCCAAGACCUUUGGAGAAGUAAUCAACUGAAAACAUAUGAAUCAAACCAUCACAAGAACCAACAACAACUUGAGCAGACCCCCGGAGCAUAGUAGCACAAAGGGCUCGACUUCCCUCCAGAUGAUAAGUUAGCCUUGACCUAAACGAGAUAUCUUUCUCCAGUUUUCUCGAAUCCCACACCUUUACAGUGGAAUCUUCAGAUGCGCUAACAAAAAAACUGUGAUCAGUUGAAACAGCAAUGUCAUUGACAGCAGAAUGAUGCUCCUGCAAGUGUGCAACCAGCACACCACGGGGUUUCCAUCCUGAAUCUGGAAUUGCUGAUGCUCUUGUAAAAGAUGGUGAUGUUGUCAAAUCAUUUGUAGAGGGAGCAUCUUCUGUCAUUGAAGAAUUUCCUUUCAGUGUACUUGAUGAUCCCAUCUCCUGAAAUUUACUACUGAUAUAGGAUGUCUGAUCACUUUCUCUACCAUCUGGCUCGUGAACCACUCUGUAAAACUGUUUAGAGCCACUGCCAAUGCAUAGGGAUCCUGCACCAAGUUUAGGUGCUGGGGCUGAGCUAGCCAAAUUAAAUGAUUUAUUUACAGGGUCCAUCCAAGGUAUGGAUGAUGAAUCAAAUUCUAGAGAGUUCAACUCUAAUGGAGAAUCAGAAGCCACAGAGUGAAAUCCUGUAUCCCGCUUGUCCAAACUAAAAGAGUACAGAGGAAUGCCAUCUGACGUUUUAUCAAGAACGAAACUACUGAUGCCACUAACUUGUGGUGAGAUAAAACCUGAGAGUUGCAACUUCUCUGAGAAUACAGGAUCACUAAUGUCAACUUUGCUUGACACAUUGGAUACAGGAGUUUUAAUCCCUCUCAACUUUUCAUCACCAUCAAUUAGCUCUGGGGGGCAGAACAAACUAUCGGCAGGGUUUUGGCCAUUAGAGCUUUGAGGUUUGCUUGGCCAGUUCUUCAUUAGAUUUAACUCUCCCAUUCCUUUCUUGAGAAAAUCUAUACUGUCCCAAUUUACAGACUGAGGUGAAGAGCUGUACCAUAUCUUCCUUUGCCUUUCCAACAUAUCUGAGCUCCUGGCUUUUUCAAGAAUUUCAUAAUAUACUUCUCUGGAGAUUGGAGGCUUCAAACAACAAAGUAGGGCUUUCUCAGAAGCUAAGGAAGUUGGUUGUCUACGAAGGAAGGGCCGUAUAACUGGAGCAAGAAAAACAUAGGAAUCAACUGCACCCAACCUCUCACUGCUAGCAGCAAUAAAAGUAGCAGCUGACCUUCUUACCCAUUGACUAGGAUAACAUAACAAUGGAAAAGCAUGCUCAAUCAUCUCAAGCAAUAUCCUCUUCCUCAAGAAACCUCUUUUACACAAAAUAGCCAAGCAAUCCAAUCCAUUAACAAUGACAGCCUCUGCAGUAUCUUUUAAGGAUUGUUCAAUAUAUGGUAAAAGAUACUCCUCCACGCUCCUUUCACCAACAAAGAAGCAAACAUACACUAUUUGCCCAUAGAAUACUGCCCUCAGUUGCUCAUCCCGAUCAUUUAAAAAUGCAGGAAGGAUAGGCAAGAGAAAGUCAUUACUCUGUCUCUGCCCAAAAAAACAGCAAAGAUUGCCAAUGUCCUUUAGAAGUGCUCUCCGUAUGCAAGGAGUUUGCUUUGGACCCAUAACAAGUUCUUGAACAACCUCUGCAAUAGACUUUCUCAGUUGUGCAAGCUGGACAUCACCAUGUAGCUUCCCAAGUUGUCCAGAUGUCUCACUGCUCGGAGCUGAUGGCUUCUGUGGUAUGCUUAGUUUAUCAAGGACCCCUGCUUCCCUAAAGCUCAUGGAAUGAAUCAAGAAUCCAUAAGCAGUCAAUGCCAGCUUGGCAAUAUUGCUGGCAUAACAAAUCCUCACACUUUCCUCUGGAUCAUCAGGAAUCAUUGAAAGCAUUGGAAGGAUAUACUCAGGAAAAAUUUUAGCAUCACUGGGAGGAAAAUCACGUACUAAAGGCAAAAUGUCACAUAAAGUUUCCAAUGCUGCACAACGAACAAUUGCUGCAGAAUCUGAGAGCAUGGCAAUAACAUAAGGGAGUACUCGUUGCAAGCGAUCCUCGUCAUCAAUGUACAAAGCAGAAGACCUCAGCAAAAGUAUAGCUGCCCUCCUCAAGUGUGGUAACUUGACAUUGCGUAUGCAGGAACAAAGCAGGCUGGCAAUAAGAACCAUGCCUUCACAUUUCAUGCUAUCUUCAGGUAAUGGUAAGAAAGGCAUGCCAAAUGUAUCAGAUUGACUAUCAUAGCUGGACAUCAAUGAACUCAAAUUGCUCAUGGUAAUCUUCUGCAGAAAAGGGUGGUCAUUUUUCCUGAAUGCAUUGGAUAUGCUAUGGAACAGCUCACCAGGAGACUGAUCUACACAGUUAGUAAUAUUUUUGGUGGCUGCAUCCUCCAGUAGCUGUUCAGAACCAGAACAAUAAUUAUUCUGUUUUACAUCCCUGAACAGUGUAUCAACAUCACCAAGAAGUUCAAAUUGAUCACGUGGUAGUCCUUUUUCUGUGCUCUCUAGCCUUGUCAGAUUUUCAUUCUGUUUUGUAUUCAUAUCUUGUGACAAUCCACUCGUGUUAUUUGUGGGUGAGCCUUUUUCAGUACCAGUUAACCCACUGCCACAACUUGUCAUUUGCUCAAGAAUCUUGGGAAAAACUUUCUGGCACAAUGCAACCUACAAGGUGGUGAUGAAAGCAUCAUAAAAGAUGCCUAGCAAUGAAAUAUUCAAAUAUUGUGCAAUAAAGUAUUACCCUUGUAUCAGAAUGCAGAGGAUUCCAACAGCAAUAGAAGUUAUGCAGAAAUGGCGAGAAAUAGUUGGGGAAAACAACAUUUGCAUAAUCCUGCAGGUAGUUUUCAGCAGAAAGACGUAAUUCUGGUUCCAGCUGGAUCAUAUGAAGUAUCAUUUUGCGGAUUCCAGAAUCUGGGAUCUGCACAACAGAUACUAUAUAAAUUAAGAGUUGAACCUCGACAUGGUUGAAAAAAAAGUAUCAAACAUUAAGGCUUCUUUUAAGUCAUGGUACUUAUAAUAAUUUAUAGCAUCUAACAUAGGAUUUAAACAUAAAAACGCAAAAGAAGUUUCAGCCAUUUGAACUCUGACCCAAAGACAGAAAAAAUGAAAGGAUAUCACCUUCCAACUAGGGUAAUUGAAGCAUGAGGUACAGAUACUAACUGAACAAAUCUUGUUGAUAUUGAUCAUUGGAAAAUGACAGGUCCAUCAACAUGACAAUUUUGGACCAUGGUUGGCAAAAUAGAACAUGCACAAAGAAAAAGGUACCUUUUCAAGAUGUUGGCUUGGAUCGUACUGUCCUCUACGAUAAGAAAUAAGCUGCUGGCGCUCAAAUAAUGGUUGCCCCUCCAGAAAAAGCUCUGCAAUUACACACCUGAAAUAUAUUGGGAGGUUGGAGCACUUUAGUUCUUCUGAGGAGAAAAUCAAAGAUCAAUGUGAUUUCAAUUAAGCAAUAAAAAGCGUCAGAAACAUUCAUCAUAUUUCAUUUUGAAAUCAUGAUUUCCAUCAUGUUUCAUGUUAUGAAACAAAAGAAAAUGAAGUUAAUGUUGUUUGCCAAAAGAAUUUCACCAUAACUCUUGCUACUCUUUAAUAGAAAAUGCCACACAUUGAUGCACACAAAAUUACUAAAAAAACUUCCAAUAAACUAAAGAGGUAAUAUAAAGAUCACUUACCCCACAGAAAAUAUGUCCAUAGAUGGCCUUAAAGGGGCAUCAUGUGCAUCCUGCAACUCACCUCCAUGCUCAUAGAAUCUCUAAAGGUUUGGAAACAGUGAGAAAUUGAAGAUAGAUGUAGGGUUUUUUUUUAACAAGAAACUCUUCAUUAAGAUAAUGAAAUGAAACUAAUGCUGAAAGUACAUCAGAUACAAUAAAAGGAAAGACUUAGGAUCAGCACGUGCACCUAGGCAUCUCAACUAGAUUGAUAGAUGAUAGAUGUAAUAUUGCUAAACAUAAAUAAAUAAUUAUAUUAGACAGCUUUUUAGACCAUAUAGAAAGUAAAAGGAAAAACCAUCCAAGUGUCAACAAAAUCCCACAAGGUGACAUGUGAAAGCAGAUAACAGAAGAGAGGAUCAACAUUUGCAGGUGUUAAGCUGACAAUGCAAACUUCAAAUUUCAUAAUGUGAAUCUGUGCAAAUAGAUUUUACUAAUUACUACUAAGGUUGCAAGUCAAUGGCGAACUUGGCGCAUGCAAGCACACACACAGCAAAUGGAAAAAAGAGCUACACAGGAAGUCCCUCAAAGCAUCAAAGGUCCAAAUCUAAUGUCUCUUUGCCCUUGAGACAUGAGUUGAUCGUGCGUAUAAAUCGAUUUUACUAAUUAAACUAGGGUUGCAAGCCAGUGGCGAUCUUAGCACACAAAUAACUUAUGUGUAAGUUUGAAAACAAGGCAUGAAAAUUGGACCCACUAUAUUAAUACACGUCAUAAAUAGAAUAUUAGAGAGCUAAUUCUCAAAUGAUAGAAGGAUUCCAAAGGAUUGUGCAAAAUAGAAGUCCUGAAACUUUCAGACUCUAUAUAAAUAUAAAUAAGAUAAUAUGGUCAAAAGCAUUAAUUUUCACUUAAUGAAAUGAUUGAAUAGACUUUUGUGUCUUUGACCUUGUUUAUUUGUUAGCAAUACUUCGAAAUAAAACUUCACGUACUUGUCAAAAUUGGAAGAAUGAUGCACCAACCCUCUGAAGGAACUCAAAUAAGACCAAGAAUACAAUAGAAUUGAGCUAUGUAAUAGCAAAAUACUAUAUUACAGUUUCAUUUUCUUCAAGGCUAGACUACUGUGUUCCCAAAACAUGACCAUGUAAGGUAGAGGAAACAUAUCAUUAAAUAAGUUACUUGUAGAGAACUUUCAGAAAACUUUCCUAAUUUCAUACCAUCAUCUUUUUCAAGCUCUUUUUUCUACAAGUAGUGAACUGAUACCAUUACUUUAGUUAUCUACAUGAUUUGCUUCGAGGGUAGAAUUCAAAAAGACAGGCCAUAUUUUAUGGAGAUCUGCAUCCCAUGCCCUGCUUUGGGAAAUGUAGAAAGAAAGAAACAGAAGAACUUUUGAAGAUAAGUCCAAUACUUUUGACACCUUUUGUAUUAUAUACUGCUUCCUUCUUCUUUAUGGUGUCUUAGACACAAGGAGUUUUGUUGCAACUAUAGCCUAGUUUUCAUCCUCAAGGAUUGGAAACCCGUGCUUUGUCAGUUACUUCUUGGGAGGGACCCUCUCAUCCCCUCUGUUGUGCCCCUCUCUUGACUUUACUAUAUUUCUCUAUUGUUUCCUAUAAAAAAAUUGUCUACAUGCUUUGGCAGUUACUCUAGAAGCUCAUGUCAUAACUUUAAGAGUGAUCUUGAAAAAGAAGAAAAUGUUAAAUCGACAGGGAGGUAAAGAAUUUGACCUCAGGUGCUAGAUAACCAAGCCUUCUUCCACCAGAGUCAUAAUAGAAGUAAAAAUCCGAAGGGUCAUCAUAAGGAAUGUAAGUGGGUUUAAAUGACGCGAAAUCAGCAAGAUAGAGCCAAUUCCAAGAUGUAACAAGUACAUUCUCACACUUGAUGUCACCUAUAAAGAUGCAAAAGAAGAAAAUAAGCCAGCAAGUUACGGUGGCAUCCAGAAAAUAGCAUGAAUCUUCCACAGUACUGAGCUAACCAUGACAAAUUCCUUUCUCGUGGCUCUGUUUGACUGCAAGGAGUAACUGCAACCAACCAGAAAACAAGGGAAUUAAGAGAAAUACGCAUAAUGAUGAUUAAAGAAAACAUAGGCAAUCAAAAUGCUCAAUAUAAAUGAAAAAUGAUGAUAAUAAUAACAAAAUGACCUGAAAUGCCAACCAUUUCUUCUCAAUGACACUGAGGAAAGGUCGAGUACUUAACCGAUCGUGUAAAUUAUUGAAGAAAUACUGCCUCAACACAUAGGCUGCCUUAUCCGUUUCUUGCCAAAUCUGCAGAUAACAUGUCAGUAGAGCAUGAGAUGAAUCCAAACAAAUAUGGAUUCAACAAGCAAGCUGUCUCCACCCAAGGUAAGGUACGGAAUAACUCUAUAUUGUUUCAAACCUUCUCAACUCAAACAGCUAAAAUUGUAUCAUCACUUACACAAUAACACUAAAAUUUUCCAACCCUAUGAAACAAAAUUGUGGGUCACACCCAUCCCCACCCUAAAGAACCUCUUUUUGUAUUAGCAUCUUGAUUAAUUAACAGAAAGAAACAAAUUAUCACUCCAAUUCUGAUCCUAAGAAUCUUAAGCAACUAUGAUGCAUAUCUUGCAGCAGCAGGAUCAAAAUAAGGUAUAAGCUAAUAUAUUAAUUAAGCAAAACAGAUAAUUUCACGACCACGAGAAUUCCAUCCAUUUCCCAAAUGAUCUUGAAAACCAUACAACAGAAGUAAAUUCCAAUUCCAAUUGAAAUUUCAACACAAAAUAAGAAGUGGGUAUUAAAUAAAACCUGGAAUGGCCAAACAUGAGGGUGAGGAAGGGCAAGGAAAAUCUCUUUGAUCUGAGAGAGACGACGCUCGUACUCUUUGAGAUCAAUGGAGUCACCUCGUUUGAAGUAAACCUUGACGAGAACUAAGCCCUCGUCGUGCUUGCAAAGAAUGGACUUCAAAAACCGUCCUCGUGCGAGUACCUCUUUGAGAACCAAAUUAUAGCUAGAAGGUAGGUCAUGAAGGUAGAACUCCGUGUCGGAGACUUGGGUCGUUCUUGCAAUUUUGUUGCCCAUUCUAUUGCCUUGAAUUCUGUCUUGAAAUUUUCAUACCAAUUGAUGACCUUCCAAAAUCUCGUGCAAUUCCCAGAAGUAGCAUAAAAUUAGAGGGAUUGGAGAAUUUUGGUAUAAGUUUUAAAUUUAAAGACUUGGACAAUUGCAGUUGCCUCGGUGCACUCGCAUGAUUCUCCCAACUGCAGUUGCCUCACGACUCAAACGUUUAUCCUAUGCAACUUCGACGUACGGCCGAUUACGACUACGACGACCGUCGGCGAGUACAACGGUGCUUACUGGCGGAUGGUAGCUACACCUGGAAGCGGCCAUGAAUCCCUUUGAGAUUUGAUUGAAAUUGGUGUUCUUCGUCGCUUAGAUUGGUUCAUCAUGGAGGGUUGCUAAUGGUGUGUGAUUUUCACGUUUUUCUCAAACGUACGAAUUGGAAAAUUUGGAGGAAUAACACACUUUGUGUUUUUACACUUUUAAAUUUGUUUCGUCCAAUUUCGACCAAGGUCGACAUCGAGAUUCUUUUCAAAUUUUAAUUAAUUAUUUCAUCAUAAUUUCUCGAUCCAUCCCGGCCGAGAUCGCCACUGAGUUUGUGGGUUUUGUUAUUAAAUUUCAAAAUAAACGGUAUUCUCAAAUGAUCAAAAUACCCUUGGAAGUCGUAACAUUUGAUAUUUUCACAAAACUCUAAACCUUUUGUUCAUUUCGAUCGAGAUGAAAUGUGCUUUGCUCCCAAAAUCGAAGAGAUUUGUUUGAUUUUUGGUCCAUGAAAUUUCAAGAAGUCAUCCUCAAGCGUAAAUCUGAGAAGGUGAUUUACUUUGAAUGAUUUCAUGGUUUAGAGUUGGAUUUUAGGUUCAAAUACAGUGUUUUUGAAAAAUUAUGUAGUUGGUUUUCUGUUGUAGUUGGAUGUAGAACUAGAUUUUAAGUUAAUGCAAGUGGUUUUGUUCAAUUAAUCUAGGCAAUUUCAUCAAUUUGGGCAUGUGUAGAUGAAUAAUCUUUAUCAAGAUCUUUGAAUUUACCUUGAUAUUUAUUGAAGGAGUCUCGAGAUUUGCUGUGUUUCAUAUGCAUUUUGUUGUUCGAUGUUGUUCAAUCACAUAAUGCAUGUAAAACUCUUCUCUCGUGGCUUCCUAGUGCAAUGUUGUUCGAGUUUAAUUGGUACAUGUUGUUCUCGAUCGAGAUUGCCUCAAACAAAGCAAGUUUCUUCUUGGUCGAAAUGAGUAUAGUGUUUAGGGUUUAGAGUUUUGAGAGAAUAUCUAACAUUCAGGUUUCCAAGAGUAUUUUAGUCAUUUGAGAAUACCCUUUGUUUUGAAAUUUAAAAACAAAACUCACAUUCUCGAUGACAAUCUUGGCCGAGAUGGAUUGAUAAAUUAUGUUUAAAUGGUUAUUUUCUUAAUUGAGAAUAAUUUUGAUGUCGAAGUCAACCGAAAUGGACCGAGAAAAACAAAUUUACGAAUUUUAUGAAAGCGUACCAAUUUUAAAAUAUAAAACCAACAACAGGUUCUAUUUCAAAACCAAUUGACAAUAAGACAAGUAGUUCAUCUAUCUUAUAUAAAGUAUGAGUCACUUUAGGUUUUCUAACGUGAGACUUUCAAUUUCUCUAACAUACCCCUCAAGAUGGUGCCUCUUUAGGUUCAUCUAUCUUGAAUUGAAUAUCCGUUUGGAUUUACUGAACUCUCAUACCAGGAUAAAUUUAAUAGCAUGAGGUUCCAUCUCAAAGCCAACUAAUUUUGAGAUGGAUUGAGAUAUUAGUACGAAAAUGAAUAUUAAUGAAACUUGAUUAUUAUAAAAGUGAAAUAUGAUUUGAUUGUAAUUUGAUAUUUCACGAUGAAGGUUGAAGAUUCGAAAGUUUUAAUUAAUAAAUGCUUGUUGUUUUUGUGUUGGUGUUUUUUAUGUUCUAAUUGUGUGGUUGAAUCUCGUGGUUUCAAAAUAUUAGAGAAAACAUUGGAAAACUUUCAUUUUUUGAAUUUUAGUUGUGAAAUUGCUUUAGAAACUAAGACAUUCCUUCUUCACCUUCCAUUUUAGUAAUUCAUACACUUUUUUUACUUUGUAUUUUCAUGGUUGAAAUCACUAUGAGUAAGAGAUGUUUGUGCCGUAAGAAAAUUGUAAAUAAAAACUUGCUAAUAUAUGUUUAAAAUUACUCUAAGGUGUUUUUAAAGUUUGGAAGUUGUAAAAUGUUUACAAAAUAGAAGAAAUAGCUAAAACACUUUCUAAAGUGCACGUAGAAUCUCUCUAAAUCACAUAUAUACAAGUGUGAACGUUUGAAACUCGAGAGAUGUAAACUUGUUGAUUAUCUCUUGAACAAAUUUGUAGAAAUAUCAAUAAAAAUGUCUUUUCAAUAUGUAAAAAUAUUGAUAAAAAUACAAAUGUAAAUUAUCUUCUUAAACUCAAUUUUUAUGGUUUGUAACUAUUCUACGAAACCUUAAAAAAAACAUACUUAUAUUUCGUUCAUACUAUUUUAAUAUGUUUAAUAUUAAUAUUUUACGAAUUAAAAGGCAAUUUUUAUAUAAACUACAAAAUUAUAAUGUUGACAACUUUUGACACAUUGAUAUAGAUGUAAAAUGUAAAUCCCAAAAUUUAGCACAUCAUUUUCCAAAAAGAUCAAAUGGUUGAAAAAAUUAUUGUAAAAAUCCUUUUAAUAAAUAAAUAAAUAAUAUUUGGUCAAAAAUACUCGUGAGAUAGUUUAUAAAGUUUAAUGAGCUUCAUUUUCCAAGUUAAGACAUGUCAAUUGAUUCUACCCAUAUAAUCCAAAUGUAUGGGAUCGAAUCAUUAACAUCUAUUUUACUAUAUAAAUUUGAUGACUUAGACCAAGUUAUAACUGAAGCUUUAAUCCUUACCUUACACACUCGCAUCAUAUCAAAAUGCACACGCCAAGAACUUGCUUGAACACCACAUUCAAAUUUUAAUUCCACCGUGAUCCCCAAGUUUGACCAACAAAUUUGUAACUAUUAAUAACCAAUUUCCUUCCCAUUCUUCAAUCCCUGAAGACGAAUUUCAAAUUUCCAGAUCUUUGAGGUACACACAUUUUCUCACUGUUUUCUUGUUUUCAUUUUUUCUUCAACACGAAAAAACGAAGAUCGACAAUGAAAUUUAUAGAUAUCAAGAAAACUGUACAAAACGAUGCUGCUGCGUGAUUUUAUACAAAUGGAAAAACCACGGAUUUUUAUUUUUACCGUUCAUGAAGUCUAUUUACAAAUCUCAAAUUCCAAAAUGACCUAAUCAAACCGCCACCGCCACCGUCUCCGCCUCCUCCAGAUCUUCAAAGUUAGGGUCCUUCACGUCCAUAACUUCAGCCUUGAACCCGAUCUCAGCCGGAGAGUAACCGUCUCCCGACCAAGUGAACUUGCCACCGUGGCCUCCUUUCUUCGGUGAUCCGUUCAUUCCCGUUGCCGAUUUCCGAUCCUUCCUAACUUCGGAUUUCCCGCUUGGCUUCGAACUCUUCUCUGAUUUCUUCAUAUCUUCUUGUCGCCGAUUCGGGUGAUUCGUUUCUCAACAGUGGAUGGAUGAGUUCAAUGAGUAAAGAUGGAAGGGAACAAAGGGCUUUAUAUAACGGGACGGGGUGAGGAUGAUGGAGAUCUGUGGGCGUUGGUGAUGACGUGUGCUUUUCUGAUUCGACGACUUCAAGCGGAUAAGAACGCCGUGGUUUGCGCUUAAAAUGUUUCUCUACCCUCGAGUCUAUGCUACGAUUCGUAUGACCGGAUGAUGUUUUUUCUCUUUUUGCUAAAAGUACAGUUUUGUCCUUAGUUUAGGUCGUAGGUAAGCCUCUUAAUCGAAAAAUCGAGUCGACCAAUUCGAAAAAUAGUGGAGAUAAAUAGAAGUACAAUCCAAUUUGAAACAAAGCCAAAUUGACAACAUUUUUUUUUUUAGUUUCGAAUAUUUUAGUUUUUUUUCAAAAAAAGAAUUAAAUAAUUGAAUUGAUCUAAACCAACAAACAUCGAUUUAUACUCUUUUUAUGGUUAAGGUGUGUUUGAACAUUUGAUCAAAACAUAAAAAUGUGUAAUUAUAUUACAUAAAUAUUAGAACGUUUUACAAACAAUAUGGCGUGAUGUAGACUCGAUUUUGAUUUUUGUAAAAUCAUAUUAUGUAUUGUGUAGGUAACAAAUUGCAAUACAACAAAAUAGUAUUGUAUCGUUAAGCGUGUUCAUACACAAAUUAAUAUUGAGUAAAUAAAACUAGUUUUAUGGUUUAUUAAUAUAGUAUCAAAUGAGUUUUAAAAAAAUCAAAACUUGACCAACUCAAACCUAGAUUUUGUUAAAUAUUUUUGAUGGGUUGGGUUGUGUUAGAAAAUUAGAGAAGUGAGUCAGGUAACAUCUAUAUAUACCAACUAACAGUUUGACCAUUUGUUCAUUUUUUAUAUUGAAAAAUUGUCUCAUUUGUGUAGAGAUGAAAAAUAAAUAAAAAUAACCCGGUUGGGCUGUGUUAGAAAAAUUGUCCAUAAUUUUCAUCUAACUUGACCCAACCGGUCUUAUGUAUAUCUCAUUUGAAACAAUUGUUUGAUUAUAACUUUGCUAAAUAAAUUGCCAAACUCCUAUAUGAAAACAUGAAACACAAUAGUAUAAUUUUUACUUCUUAUAUUAAACCUAAUUAUUUUCCCAAUAUGUGAUGUAAGUAUUUUGAACAUGUAUUAAAAUCAUAAUUUGAUUCUACAAGUUAACAUUCUAGAAUAUAAUAUAUUUGCAAGUGAUUGUGUUGCAAUAAGAGUGAGCACGAUAGGUCGAAAAAUAGAUUUAUAUAAGUAAAGGAGAGAAAAACAAAAAGAAGAGACAAAAUGGUGGCAAUUCCGGCUCCCAAUUGUUGAACUGGGAUUGGGCUUAAAACCACCCGUCUCCUUAAGCCCUAAAAAAAGCAGUGAGAGAGACGAACAUAGAGCAGUGGAACAAAGGAAUUUUAUGAUUAUAUAUAACAUUCAUUCAAAAACAUGUUAGCUUUAUUCCUACCGCCGGCUUCUCCAUCUCCAUUCCUCUCCUUCAAUCGAUUCCCUCAUAUUUCUUCUCCUUCUUCCAUUCCCACUACCGGUAACACUCUCAUUUUCGUUCUCACCUCAUCUUUUCUCGCUAUUCAUUUCCAUCUAUAAUCAUCUUCUCUUUUUUUUUUUUCUUUCUAUCUUCCUAUUUGUAGUAAUUCUUGUUCUCAAUCUCAAACUAGACAGACUUACUCCGGGCAGCAUCCCGACGCCUCAUUUCUGCUUCCACGAAGACCCCACAAUCUGUUUCCACUAUGGCUACUGUAAGUUAUGUGUGAAGUAUUUUGUUGAUUACUGUUAUGUAAAAUUUCUUAAUGUGGGAUUUUUUUUUUGGUGUAGGAGGAAGACAACGUUGGUAAUAUUAAGCGACAAUUGGCUAAAAUAUUUGAUGUUUCGCUCCGGGCGACGGUUCCUGAUGAGACCGAUGUUGAGCCAUUAGUUGCUGCUUGUGCUGGAAAAUUUGGCGACUAUCAGUGGUAUGUUGUGGGAAUGAAUAGUGUUGUUAAUUAGAUUGCUGCUGCUAAGAUGGGUUUUUAUUUAUUUGGUGAAGCAAUAAUGCAAUGGGGCUUUGGUCUAAAAUUAAAGGAAAAGGAACUCAAUUUAGGGGUCCUCCUUCCGUUGGGCAGGUAUUUGUGGUUUAAUUUUUUUUAUUGUGAAGGUUCUCGUUGGUAUCGGAUAGUUAGGAUAGUUUUUUUUUUUUAAUUGUUGAAGUCUUAACUGUUCUCUUGAUUUCUAGACCAUCAUGAAAAAUCUUCCUCCGUCCGAAAUUAUAGAAUCAAGCUCUGUGGCAGGCCCUGGUUUUGUGAAUGUUGUAAUAUCUAAGAAUUGGAUUGCUAAGGUAACGUCAUUUUCUUGAUAAUUUUAGUGGGAAUUACUCUUAUCGUCUAAGAAAAAUGCUUGUAAUUAACAAAAAAAAAAGUUUUCAAUUCUCUAGUCUACGGACAAAAGAGUUUCCAGUUCUUUACAAUUAAUAGUUCUACGUGUGUGUUAACUUAAGUAUGCUUAAUAUGCAUUUUGUUCUACAGACCAUACAAAAUAUGCUAAUUGAUGGUAUUGACACUUGGUCUCCCCGGCUUCCGUUUAAAAGAGCAGUAGUUGAUUUCUCCUCACCUAACAUAGCAAAAGAAAUGCAUGUUGGCCACUUAAGAUCUACGAUCAUUGGAGAUACUCUAGCUCGAAUGCUUGAAUUUUCAAACGUUGAUGUUCUUCGAAGAAAUCAUGUUGGUGAUUGGGGAACACAGGUACAACUUUAUCUAAGAAUUUAAUGUUAUUCGUGGGUGUCUAGUUUUGCAGUAGACAAGCGGCCUUUUUUAUAAACCUCCAAAACGGUUACACUUUCAAAGUGUACAUGAAAAGUGAAUUUAGUAUUUAGCUUGCUGCUUUUGCCCUAGUCUCUUUCUGCCAUGUAGGUCUAUGUUCAAAACGGGCAGUCUUACUUUGAAUCAGUAGAAAAUGUUGCAUGUAUGAUAUAUCUAGAUUCUCUAAUACAUACUAAUUCCUGCCCUUCAAGUGGCUUCAGAUUUAUUCAAACGCCCAUGAAAUGCUUUAGUGUUUGCAAAAUUGAUUUUGGUGUGAGGUUUUACUAUUUUGACAAUAAACGACUUCUACAGAACAUAAACGUAUUACCAACUAUUCAUUUUUUGCUUCUUGGUUGCAGUUUGGUAUGUUGAUCGAAUUCUUGUUCGAAAAGUUUCCUAACUGGGAAGAGGUUACUGAAACAGCUAUUGGAGAUCUGCAGGUACAAGAGACAUUUUAGAAUCUCCUUUGGCUAUUAACAUGUUUACGUUUUUAGUAUAUUAAAAAAUUCCUCUAAUAAUAUGGUUAAGAAGUUUGAUAAUUUUGGUCUCACAUAGUGGACUUUCUUCUGUUAAAUAUAGGCACUUCACUCUCUAUGUGAUACAAUUGUGUCUCAGUUCAUACUAUAAAAAUGGAUAUAGAAAACUUGGUAAUGUCUAUCUGCCUUAUUCAAUGAGAACUGACAAACUGUUAUUUGACAUUUUGAUUAAAGACAUUCUAUAAGGCGUCAAAGCAGAGAUUUGAUAGUGAUCCUGCAUUCAAGGAGAAGGCACAACAGGCAGUGGUUCUUCUUCAGGUGAACUUAUAGAUAAUACAUACACACACUUGGCUCCCUAUUCGAUCCUAAUUUAAUACUGUGGACCCUACAUCUUCAAUCUAAAAAAACCAUCUCAAAGUUUCUGUCAAUUGCCAUUUUCACCUGUUAAGCUUAUUUAUUCCUGCAAAUUUUCAAGAUGAUUACAUGCAUUACAUUUCAAAAUUUACUUGUUUAUUCAAAUUUUGCAUGUUAUUUUCAUUCUUUUCAAUGAAAGCUUGCCCUCGUACUAUUUGUUUUUGCAUGUUCUCUUAUUCAUAAAUACUUCUAUUUCAUAUGAACAUAAAAAAUAAACAAUGAUGUAACUAAAUUGAAGUUUGAAGUUAACACAGAGAAGUUCUAUGCCUUUCUUUGGGCAUCUUCCUCAUUUGGUCUUGUAAUUAUAAGUAGAGACUGGAGUUUCUCUUUGUAUAGUUAGGUGCCCAGCUCCUUUGGCAUUUUUUUAAUGCCUGUGGACCUUUUGUUUUGUUUUCUUUUAUUUCAUGAAAGCUUGUUUCAUUAAGAAAAGCAAUGGAAGUCAUAUUUAAGAAGGAGCUUUGUUUAUCAUUUUAUCCAUGACUGUUUGCGCAAGGUUACACAUUUACACGAUUAUUAUUUUGUAAUAACUGCCUAACCCUACAGUAUUUUACUGUUAGAGAACUUGUUGGAUUUUGUAUCCGUAGUAGUUGGCCACCAUGGGAUUUGAAUUCAUUCUCUAAAGUCUCCUUUUACUUGCAUCAUUUGUCCCCAAUCAACAUAGUGGAUGUAAAUUACAUAUUUUAUGCAACAUGUUUUAGUAUUUGCAAUUAGAUUGAAAAUUGGAAGUUUGAGUUUCAUAUGUUGAAAGUGAUAUGACUGGACUCCACUUGAUUGUACCUGAAAAGUCGGGUAGUUUACCCAUAAACUUAUUAUUUACUUUUUUCAAGCUUGUUUAUGAUUUAAAGAUACCCUGCAAGAGCAUGUGAACUAUUUGGAAUUAUCUCAUAGAUGAUUUCUGCUGACCUGAUUUUAACGCUUGUUUAGGGUGGGGAACCUAAAUAUCGCAAGGCUUGGGCACAAAUAUGUGAAAUCAGCAGGAAUGAAUUUAAUAGGGUGUAUGAACGCCUUGGAGUUCAAUUAGAGGAGAAGGUACAUUUUAACUCCCCUUUAUGCAUUAUACUCUGUACUUGUUUGUCUUUCCUCAUAUAACAUUUUACUUCUGGUCUACUUGUCUUUCCUUUACUUGUUUGUUUUCGGAUUGGAAAAAUAUUCCUUCUCAUGUCAUACCCAAGUUGGAAUGUUUCUCUGGCUUCUGAUUUAUUGAGGCAAAAAUUUGAAAUUGUAUGAAUGUCCACCUUAAUAAUUUUGGUGUUUACCAUCUUAUUCAUUAGUUUGAAUAGUGCGAUUAAUAGCAUGACCACCACUAUCAAACAACUUCAGCUUCUUGAACAUGCUUUAAUUUUCUAUACUAUUAUUGACUAUUAUCCGUUUUGCAUAGGGAUCUUUAUUUGCAUAGUCUCAAGUCUGGCUCUUUUGAUUUCCACAUUUGUUAGAAGAGCCAACGGCUUAUCCUCAGUUUCCAUUUGGUUAAUGUAUUUUCAUAUUUUCUAGGGAGAGAGCUUUUACAACCCGUACAUUCCUAAUGUCAUAAAGGAAUUGACUGAUAAAGGCUUAGUGGAAGAAAGCCAGGGUGCUCGUGUAAUCUUUAUUGAUGGAAUAAAUAUUCCUCUAAUUGUUGUCAAGAGUGAUGGUGGUUUCAAUUAUGCUUCAACUGAUCUUGCAGCCAUAUGGUCAGUUUUUCUGUAUCUCAUCAUGUUUUUAAUGGAAUUAAAUUAUUGUUACUGGUUAUAGUAACUUGAAACUUGACACAUUCAUCAACCUCGUGAUCAAUUAUAAUGACCUAUCAGUGUUGUGCAUGUUUGGAUCCCCUCUGAUUGAUUGCAUAAUUUCAAAGUAUGGUGGAGCUAAAACAUUCUGAUUUGGUCAUUUUUGCUUUGAACUGAACAGGUAUCGCCUUAAUGAAGAGAAAGCUGAAUGGAUUAUAUAUGUCACUGAUGUUGGGCAGCAGCAGCACUUUGACAUGGUUUUCCGGGUAUAUGUCUUGAGAAAAUCAUGCUCUGACACUCCUAUUUUUUUAAUCAUUCCAUGUUUGUUGCAUAUGUGGUUAUUUGUAGACUUGGUAGCCCGUCCAAACUGUAGUUAGCAAUUAUUUAAUAGCUUGGUUGUUGGCUUACGUUUCCUCUCUUUUGUUUGUGCAUAUGAAUAUUACUUACUUUAGACCUGGUUAACUCUGAUCCACCGAACUGCUGCUAACACUUGUAUUAUGUAUUUGCUAUCGUCUUAAAGUGGUGAACAUACUUGAAUUGGAAGUAAUUAUGGCUAUUUCUUUCAGGCUGGUAAACGUGCUGGCUGGCUUCCACUUGAGGAUAAUAAAUAUCCCAAAACAACCCAUGUUGGUUUUGGUUUGGUUCUUGGUGAAGAUGGCAAGCGUUUUCGAACUAGAAAUACUGAAGUGGUUCGUUUAGUUGAUUUGCUUGACGAAGCCAAGAACCGCAGUAAAGCUGCACUUAUUGAGAGGGGUAAUAAUAAUAUUGGUUAUUAAGAACUCUGUUUUAUUUCAUUGAAAACAUUUGUUCAGCUUGCUAGGUUCAUUGGAAGUGAAUGUGUUCGUUUCAUUUCCUCUGUCAAAACGUUUUACUUUCAACUUUUCAAUUCAUGUCACCGUUUAAUUUGAUUUUUGAUAACCUUCUCCAGAGAAAGCUGCAGAAUGGACUGAGGCAGAACUUGAACAAAUUGCUGAAGCUGUUGGUUAUGGUGCUGUUAAGUAAGUUGCCCACUUAUCAUUUCAUUGCCGGUUUAUCUUUUUAUGCCUCUGGCAUGAAUCCUAGAAUCAUCCGUAACUAAUGUAUACUUGGAACCUGGGCUACCUUAUCCAAAAACAAACCUUUGUCCAUUGUUUUUUACUCAAAGCUGUUCUUUAAUCUUCCAAUCAUGUGGGCUCAGGUUGGGCCUCGUUGUCUAUGUCUUGUUUUAUACCUAUCUUCUUUUCAAUAAGUUAUUUUCUUAUUUAUCCAUUGUCUGCUUCAUGCUUCUUCGUCCAAAUAUCCAGAAUCGUUUAUUAAGAUUUUAUGUUCCCAAAUUGUUUUUUACUCAAAGCUGUUCUUUAAUCUUCCAAUCACGUGGGCUCAGGUUGGGCCUCGCUGUCUAUGCCUUUUUUUUAUACCUAUCUUCUUUUCAAUAAGUUAUUUUUCUUAUUUACACAUUUGUCUGCUUCAUGCUUCUUCGUCCAAAUAUCCAGAAUCGUUCAUUAAGAUUUUAUGUUCCCAAAUUGUCUUGACAGAUAUGCCGACCUCAAGAACAAUAGGUUGACCAACUAUACAUUCAAUUUUGAUCAGAUGCUCAAUGAUAAGGUACAUUUUCUCUCCUUGUUCUAGGCAUAGCGUAUAAUAAUAUACAGAGUUCACUCUCCUCGCACACCUAAAUUUUGUGAUGACCAGGGCAACACUGCUGUGUAUUUGCUGUACGCCCAUGCUCGUAUUUGUUCAAUCAUCAGGAAAUCUGGUAAAAACAUAGAGGAGUUGAAGAAAGUAAGUUUAACUAGUUCUUCUCAAGUCUUCAGUUGGACUAGACCACCAGUUUUGCAUUUGUUUCUAAAUUUAGUCAACAUUAUCUUGAUAGACGGGAACAAUUGUGUUGGAGCACGAGGACGAGCGUGUAUUGGGGCUUCAUUUGUUACAAUUUGCCGAGGUAAAACAUAUAUACAUUUUAACUGAAGUAACUCUGAUCAUUUUAUAUUUGGUACACAUUAUUGACCUCGUGAUAAUUACUUUUCCUUCCUUCAUUCUACUUAGGUUGUCGAGGAAGCUUGCACCAACCUGUUGCCAAAUGUGUUGUGUGAAUACCUAUACAACUUAUCGGAAAUAUUCACGAAAAAAUUCUAUUCCAACUGCCAGGUACAGCCAACAACUAUACGAGACCAACAUCUCUUUCUUUAUGAAUAAUAAUAUCCUUGUUCCACUAAUUCAUGUCGGAUAAUUACUAAAUCACUAGCUCUUGUCGGCUGAUAGCGUCGUAGCAACUAAUUAUGUCUUGUUUAUCAACUCAUUACCUUGAAUAACCUAGAAUAUAAAGUGUUCUCUUUCUUGAAUCAUUUUGUUUUCUUAUCCCAUUUGCAUCAAAUCAAGACGUUUGUCAUCUUUUCCCAUCCUUAUGGUUGUGAGCUGGAAAAAGCUCACUAUAUUCAAACCUUGUCCCAUGAAAAGUUGCCGAUUUCCGUACUCCUUCCUUAAAUGUAUUUCAAGAUACAUUUAUGUUCUUGCAUCUCAUUCUAAAGAAACAAUUGAAAUAUUUUAAAAACAUAUCAAAUUAUGAUCUACUAUUUUUCAAAUUUGAUUCUAUUAACGUUGAAUGUUGAUUAAUAUUUGUCAGGUUGUUGGGUCGGCCCAAGAAACCAGCAGACUUCUACUUUGUGAAGCUACAGGAACAGUAAUGAGAAAAUGCUUCCAUCUCCUUGGAAUAGUACCUGUUUACAAAAUAUAAUCUCCAAGUAGUAUCGAUUUCCAAAUCCCUUUUCAAGGAAGACUCGUUUUGCCGACAUUAUGGUUGAGCUUGAGUGAGAGGAAAAACAACAAAAGAGAAAAAAAAAAGAGAGAAAAAAGAGGAAGAAUUCAUACAGAAAACCUUGUAUUGUUUUAGUUUGGUUUAAGCUUAUACUAAAAGCCUUAGCGUUUAUUUAUAUUCUAUUGUCAAUGUGAAAGCCCCCUCAUGAUUUACUUCUUUAGUUAGUUUGUCAAAUUUUACCACUUCCCCCAAUGUAAUUUGCCUAAGAUAUUGAAUCAGGUUUAAAUGACUUUUCAAGUAGAAAUGGAAGGAGGAUUUACCAGUAAUUUAUGAUCUUUUGGAUAUAAAACAUGUAACCAGUUGAUACAUUUGUGGUUGUUAACACAUGUUUCUUGUUCAACUUUUGCUUAAAAAUUGUUAAGAUUUAUCAUUAUGACAAAUUUAUAGUUUUUAUAUCUUUUACAACGAGUUCUACCAUUCUUCAUAAAACAAGUACAACUCAUUCUUUCAUUAAUUUUCGAUUAUGUAAUGAACAGGUUUAAGGUUUACUAAUUUAAAACUUUUAACUUCAAUCUAUAUCUAUUUUCGUUAAACUUUCAUAAGAAAGAAUAUUUAAGAUAACUACACUCUUAAAUGCCAACAACUAAUUUCAACUAACCCAACAAUUUUAUCCAUGCUAACACCUUUGUGCACGUAAAUAUUGUAAUAAAUAAUCAACAACAAAAUGUUACAAAUUUAAAAAACCAAUGUACAAUGAGAGGUUAAAACUUUACACUAUGUGACAAAAUUCCUUGGAAAAAUAAAAAAGAAAAGAGAGAAAAGAUAUGCUUAAAAAUUUACAAGAUUAAUUAAGAUUAGCAAUAGAGUCGUGUUAGUCAUGUUGUUCGAUCUUUUAUUCCGUUGAAAUUAAACCUCUAAUCAGUGUCCAUUCACAGAAAUUGUAGCCCUAGAACCACAGAUCAAACUACUUUUUCGUCUUGAUCUUGAACUUUUCUUGGCUAUGGCAGCUCUGGGAACAAUGGAUUUAUGACCAUCAAAACUCUUACAAGAUUUGAAUCUUUUUGUAACUGGAGAUACCCUUUUGGCCAAAUCUUCUAAUCUUUCAACACUUGCUAAAGAUGUAAAAGAUUCAGAUUUACCAUCAUAAUAUUUAGACAAUCCUCUCCUACAAAAAAAAAAAAAGAAAAAAAAGCAAAAGAAGAUAUAAAUUAUUCCAAUGUAUAAAAAACAACAAUAAAAAAGAAAAAAGAGUAAAUUUACAAUCCCAUGAACUUACUUAAUAGGAAGAUGAACCAUUAGCUCUGUUAAUUCAAAGAGAGGCCCAUUUGAAGAAGACGACGACAAAGAAGAACUUACAUCCUCCACCAUUUCUAAUGAAGAACAUUCCUCUGAAUUUAUAGAACGACUAAGCUCGUCCGUUGAAGAAGAAGAAGAAGACUCAUAAUUAUCUUCCAUGACAUAGCCACGAUGUUGAGCUUCAUUUUGUUGUAAUUUUUCCAUUGAAUAAAAUCAAUUCAGAAGAAGAAAAGAUGGGUAUAGAAGAAAAUGGGUAAGUGAAACUAUAUAUGGAGAAUGGAAGAGAAAAAGGAAUGGUCUUUUUUAGUGAUUUCUGAUAAAGCUUUGAAGGAAAUAAAGAUUUUGUAACUGUAGCAUAUGUAUGGUUCCAGAAAAAAGGUAUUUAUAGUAUAAUAUAAAGUUGGAAAAGCAUAGUUUUAUAUAUUUAAAUGCUUGGAUUAAACUAUGAUUUCUUUUUGGUUUUAUCAUAAGAUAGACUUGGAUAAUAUUCUUUCUUUUUUAGUCAUUUUAUCCAAAAAAAACUUUAUCAUCAAUUAUCAUCUUUUUAUAUAAAUAUAUAUUUUGGGCUCUUUUCUUUUUUCCAUAUUACUAGGAAAAGAGAUAAGAUCUAAAGGUUGGAAGACAUAUCCACAAGUCACUGAAUUUUUUUUUAUUUUUUUUUAUUUUUUUUUAAUUUUAAUUAUAAAUUUCUAUCAUUUUCUAAAAUAUAGGAUUGAAAUAGAAAUAUGAGGUCAACAUCUAAGUUACUUUUGCUUCAUAAAGCCAUGACAUUAUUCCCAUACUUUUUAUAUUCAUGUAUCAUCAACCUUCCAUUGAGAAAGGGUUACCUAUUCAGGUUUUUCAUUUUUUUUCUCAUUUCCAUUCCAAUCAAAAGUGAUGUUAACAUUUCUCAAAAAUAUUCUAUAAUAUAUAUAUAUAUAUAUAAUGGAUUUUGGUUACUAAUUAAUUAACUUAACUUUGUUAUUCAAACUCUCUUGACUUUACGAACCUUUGUUUCACUUUUUUGCUAAUUCAUUCAUUUUGUUUGGUUUAUUAAAUAAUUCAUGGAAUAAGUUUGGUUAUUGAUGUGUACAAUAACUAUGGAAUAAGUGUUUGCAAGCACGUAUUCUAUAGUGAGUUAAAAAGCAUUCAAUAAUCAUAAUUUAUCAUAUAAUUUUUUCUAAAGAACACUCAAAGAAUGACAUGGAGAAGUAGUCUAUGUUGUAUAUAAAUUUUUUCAAUGUAUUUUUUCAUAAAUUAAAGGAGAAAUUAGGUUUUGUAAAAGAGAAACAAGUCUAAGUUUUUUUUAUGAUAAUCACAAUCUACCUAUGAUAAAUCACGAUAAACUACUAUCUAUGUUUAUCUGUGUCAUGAUAGACACAAAUAGUAGUUUAUCUUAAUUUAUCGUGGUUUAUCACAAAUACGAUUUAAAAAUAUUUUCAAAAAUUGUUAUUUAAAAUAAAUUUUCUUUUUAUUUUAUUUUUUAUGGUUAUAGUUUUUCAUGAUCGUACACGCAUUCAAAAUCACUCACUUAGAUUUUUUAAAAAAACCACUAAGAAUUAGGUAAGAUUAGAGAAGAUUGCAAAUGGCAAAAUGGUUGGAAAUAAACAUUGAUAAACUUCUAAUUAUAUGUAUCAUUACUAAACUAUGAAAUUUUGUUAUAUUUUGUAAAUAUUUUAAAACUUUGAAUUUGAAAAAUGAACUUUUUGAAACUAAAAAGUUUUUAAAUUUAACUUAUCCUUGAAAAUUGUUAACAAAAAGUGAUUUAACAGAUCACUCGAAAAAAACUUUACUAUCAAAAUUUGUAUUUAAAAGUUUAAUUCACAAAAGUGUGAAAAACAAACCAAAUCAAAUGAUUACAAACGAGACAAGACGUUACUAAAUUUUAGGGCACGGGAAAUUAAAAAAAAAUGUUAGAUUUAAAUUGAAUUAGAAAUUCCCCAUGUACAAAAGAAAACAUAAAAGAAAGAAAAAAGAAAUUGAAGGAAAUACUUUUAUGCUUCUAGAGAAAAAAAAUAGACAAAAAAGAUAUAAUUGAAUGAAAAAUGAUAAAUAAGAACUUUGGUUUUGAUGGAAAGCUUCUAUUUGAAGUUAAAUAUACAACAAACAAAAAAUUGGAUGAACAAAAGCAUUUUGAAAUACACUUUCUUUUCCAGAAACAUUAGGUUGUACUCAAAGAUUAGGUUAAGUGUAUUUUUGUCCUAAUGAAGAAAAAUACUUUUCGUUUGAAUUACUCGUACGACGUAAGUGUUAUGAUUGAUAUCUUCUUUUACAUAUACGUAAAGAUGUCUAGAAGAUUAUUGGAAAGUAUUUUAUACAAAUGUGUAAAAUUAAAGUAUCUUUUGAUUGUCUAAUUGUUAAUCGAAAUACUUCUAAAACACGUUUAAGAUAAGAGAGAGAUAAGAAAAAGAAAGUGGAUAGGAAUGGUCUUUUUCUAUAUAUUGGUAGAGUCCUUCGAAAUCAAAAUUUGUUUAGUAUAUAUUUUUCUCGUUUGUUAAAUAAAGACAUGAAUGGAAAAUACAUUUUUUUCUCGUUUGUUUUCCUUUCUCCAUCUUAUGAUUUACAGGUAUGAAUGAUGAAAAUAAAAUUAAACGACUCAUAUUUAAUGUUGGCUGCCACAUAAGAUUAUGAUAAUCGGGGGGGACUUGGUGUCAUGUAUGUGGAAAUCACGAUUUUUAGAAAUUGUGGACUAGGAUCCACGAUUUUGACUUCUAUUUUUGUCAAAUAUUUUCAUUCUAUAUUACUUUUGUCUUUAUUUAUUAAAAUUAAAUUAUUUAUAAAAAAACAAUCGUACAUUUAAAUGUAAACUUGGUUGGGGUCACAACAAUUUGUCGGAGCUUACAAGAGAAGGCCAAACCCUAGAGACCAUGGGAGUUUGUGCAUCACGAGGGUGUUUGGUUGUAGUUUGUUUUAGAGUUAUUGGAGAGUAGUUAGAAAAGUUGUCGUAAAUACAAGGUGAAAAACAAAAGUUAACACAAAUAACGAGAUGAGAAAUGUUAAGUUAACACGAAUAAUGAGAUAAUAAAUAUCUUCAGUUGUUGGUGUACCUAAACGGUAAGUGAGUUUUUUUACCCACCCAACUCAAUUACAUGUCAAUUGUCAGACGAAUCCUACCAAAGUUAAAAACCAUAUCAUAUUUCCCCAUGUUGACAUUGUUGGCAACGCACAAGUCUUGUGUAUAGGACUAUAACCAUUAUGGAGGUGUUUAAGAUAAGAGGUGAGUUGUUAUAGUUUUAGGUUACUGUAGUUAAGUUAUAAUAGUUUGUGUUUGAAAUGUAGAUUAUUUUAGUUUUGAGAAGAAAAUAGUAAAAACGGUAGCAACCAUGAAGUUUUAAAGUAAUAUUUACUAUAGUUAAUUGAAGAUUUUUUAAUAGUAUUUACUCUGACUAAAGAUGGUUAUUAUAAUUUUGCUUAACUUUUGUCCAAACGAUCCCAAUUUAAAAGUUUCAAAUUAAUUAGCUACAUGAAACAUUAUUUCCAAGUAUCUCAUUUGCUACGAUUUUUACUAUUUUACCGUCAUUAUUAUUUGUUAUAAUGUUUAUCUUUUAUCUUCUUAAACUAAGAUAGUUUACAUUUCGAACACAUGCUAUUAUAAUAUAAUCUACAACUCAAACAUAACGAAUAGUUUACACCUCUUUUCUCAAACAUUCUUUUAACGUUUAGACAUAGUAAACAUUUAAUUUGCUAACUUAAACAUAUGAACACUAGAGCGAGUUAUUUUGUAGCUCAACUUAUAUACAUAAUCUAUCAAGGUUCAAGCAUUAGCAAGACCUUUUUGGAAGUGAUUUAUGAAACUUUUAGAAAAACAAAUCAAUAGAAUUCAAAAGGAGGAAGAUCCUAAAGAUGGAGUUUGGCACAAGUCACGAUGGGCAUAAUUGAUAAAUGGAUAUGGCUUAGGCUUACAUGUUUUAAUUCAAAUUUCCUAUCCCAUCAAUUUCCCUUUUAUUUAAUCACAUAAUCCCCGCUCUCCCAAUCUUUGUUCUUACCCAUCUUUUGGCCCAUUUAAAUCUAACGGGCCUCAUACGGAUGGCCCACUUUCAUUCUAACUUGGGCUUCAAAAUAAACCAAUUUGGUUUUUCUCUUUCUCAGGCCCAGUGUUUGGGCUGAGGUGAAAGCCUUUGAUCCAUUCCCUUUGUCUUUCUAUUUUCAAAUUAAAAUUAAAUCAAUUUCGUUCCUUCUUUCUUUCUUUCUUUUCUUUUAUUUUUAUGUCAUUUUGUUUUGGUUUCUUAUAUUUUAUAAAUAACAAAAUUAAAGGGUUGGAACUAUGUACAUUUGAUUAGACAAAAUUCAUCCCACUUAAGUUUUGUAAAAUAUUUUGUCAUUUUUUUCAAAAUUAAAUACACAUGCGUCCAUAAUAAUUGGUAUUAUUUAAAAUUACUAUGCUGCCACGUCAUUACUGAAAUACUAGUACUAAAAAAUACCUAGAGUAGUUGAAGAAUCAAACACCUUACUUUAAAGCUAUUACUGUAAGCAUUGUGUCGAUCGAAAUAUACUAAAUUUCAUAUCUAAUAGUUCAUAUUAAAUUCAUUAAUACCAUGUAGGAAUAAAGAUUAUUUUAAUAUAGAAGUGUCAUGUGACCUCUAUCGAGUGUAUCCUAAAACAUUAUCAUAUAUAUUUGAAAGUUAAAAGAUUAUCAUAUUAAAUACACUCGUCAAUAAGAAAGUAUACCGACCCAACUUGACCGAACCCAUGAACACUCUCGAAACUCAAACUUUGUUUGGGUCAACAAUUAGAAGAUUCAAAUUUCGAACUUUGUUUGCUUACAUUCAACCAUGUAAACUUUAACAAAAAAAUAAAGAAAGAAAGAAAAAGAAAGAAUGAUUGGUUUAUAUUUAGAAACAAACAAUAAAUUCCAAAAUUCCAAAAUAUCUUUAGCCAAUAAAUAUGAAGUAAAAGAAAACAAGUUUUCUUAUUUGUCAAAAAAAGGAAAAGAAAGAAAGAAAAAUACAAAAACGGCAUCGUUUUAGAUGAGAUGUAGUGAAAUGAAGCAGAAGAUUAUAAGGUAGUGGGGAACAGACAUGCUUAUGCGUGGCACUGUGAUCGAGGAUUCACAAUUAACAAAAGUUUAUAAUUCCCUCUGAAGUCCGGUCCUUGUGCUGACACACUCCAUCGACACUCUCCAGCACUACAAUUUUUAAGCUAAUUUUGUUCUGUUUUUAACCAUAACCAUAAUCUCGACAUCCGUAAUCACUCUCAUAGAGUAACUUUUUAGAAAGUGAAAGGAGCCGUUGCUGUUCUACUAAUAUCUAACCCAUAAAAAGAAGCUUCAAGAAAUCCCUCAUUCCCAUUUUUCUUCUCUACACAAGCAGCAGCAGUGCAGACGAAGAGCCAAACGAAAGGGUUUGGCUUUCAAGUGCUAAAGAGAAGGAGAAUGGGGAAAAGGGUUGGAUUCAAUCUCAUUUUUCUUGGGAUUUCACUGUUCUUGAUACUUUUGGGUUUGUUCCUCUCUGUUUCUUCUUCUAGUUCUUCAAUCUUUUCCUCUUGUUUUCUAGCUCUAAGUUUGGAUUUGGGGUUACAUUUUGGUUUAUUUGAAGUGGGUUUGUUUGGUUAUACUUUGUUGGAUCUUCCAUUUCAUUUGCAUUGUCAGUAAUUUGUAGUGACAGCCUUUCUUGUGACUUUGUUGCCAAAUUUAUUGAUAGAAGUUCACUGUGUAUCUCUUCUAACUUGGCAUUUUCUUUUGUGAACUUUGAAUGUAUAUUGUGUUAGAACUUGUUGAAUAUUACUUACUGUUAGGAUCAAUGAGCAGUCAGUUUGGAGACCUUUUAGGAAUUUCCAUUUAACAAUGUAAGGCUUCAGCUUAUAACGUGUGUUUACUUGCAAUGUCUUCCCAGUGUUAGUAAAAGGGUAUUACAUAAAUGAUAAGUUUUCUCUAACCAAUCUGAACUAAACUAAUUCUUAUUCUACCUAUUUGGUAAGAUAUUUGUGUGCUAGGACUGAUAGAAAUCAUGAAAUAGAGAGUAGAUUGGAGCUCAAUGUAAGUGCAUUGCAAAGCAACUUGCGUUUAGGCUUUAUUGUUUUAGGAGGAACGAAGUACAUAAAGAAUGAACCCUUCUGGUAGACAGCUGUUUAUUUGGUGAUCGAAUGUGGUGUUUUUGGUUUUCGUAUCCACCAUUGUUCUUAUUUUCAUACUUGAAAUAAUGUUGCACGUUUAUUGAAUUUGGUUGCAGGCCAUUGCCAAGGAAGUAAUGUUGGAGUUUGCUAUGGAAGGAAUGCAGAUGACCUCCCAACACCUAAUAAAGUCGCUCAGCUAGUCAAACUUCAUAACAUCAAAUAUAUUCGGAUUUAUGAUUCAAAUAUUCAGGUUCUCAAGGCCUUUGCCAACACUGGUGUUGAACUUAUGAUUGGGGUUCCAAAUUCCGACUUGCUGCCAUUUGCUCAGUUCCAGUCUAAUGUAGACACUUGGCUUAAGAAUAGCAUACUUCCUUAUUACCCAGCUACGAAAAUAACGUACAUUACGGUUGGUGCUGAGGUCACUGAGAGCCCCAACAAUGUGUCUGCGUUGGUGGUGCCUGCCAUGAAUAAUGUACUCACUGGCCUCAAAAAGGCUGGUUUGCACAAGAAGAUAAAAGUUUCUAGCACUCAUUCUCUUGGAGUUCUGUCUCGGUCAUUUCCUCCCUCAGUUGGGGCUUUUAGUAGUAACUAUGCAUCUUUCCUGAAACCAUUGUUGGAGUUUCUUGCUGAGAACCAGUCUCCCUUUAUGAUCAAUAUUUAUCCUUAUUAUGCAUAUCGAGAAUCCCCAAACAAUGUGUCAUUGGAUUAUGCUCUUUUCGAGUCAUCGAAUGAAGUUAUUGACCCAAACACUGGUCUGCUUUACACGAAUAUGUUUGAUGCUCAGAUCGAUGCUCUUUAUUUUGCUUUGAUGGCCCUAAAUUUCAGAACAAUUAGAGUGAUGGUAACAGAAACAGGUUGGCCAUCUAAAGGUUCACCAAAGGAGACAUCUGCUACUCCCGACAACGCUCAAACUUACAACACAAAUCUUAUUCGCCAUGUAAUCAAUAACACGGGGACACCUGCAAGGCCUGGAGAGGAACUAGAUGUAUAUAUCUUCUCUUUGUUCAACGAAAACAGGAAGCCGGGGUUAGAUUCCGAAAGAAACUGGGGAUUAUUUUAUCCCGACCAGACCAGCGUCUACAACUUGGAUUUUACAGGAAAGAGUGUGGUAGACAUGACUGCACAGGCAAAUAGCACUGCUUCCAAUGGAACUGCUUGGUGCAUAGCUUCAACCAAGGCGUCCGACAUGGACUUGCAAAAUGCCUUGGAUUGGGCUUGUGGUUCAGGGAACGUCGAUUGCACACCCAUUCAGCCAAGCCAGCCUUGUUUCGAGCCAGAUACUCUGGUUUCCCAUGCAUCUUAUGCAUUCAAUAGCUAUUUCCAGCAAAAUGGAGCCACUGAUGUUGCUUGUGGUUUUGGAGGGAAUGGAGUUAAGGUUAACCAGGACCCAAGUAAGUUGACUUUCACAAGUCACAACCACAUUCCCGUAACACUCUUUAUAUAUUUCAGUGUUAUAUCUGUUUUGAAAUUCUUUAUAUAAGGGUAAAAUCUAAAAGACACAGAAACACUUCAGAUUGCCUAUUGUGUAUGCAUACGAUACAUGUUGGACACUUGGGCACACCAACGCUUGUUGGAAACUAUCAAAUACUUGCUACUGCAACAAAUGCGUUAGACAUGCAUACUUAUUGAGUAGACUAAAAAGACACCUGACUCUCAAAAGACACCUAACAACAACAAUAAAUUUAAGCUUAUAAAUAUAUCAAACAUAUCAUUUCCAUGUGAUGUCCUAUAUUGCUAACGCAUGAUGUGUAGUCAAGUCUGAUAUCCAUGUCUCAUAUUCAUAUCUAUGCUUCUUUAGGGUAACUGAAAUUGAAAUCUACAUUUUGUGCUUAAAUCUCUCUUUUGUGUAAAGAGUUCCAACGACUUUUAGGCAACAUAUCUGCUUCGGGAUUGUAUUGUCACAAGGAAAGCAGAUAUAUAAUGUUAACAUUUUUAGCUACUCGGUUUGCUUUGAAUAAGUGUUCCUAAUCUUGAAUUUGUAUCUUGACUUUGCAGGCUAUGAUACUUGCUUGUAUGCAACUACAGGGUAAGCUUUUUUGCUUUUGUAGUGAAACAAACUUGAUGAAGUUCAUGGAUUUUGAUUUCUAGUUCCUAAUGUGGGUUCUUCGGUUUCCUUUGUUUUGUUUUAUGGUCUGUCAAGCAGGAAGAACAAGACAAUUUCUUCGAGUAACACAACAGCAAUAUCUUCAACUUCGUCAUCCUCUUCUUCAAGGAUUGAAUUUUCUGCUGGUCUACUAGUUAUGUUGAUUUUUAUAUCAUGUUUUCUGAAAAUUUCAUGAUGGGGUUAAGCCUGAAAAUUCCAGAUUUUGCUAUAGAAAGACAUUGCUGGAUCGAGCAUUUUCCUUGUUUUUGUAAUUUAUUGGGAGGAGUUGCAAAUGUGUAUCUGCUCUGUAUGAUAAGGAUGUGUAGCUUUUAAGGACGAAGUCAAUGGAAUUAGUUGUUGAUGUUUGAAAUAGACAAAUAAUGAGAAAAUAAUGUAAAAGUAGAGAAUCAACACAAAAAAUUUACUUGCUUUACGCUCGUUACAUGCACUAGGCAACAUUUUCAUUAGAGACCACUUCAUUUCAUAGAAUUGACCAACUCCUAAGAUUGUGUGUUCUCUAGACUUUAGAACUAUAAACACAAGCAUGACAAUAUGUAAAUAACUUUCUUAAAAUUUGAAUAUUACUCAAUGUUUUUAUACAUAUAAAGAAACAAAAUAACUAACGAUUAGAAAAGAAUCCAAAGCAACCAAAUCAAAUAGUAAAAAUUGGGUCUUUUUAUGUAAAUUUAAUCAAGGUUAUUCGAUGACCAAACUUUACUAUGAGCUUUGUUUUUUAACUUAUUCGGGUAAAACAGGAACUCUAUAAGGACAAUGUCAGAUUCUCUUGGUUUCAUUAUAUAUAUAUGUGUGUGUGUAUAUAUAAUGCCUUGAAUUUUGGGGUUGUUUUUCUUGGACCAAUUUUUAAAAUAAUAAUGAGUGGCCCCUCAGUCAUUGUCAGACUGCACUAACGUGUUUAAUUAUUUAUACCACCUCUUGUGCACAAUUAAUGAAGGUUCAAAAAUGAUGAGUGUGAGUAAGAGAAUAAGAAAGAACACCAGUGAGAUAAUGAGAAAGAGUGCGAGAGUAAGAAGAAGCAUGAGCGCAAGACAAUUAGGAAGGAAGAACUUCAUCGGGUGAGAGUAGUAUUGCAUCGUAUUAGUCAAGGGAAGAAGAGUGCAAAUAUGAAGAAAAGAGGAAAAACCCUAACGUGUGAGAGCACUUAGUUGAACGUAAAUACGAGCUUGGGAUAGAUAGCAAAAUCACAGUGGAAGAUCGUAUGAUUAUUAUAUGCAAAAACUAAAACAAACAACAUUACUAUCAUUCCAAAUCCUAACAAUCAUUUUGAAAGUUGUUAAAAUAUAGAGAUUUGCAAUCUAUUCUAACAACUUUCUCAAGCCAAAUUCAAAUAAUCAAAAUAAUAGAAAAUUAGACUACAAGUAUAAAACUUUCAAAAGCAAUUUCAGUUUCCUGUGAGAAUACUUUUUUUAGAAGCACUUUUAAGAAUAUAAAAACCAAACAUAACAACUCAUACCCCAUCAUUAGUCACAUUGUAUCCUAAAGAUCAUAAAACUACAUUUUAAAUUUCAAAAUAUCAACAAAAGAAAAAGAGAGGGAAUACAGUUUCUGGUAUUUCUAAUAGUAAGGAAGGAUUGGGAACAGUUUGGAUUUUAUUCGAUAACAGAGUUCAGAAGAAGUGUCUCGCAGCGAAACUCGAGUCAGAAAUAUCACGUUUUCAAAAUCUCCUUCCGUAUCCAAAUUCCUUCAACGAGAAACAUAAGCACUUACUGAUCACUAAGCACAGAACAAAUAUUCACUUGAGACCAACUUUUUUGAACCUAAUCAAAUUCUUCAGCCCAAUUUUUACCUCUUCAUGUGUUAGCAGGCACAAUCUGAAAAUCUCCAGUGUUAAGAGGAUGAUCACGUUUGUUUCUUGUACAGAAAGCUGCUUAGCCAUUAAGCCGGUACGACCUCCCUCUGAAAGCCCCACUUGUACCCCUAUCAUCAGGCACUGCCGCACGUUGCAUUGGUGGAGCACCUAUCCUCCACCUCGAAACUAACCUCUGUCUGUAGAAAUUGUUAAAGAAAUGCUGAAUAAAGCAAGACAAACAAUAGAGAAAAAACCAAAAUGGUGAGCAUGAUGGAAAUGGAAAGACAUUUUGGUGAAUAAGAUGAUACCCAAAGUGUAAGCAUUUGUUAUGAAAAUGGAAGAUUAUGAGUGAAUAAGCAGAGCGACAGAGAUAUGAAAAUUAUAGAUGCGUAGGCACUAAAAUUUUGUUGUUAAAAACCCAAAAGAGGAAGGAUACAUCCAAAAUGGGGUUCUCAAUAUGUUCUUUCCACCUGCCAGCGGAUGCAACACGGUCAAAAAGUAGUACAAAUGCCCCGCUAGGAUUCCGAGUAAAUCAGGGACAAGGGGUGAACCGAAAAUGACAUCCAGUGCUAGCAUGGCCCAUGGCAGAUAAAAUGCCUGCAUAAAAAGCAUUACAUUUAAGUUGCCGAUAUCAGGAACUGAGUAACACAAUCCUAGGGAAGAAAAACAACAAUUUCUCAACUUAAAUCAAUGCCGUACCUUAAGAGUUACAAGGCCAUAUAUAUUGAUCUGUGCAUUAGGAAAUUCUCUACUCCAGACGUAGAGAAGCAUAAACACAAGUGAUAUCCCUAAGACUGGAAACUGGAAGAUUGGGAUAGCAGCAAGUACCUAUACAAGAGGAAGUAUAGCUUAAUAUUCAACCAAAAAGUCAAGGGUGUUUGAAAAUCUUAACCUACCAGUACCUCAAUGAAAUAUUGAUACAAAAUGCAAAAUAAUUUAAGGUGGCAUUGUGGCGAUGAUGAAACAUUGGACUACCUGGUAAUUAUCUACUCAAUCUGAGAGUUUUACUUCAAAGAAUUGUAAAUGAACAAGGAUUGGCAAAAAUUAUAUAGGAAACAUUAGGCACCAUCUGCAAAAUCUACUGUUUUCACAAAUAUACAAGACUUAAGAAUCACUGGCAUCUAAUUUUUUACCAAAAACCAAACCUUGAGGGAAAAAAAUGAAAGAAUACAAAAAGGUAAAACAAAAGCCAAAAACAGUCACCGCAUAUAAAUGGAUAGCUUAAUAAAGAUCCUCACAAACCAAUAAUGUCAAGGAUCCAAAUAUCAUCAUCCAUAGAAAAUCUGCUGUUCGCCUCUGAAAUGGUCCAUUCUCAAGUUGAACCCCAUAUCUUGCUCUGUAAGGGCACAACCAGGAAACUAUUAGUGCAUCAAAAACCAUCUCGAGUGUUCGAACACAAGCUCUCCACUUACAUCAUAAAAAAGUUACCACAGGCACACACAAAAACUUACAUCAUUAAUAAGCGAAUUCCAAAAUUGAUAGAGAAUUUUCCUAGGAAGAAAAAGUUCGUGAAUAGCCUCCACACCUGAAUAUAAAGGUGACCUUGCAUAAAUAUGAUAAUAAUAAAAUGAAAAGAAUGUGUUGGAACUCAAAUUAAAGAAUUAGUCUAAAGGCCAAAGAAAGUUCUAAUCCAAGACUACUUGAAAGUAUUCAUUUAUGUCGAAAGAUCAGAUACAAUUAUACCUAAAUUCCAAACAUACAAGGGAUUUCACCACACAAAGUAGUCAUUUCUUUCUGCUAAAAUGCCCCAUAUUCUUGCAUCACACCCUUCACUACCUUUACUUGCAUUUUAGCACGGCUCACUUCAUUUAUUGACAUUUGAUAGAAGGGUUGACUACUAGGCCUCAAAUAGAGAGAUCAUGACCUUAAGAACAAAUAGUUCAUACUUGAACUGAGGCUAAUUCUAACUAUGUACAUGUCUAGUCUAAUACUUGAAAUGGGGCUUUCUAGUAUUAAUAAAUUUUAUAAGCUCCAUAUUAUAGAAGAUAAAGAACAAGUAUGAGAGAGCAAUUUGAUAUCAGGUGAGGAAAUUGUACAUUGUGUCUCAAUCAAUGUGAUGCAACGACUGCCUUACCCAACAAGAUUUAACAUAAAAAGAAUUUUAAAGAAAAUUUCAUCAAUAUGGGGAGGAAAAGUGACAAAACUACCCAAUCAAUAACAAAAGUUCCUCCAAGAAGCCCUAACGGAAUUUAUUAAGAAACCCACAUCACUUACAAGAGAGGCUUGAAAAAUGAGCUCAAAAGUUAAAUUAAAGAUAUUUCCAAUGUUCUUGAGAAUUUUUUAUAAAUUGAACCCUCAUUCAAAAGUGCAUAAUAAAAUCCCCAAUGUAAGUAGGAGCCAGAAAAAUGUAUGAAAAAAACUAAGAAUUCAAUCUAUGGAGAUUGAAGUGAAUACCUGAAAAUGCUUGAAUACAAGUCCAUAAUCCAAGGCAAUAAGCAUGGGAUCGUACAAGCCAAGUUGAAAGGCUGUAGUUGCCAAAAAGCACAGAGUUCCAUACGCCUUACUAAUAGGUGGAAGAGAGUUGUAAAAUCUGAAAAAUCAUAAUGGAAAUGAUUCAAGACUAAGAACACAGAUCAAGAAGAGAGUAAAGAAUCACAACAGCCAUUGGAAAUGAGAAGAUUACAAUAUGAAAAAAGAGAAAUCGAAAGGUAAUAAAAAUGAAAGAAUAGUAAAAUUCGUAAAAAUUGAAAGAGGGAAAAGCAGCAUUACUCGGCAGGAGAAGACAUUGUAGAAACAGAAAUGAAAUUCAAAGAAGCUUUGGGAAAUGAAGAUCUUUCAGUUCUUGUACAAGAAAUUCACCGUAAGACUUAACAAGCAAGAAAUUAGAAGAUGAACACAAAGGAAGAGCGAAGGAUUACAACCACGACCCAGAACGUUCUGAAUCCAAAGUGGUUUCCUCGCUCUCGUACGUGGGGAUUAAUGGGCUGACUAAGCGAGUUGGGCCAGGCCCAAAUAAUACAUUGCAUUAGCAGAUAUACACAAGUUGGUUUAUUCAGUAAAUAUAGUAGAAAAAGAUAAAAAUAUGAUGAAUGUAAAAUAGGAAAAACAGUAGUAAAUGAGGGUUUUGAAGAGAUGGUUGUUAUAAUCAUAGAAUAUUGUGUGCCCCAAAUGACCUUUAGUGGACUAUAUUGUUCAUAAAAGUUUACCGCGAAUAGAUUUUGUUCUAUUAACAAUAGGGUGAGCAUCGGUCGGUCAGAAUCGAUUUUUUAUUCAAAUUGAUAAACCAAUGUUGAAUUGACUGUGGUUGGUUUAGUAAAUGUUCGAACCAAAUUCUGACUAAGGAGUAUAAACUAAUAGUUGGUUGGUUGAUUGGUCGGUUUAAGCAUUUGAUUUUUUUUUAAAUGUUGUCGGUGUGAAGUUUUUCCAAAUCAAUAUCGAUUAACACAUCUCUUCAUCUCUAACCAACCACAUUCGGUUAGAAUGAUUUUGGUCGAUGAGCUAUGUUUUUCGAUCUAUCAUGCUCACUUGUAAUUUACAAUUUUUUUAAAAUGUUGUAUAUACUUAUAAGCACUAAAAGUGUUAUCAAUUACAACCACUCUUAAGAAUCUCACAUUGCAAUAAAUAUCUUCAAUUUAAAGUAGUUUGAUAACCUUUUGUAUGCAAGACUCAAGAUGUUUUGCGUUUGAAAAGUUGUUUGACCUAAACUUUGAAAAUAAUAACGUACAACAUUUUGCGCGCUUUCGUCACUUUUACACAUGUUUGUGCUCUUCCCUACUUCUAGUGAUAGUGCUUGAAUUCUACCAAUUUGACAAGAUAACGAUCGUUUCAAUCUAUGAAUGACUAUUAUUGUUGUUGUAUAAUAUUAAAUCUUAAAUAAGUGACUAUUAUUGUUGAUUAAACUCAUUUUCUCGAACCCUAUAUUUACCAUAUAUUAGACCAAUUCAUGAUGGAUAGUCUAAUAGGUUCUUGAUACAAACCUGAGAGUCCCUAAGUCAACACAAUUGCACGUAUAAUUUUAACCAAACCCAAAUAAUAAUAAUAACAACAAUAAAAUAAUCAACAAUGGUACUCUUGCUAUAUAAGUUCAAAAGUAAAAUUAUCAACCCAUCCCUAGAAAACUUUAUUUAACUUUCAAACAAGAAUAUAAAACAAGGUAAUAUAUACGAAUAUUGAAUUAUUGAUCAAAGUGUAUUGUAAAAUGAAACCUUUAUGAAUAUGGACCAAAGCUUUAUUUAACUUUCAAAUAGAUUGUAAAAUAGUCUAAUUUGUUACUCUUGUUUCAUUCUUAUAAUAAACCAUCUCUCACUGCAACCAUUUUUUGUAAUUCCGAAACUUUUUAAUGCAUCAUUUUGUGUGAACAAAAACGUAUUUAUCUCGACGAAAUUUUAGUUCGUCAACAAAGACUUAGAAAUUCAUACAUUUUUAUACAUAUUUAUGCCAACACAAAUAACGUCAGCCUACGUUUUAAACAUGAAAAAUCGAUACAUUUUUAGAAAUCUUUAUAGAAAUUAAACUUAUGGGUUUUGUUAUUAUUAGUUAAUGAAAAUUUGAUAAUGGAUAAAUUAGACUAUAAUUAAAAAAAAAAAAUCACCAUUUCUAGAAAAUAAGACAACAAUUAGAUGUAUAACAAUGGUAAAUAUGAGUGUUAGGGAAGAAAAACUUAAAAAAGAAAUGAAAAAUAAUUUUUAAAAAAACUAUCCAUUAUUAUUGACGAGUAAUUAGAAGAUUAAAGUUGUCAAAUACAAUGUAAUUAUAAAUUGUUUAUUAUAAAACUCACACAUCUAAUAUAAAAAAAAUAUAUAUAUAUAUGAUGUUGGAGCAUCCACUGCAAAAUUUUGUAUAGUUCCUCUCAACUUUAUACUCCACAUAUAAUAUAAGACUGAAGUAAUAUCAAUAAUAGAAGUUAGUUUAAUAGUAAAACUAUAUUUGAUUCUUUCUAAACUUCGGUUGAAGUCUUCCUCCUUAUUUUAUAAAACUAUAAACUAGUGUGAAAUUAAUACAAUUUACGUAGUCAAGCACGAUUGAAUAGCUUAUUUUCUUUAUUGAGCUAGACAAGCUUAGCUAAUUGUUUUAUGAUGUACAUUACAAAUGGAAAACAAUUUGUUUGUUUUUCAUUUGAAAUUGAAAAUUUUAAAUAUUUCAAAUUUAAGUCAUAUUUAAUAAUUCUUUAAUCUAAUUUUUAAUAAUUCUUUAAUCUAAUUUUUAUUUUUGAAAGUUAGGUUUAUAGACAUUAUUUCUUUGAGUAGUUUUCUUUCUUUUAAGAUAUUUAAAAAUUUUAAAAAAUAAAUUGUAAAAUUUUUGUUUUUGUUUUGGUAAUUUAAACUAAAAAAAUAAUAAAAUAAUUCCACGAGAGAAGGGUACUGUGCUGUGCUGUACGCCUGAAGGUAUGGAUAAUGGGGCCAGGAUAUGCCACGUGGCAGGAUGUCAGAAAGUGAAACUACGUGUACCGUUGGUAAGUGACGUGGGCCAAUAGCUGGAUAUGGACGUGGCUUAUCCAUGUGGCCGGUCGCUUUCUAAUCUUAGACUGGGCCGCCCCUAAUCCGGUCCAAUCUCUUUCUUUUUAACUUAUUCUAUUUUUCUUAUUUAAUAAUACUAUACAAAUGGUUUUUUCUUUUUCAUAAUUAAUUGAUUGAUCAACUCUAUGUUUACAUUACAUGUUCAUCUACUUUCUAACUUUCUUAAUUUCCUUUGAUCUCUAAAUUUUUUUUAAAAAAUAUCUUUUUAAUCUACUGAGUUUUUGAAAAUAGGUUUAGAAGAUCCUAACUU